AUAUAUAUAACUCAAAACCUAUUAACACAUAUACCAAGUGAACACAUAUGAAGGCUAACAUCAAAACUAUUUUUCCAAUGUUGGAGUCUCCCACAUUCUCCAACUGUGAGCUAGUAAAGUUCACUAUAAACUUUUCUUUAGUGGAAUAUUCUCACUAAAAUAAAAGAAAUAAGUACUAAGUAGCUAACUAUGUGCUACCUGCAAGUUCACUGACGACGUUUCCUAGCUUAAUGUCGUAUUCACACUAAAAUGGAAUAAAUAAGUUUGAGGUUUAUGGAUAAGAGUUUAGAGUUUAAAGAUUAAAUAUAUUAAAUAUGUCACAUCCCGACCCUUAUAUUUUUACCUUAUUUACUAGCUUGAUUAUAAUAAGAAUUUUACCGUCUCCGUCAUUGAGGUAAUAGUUUAUUUGGUCCCUAGAGGUGUUUUAAGGGACGAUUAAUUUCGGGGAAUUAUUCGUGGGAGAAAAUAUGACGACGGUAAAAAUGAUAAAUUUUAGCUAGUAAAAGGUAAUUUUUAUUCGGGUAUUAUUUUUUUUCGGGGUGUUUUAUUUUUGGAAUUGGCUUGUAUAUAGGACUUGGACCGGGUAGGAGGCCCAAGCCUAUUUCUUCUUCUCUCUUUUCCUUCUCUUCUCUCUCUCUCCCUCCCGAGCUCUCUCUUCCCCGCCGGUUUCCUCCGCUCAGCUCGUCGCCGUCCGGCCACCGUAGGCCGCCGCUCCGGUCCCGUUCGAUUGCCCUCCGACCCAGCUUCCAUUCUAGGCCAGUGAAGGCUGCCCUAUCGCCGCCGUGAAGGAGUUCUCCCACCUAGAACCUCGGGCUGCCCGAAGUCCUCCAUCGCCGGAACUCCCUCCUCCGGCCACCAAUUCGGGCAAGCUUGGUACGGUUUUGUAGGUCUCUAACCCAGCAGCCUUGCCCUAGAAGGACUCACUCCCUCUUGAGCUAGGUAAGGAGAAAUUUGAGGUGGAAGUUUUAUGGCAUUUUUUGAUGUUUUUAGUCGAUUACCCUAGUUAGGCUUGGAAUUUGUGUUUGUGCUAGUUAGGAAAGUUAUAGAGCAUGAUAAGAGGUUUAUUCUGUCAAAAUUUCAUAGGAAUCGGAGGUCGCCGGAAUCGGCCUCCGGCCGCCGCGGUUUGGGAGAUUUUUAGGGUUUUAAAUGUGGAAUAUUAAAGGGAUUAUAUUGAAGUGAGUUAUGGAAUUUUUGGAUGAGUUUUGGAUAGGUUUAUGAAUUUCCGAAGUGUGGUAUUUUUGACGGUUAAUUAAUGAAGAAUCCGGCCGUAGGAUUUAAGUCGUAUUUUUGGGGAGGUUGUAUUUACGACUGUCGAGUAUGAUAUUUAAGUUCGAAUCGUUUCGAUUUAAGAAUAUCGAACUUAGACAAUGAUGAGCGUAUUUAUGGCUCUCGGGUAAUUUUGCCUAUUUUGAUUAAAUAUUGGAUUGUUAGUUGGGAAAUUAAUAUUAUAUUUGGAACAGGAUGUGAGGAGGCUCGAGCAGACGAGGCCCUAGAUCGACAUAAGGCUUAGGCUUAAUUUGUGAGUGGACUUUUGUUUUAAAUAAAAUGCAUGCUAGAGUUCAUGGUUGAACAAUAAUUGUUGCGGAAUAUUUUGACGUCAUUUUAAUUUGACGAAUUUUAUUUCUCUUGGAGAGUUACCGAAAAUGGGAUUUUCGGUGGAUAUAAAUAUGUAUUUAUGAGAGAGUAUGUAUAUAAAAUGCUAGCUAGCCAUAUGUGUCUUUCCACCUUAAUGGCGUAGCAUAUAGCCGCAUUAUGGUGUGACGUGAGCAUUGGACGUGAGCGUAGUAGCCCUAUAUGAGUGUUUAAUUCACAUAGGGGGUAUGGACACAUAUUUAUACACCCGUCUGUCCACCUUAAUGGCGUAGUGUAGCACCGCAUUAAGGCGUGACGUGAGCGUUGGACGCGAGCGUAGUAGCCCUAUAUAGACCCAUGAAUUUAUAUAGGGAGUAUGGACGAGUGUACAUACAUACAUAUAUUAUAGAGUCUAAGAGGCUCGAUAUUUUAUGAGAUAAAAGUUUUAUCGCUUGCGGCAUGCAUUCGAUUUUUCCUUAUAAAUUAAUUUGGGGAAACAUAAAUAUUUUAUUUAUUAUUUUAUUUUUGUUCCACUCACUCUAACGUUAUUAAAUAGUUUUCCCCUUGGGCCCUUCGUUUUAAAUUGCCCAGUCUGUAGAGUUCGGGUUGGAUCUAGUAGGAGACGAGGCAUAGUCACCCGCUUUUCUGCCAGUUUUCAUCAGUAGGUUACCUGUUCAACCUACUCGUGUUUUCUUUCUUCCGCUUGUUUUUAGUAGCUCUGAAUACUUUGGGAUUAUUGUAAAUUAUGUGAUGUUCGGAAGUGUAAUAUGAAAUUUUCGAGUUAGGGUUGUCCAUCUGCAAGGGAGAUUUUCUUAAUCUUUUCAGUAAAUUUUCCUUGGAGGUGGUCCCCGCACGACUUACUCCGGGUUUCAGAGUGAAAUUCGGGGUGGGUCGUGUCAGUUGGUAUCAAAGCUAUAGGUUUCCUUUUCCUGCUUCCUUGCCACUAUCACAUUUGCCUAAGUAGCACGUAGUGUCUAUAGAGUGAUGAUCCGACCGCGGCGGAUUCAUUGGCAUNNNNNNNNNNNNNNNNNNNNNNNNNNNNNNNNNNNNNNNNNNNNNNNNNNNNNNNNNNNNNNNNNNNNNNNNNNNNNNNNNNNNNNNNNNNNNNNNNNNNUAAACUAAUCAUGACUAAUUACGUAUCACAAUAAAGUAAUUUGAUGUUAGUUUAAGCACAAGUACCAAAUACAAACAUAGGUAAGAAAAUCGGUAGAAAAACAAAGACAAUGCAACUUAUCAACUACGUGUAUCAAAGUCGAACUUUGGAUGAUUAACACAUGCAAUAUCAACUACUUGUAUCAACUACACAUGAUAAUGGAAUAUAGCACCGAAAAUCUUAAAGUAUUUAGACAUAAAACUCACGGCAUAAAACCUCAAAUCAUUGAUUAUAAAUUGUAAACUUUAAUUCAAAACAUGGCUCAAAAGUACUUCUAUCUCAUAGACAAGAAUCGAAACAUACUUAAGCAAAUACAUAAAGCAAACAAAAACAAGAACAAACACAUAGCAAUCCGAAAAUAGAAGAUGAAAUACACUCUCAAAAUAUCCCUACUUGUUCUAUUCUUCGAGUGCGCGGAGUCCUAGGCUACGUGCUUUGGACGAAUGCUGAAGGUGGGAUCGGAUUGUGGUGUUUGGAGGUUGAUGGAGUUUCGGCAAAGGAUUUGGUGUUAUUUGCACGGGUUGAUGAUGAUCUUUUGUCCUUGAAGUCAUGCUUUAUAUAGAGGAAAAACCCUAGAGAAGUCGGCCACAAAGCCUAAACCAAGUUGGUUUAGGAUUCCUAGUUCUUCUCAAUUUCGGCAGAAUGACCUCCGUCUGAUGAUUACGUCAUAACUCCCUCUAGAAAAUAGAUAUUGAGGUGAUUCCAAUUGAUUUGGAAACUAGACUCCCGUAGCUUUCUAUCCCUAUCUGGCACGUUUUCUGAUUCAUUGUGAGCUGUCCUGGAGAGUCCGUUGAAGUUGACAGACGUGCACAGGAAUUCUCCCGAUUUUAAUCCAGAUUUUUCAAGGCUUGGAUAUUCUUGAAAUUCUGCCGAAUUUAGAUCUUCUUCUCCAUAUUGGACUUGGUUUGGACCUCUCCUUCAUGGACUAGGCUUCGAGGAAAGAUGGAAUCUUGAUCAAGACAGGAAUCCUGAGUAAACAAGGGUUUCCAACACUUAGCACAAUUUCAACACCAAAUUAUUCAAAUCCGAAAAUACUAUGUAUUCUAAUACUAAAAACUACAUAUUUCUAAAUUAAGCAAUUAUUCUACACUAAACACAAAUAUAAAGCUAAAACAACUAAAUAGGAGUUAACAAAGGGUAAAUAAAGGGUAUAAACAUAUUAAGAACGUCACACUUUGUGCUCCUAUCAACACGCAUCAUUCAAGUUGCGAAAGUCCACACACACACGCAAUUGUCCAUUCUUCUUUUCAACUGGGACAAUGUUCGCAAUCCAUUUAGGAUAUUGGACCUCUCUGAUGAAGCCUGCAGCGAUCAACUUGUCAACCUCUGCUUCAAUUUGGGUUUGCACCUCUGUUCGAAAACGUCGUGUCAGUUGCUUGAUGGGUCGAGCCUCUGGUUUAACAGCUAAUCGAUGAACUGCUACCUUAGGGUCAAGACCUGGCAUUUCUUUGUAAUUCCAAGCGAAGACAUCCUUAUAUUCGAGCAACAAGUCAUAGUACUACUUCUCUUCUUGGGGACUUAGUGAUGCGCUCACAAAUAUUGGUCUUGGGUCUUCCUCUGUCCCCAAAUUGAGCUCCUUAAGUUCAUCAACUGUAGCUUUCACCCCAUCUUCGAGUUCUGGAGGAGCUGCUUCCACUUCAUAUUCGGAGCCCUCAUGGUCAUCCUCUUCAUAAGCUUCCACUUCCGCUACGGUGAUGUGAUAAGCACAUUGAACAAUAUCAUCUUCAUCGUCACUUGUACCAUCGCCUUCUUUGUCUUGACCAGUGAGUAUGAUGGUGCGUUGCUUCACUUUAAGUUGGUCCGUCGAAUUCACCUCCAACAUGCAACGUCUUUUCAUGCGUGAUGGGAUGAGGCUUCGGAUUUCUUUAUCUUCCAUUUGACCAACGUCUUCUUUUCUUUUGCUCCCUUGUUGUUUAGGUGCUUGGAUCCUCUCAAGUGCCGACUUUCGAGGAGUUGGCUCCACUUGUUUGUUUUCUUCAUUUGACUGUGUCAACCUUUUGAACACUGAAGUUCGUGUAGCUGAGAUGUCAAGACGAUUGAAGAUUGAGCUUCGACUUGUUGACCUAUCAACAUGCUCAAACACCGAAACUCUGCUUGUUGAUUCGGUAGUAGUACUUUGAGAACUUGGGUAGAUACGAUCAAAUGCCGAAGUGCGAGAGAUAUGGUGACAUUGCGGAACGUCAUCUUCUACUACUUCAACACCAAUGUAUUGUGUGCUAGCUUGAGCACCCUUUCUCCUUCCAAAGAUCUUGAUUAGCUUGCUUGGGGCAAAACCAAGACCUGCUCUCGCUGAGUUUCCUUGCUCUCUCAGCUUCUUUUGAGACUCAUUGAGCUCGUGUGUUUUCUUGCUAAUAAUUUGGUCAUCUUCUUUGCUUGGUGAACCAAAGUCAAACCCGGCCUUUGCCAACAACUUGUAAGCAUUGGGGUCGAACCCUUCAUUUGUUCUUUUUUCGGGUAAGGGCCCAUGCUUGAUUUUGCCUUGGUUUGGUUUGACAAACCCCUUCAACGGUUGCUUGGUAGGAGUUUGGCCGCUCAACUUCGUCAAAGGUAACGUCGAUGUUUCCUUCAACAAUUUUAUGUCUCUUCGCCUAAGCUUCGAGGACUUUCUUGCUGUUUUGCCCCCAAAAAUGGAGAUUCUCCUUCCUUUCGCUUGGAUUUUGGCACAUAGCGAAGGAUUGGGACAGCUUGAUUGGAUUUCUCUUUCGCAUUUGAUGUCGUAAUUUCUGAUGAAGAUUUAUGCGACUCUUGGUUUGUUUUGCUUUCAGUUUCAGCUUCUUUCUUCUUUAACUCGGUGGCUUUUCCUGUAGAGGGGACUUCAACUGGAAGAACUUCUGAUACCGAUUCCUCAUUCAUAUAGAACUUGGAAUCUGCAAAGUAAGAAUCAGCUUCAGUGAACGGCUUGGUGUCCCCUACCACCGUUUUCACACCUCCGCGAUAGAAUUUGAAACAUUGGUGCAAAGUUGAGGGCACGACGCCAUUUUCAUGAACCCAUGGCCGCCCCAACAAUAGAUUGUAUGACGUCUUUGCAUCAAUCACAUGGAACAAGGUGUUAGACUUCAAUUCUCCAAUGUCCAUGUCUAAUCGAACCAUGCCUAUUGCUCUUUGCCCUCCUUGGUUGAAGCCUUGGAUCAUAAGACGACUUUUAGACAACUCAUCAAUGUUGAUGCCGAGUCUCGACAUUGUUGAUUUUGGCAUAAUAUUUACGGCGGACCCUCCAUCUAUGAGCAUGCGAUUCAAUCUAUGCUCUCGUAUGUACCCUGUCACAAAUAGAGGUCUAUUGUGAGGCUUAGAACCCAAUUGUAGGUCUUCAUCCGUGAAAUGGACGGCAUCGCAACAUGCAACGCAUGUCGCACAUUCUUGGAUGUUCGAGGAAUGUUUGCCCACGUCGAGUAACAAUUGGACUAAUGUGCAUCUCAUUGCUUUGGGUAGCUGCAACAUGUCUGAGAGACUAAGUUUUAGAGGUAAGUCUUCCAAAUGUUUCAACACUUCAUUUGCAUCCGCUUCUUGAUCUGUUUUCACCUUGUUUGCUUCAGCCUUCUCAGAAUCUUUAGAACUAUCUUCGCAACUUGUUGUCAUUGAACUAGCUCUUAUACUUGCUUGUGCCAUAGGCAUGUGCUUCAUUGGCAAAGUUUGACUGAUAGGUCUCGGCUUGCAAGGAGUGGUCUUUUCCUUAACACACCUCGUCUCGUUCUUCUCAAGACUUUGACCAUUCUUACGUGAUUGUUGGCGAUUUAACUGCAUGGGUGGUGGACCUGAUGACACAUUUUUGCAUACCCUCCGUCGAGUAACAAGUAUCCAUCCUUCAUCAUCAACGCCUUGGUCAGUUUAGCAACAACCUUAGGAGCGAGAUUCAUCUGUUGGACUUGCUUAACUUCCGCCAACUUCUCUCCUUUGGCAUCCUCUCUUGAGAAGUGGUAUGGCGCUUUCAUUGGUGUGGAAGGUACUUCAAUCAGAUCAAAUGACCCAAAAGAAAUGGUGGUGCAAUUGACCUCAGCAACUUCAUCAACAUCUAGCUCAAUUCUUCCUUGUCUAGUGAGGUUCAUUAUCAAAUCUUUCAAGACAAAGCAUUUCUCGACGGGGUGGCUAAUGAUUCGAUGAUACUUGCAAUAUUUUGGGUCAUUAACUUGAUGGAUUUCUUCUGGACGUUUGCACUCCGGAAGUUCUAUCACCUUGUUUUCAAGCAAAUCUUCCAACAUGCCUGCCACGUCGGUAUCUGGGAACGGAUAUGUCUUUCGCUCCAACUCGCUUAAUGAGCGUUUUCUUCUAUCAUAAGCACGAGUUGGCUCAGCUUUCUUAACCUCUUUCUUGUUUGAGAUUUUGAUUGGAGCGACAUUCACAGCCAUUGACUCCGUCGUUGGUUUCUUCACGGUUUUGUCAACCUUGCUUCCGAAGAUCUUGUCUUUUCGUUGGUCAAUGAUAGACUCCUUCGCCUUGUGGCUAGCUAGGCUUAGCUCCAUAUCAUGUGCUCGCGUAGCCAAUUCUUCAAAAGUCCGAGGCUUGAUUCCUUGCAAAAUGUAUAGCAGGUCAAAAUGCAUGCCUUGGAUGCACAUCUCAACCGCGGAAACUUCUGACAAGCGAUCCUUGCAAUCGAGACUGAGUGACCGCCACCUAUUGAUGAAGUCGAUUGCUGGCUCACCUCCUCGUUGUUUUGUGUUGGUGAGUUCCAUCAUGCUCAUGGUACACCUUGUACUAUAGAAACGGUUUAGGAACUCGCGCUCCAUUUGGUCCCAACUGUUAAUAAACUCAGGUUCCAAGUCUGUGUACCAUUCAAAGGCGUUUCCCUUCAAAGAGCGAACGAACUGCUUGACCAAAUGGUCGCCUUCUGUCCCCGCGUUGUUGCAAGUCUCUAUGAAAUGUGCAACAUGCUGCUUCGGGUUUCCUUUUCCCUCGAAUUGUUGGAACUUCGGUGGCUGAUAUCCGAACGACAUCCUUAAACCGUCAAUCCUCUUGGUGUAGGGUUUAGAGUACACGAGAGAAUCACGAGAAGGGCCUCCAUAUUGAGCUCUGAUGGAGUUGGUGAUGAUAUCUUGCAACUGCUGGAACGACAUGGAUGCAAGUGAGCCAUCAUUGUUCUUGUCAGUGUUAUGAGAAUUCUCUUCUUCUCUUUCCCUCUUUUCUUCUUUUUCUUCAUCUUGGAUUUGAAGUUUGGACCAGAGCUCAGCAAUUUGUAGGUCUUUUUCUUCCACCGUUUUGGUGAGCUUCUCGACUGCUCCCAUCAGAUUAGCUAUUUGCUCUUCAAUGGUGGCUACUCCGGUCACCAUGACUUGCAUGUUGAUAGGGUGAGACGAGCUACUUGAUGGCAUGCCAUAAGUAUGGUCUUCAUCUCCAUUGGGGCUCCCAUGAUGCGAAGCCGUGCUUGAUUCACCAUCAGAGUAAGCGGAUGAGAAUGAUCGCUCCCUUGAUUUCUUCGGAGUCUCUCUCUCUUCGCUUCGAGAGACAUGUUGGCUUGCCCCUAAACUCUCCAAGGUGAUAAUUGGUUGUCGAGGCUUUGAAGGUAGAGCCACAAAUGUCGUGGGCUGAGUUCUCGCCAUGCUUCGAGUGAUGUGACUCGAGGAUUCGCUGCUUGACCUUGAGGUCGUUGAUUUGGAUUUUUUCGUUGCGACGGCUUGGGUGUUCUUGGAAGCCAUUGCGCGAACAGAUUUGAUUUUGCUUUAGGAUGAGGAGAUGAGAGGCAAAGAAUGUCCCACUGGGCGUGCCACUUUUGUAAACACGAAAUAAUCUGCGACAAAUGCCAGAACAACACGUGUACAAAAAGAAUAUAAUUUUAUUGAUAUAAAUGCGGGUUACAACUCUUUGUGAAUCCUCUGAUUCGACCUCCUAGUUUGGGUUUUACUCAAGGGUGCCAAAGCACUUGUUCUUGAGAUGAGAUUGGUCACAAGAAGUUUAGUCAAGUGACGUGUGUUUGGGAUUUGGAUUUGGGUUUGGUGAGGAACUAGUUAUUUGGGGGUUUGGUAGUUCUUCACAAGUUUGUGGGAGACUUCUGAGCUCUCGGGAGCAAUUUGUUCUCUCUUGCCGGAAGUCCUCCUCUUGAUAUGAGAGGGGGUAUUUAUAGUGUCAACAUACCUCCGUUUAUGGCAUGUAAUGAAGACACCGAAUUAAUUGUAUUUCCUUAACGGUAAUAAUUAAAUCAAUCAGUUUUGAUUAAUUGAUUUAACUAUUAAUUUUAACAUAAUUAAAUCAAUCAGUUUUAAUUGAUUGAUUUAGUUACGACCGAUAAGGUAUAACUGCUUUGGAUUAAAUGUCCGACUUCCUUUUUCGAUAAUCAAUUUAAUUUAAUUGAUAUCCGAUUAUCGAUCGACAUUUAAUAAUUGAUUUUAGUCAGGAUUUAAGGUUUUAUUGUCGACCGACCAUUUACACAUCGCCACUUGUCAUUUCCAACGACUUUUCAACGUUGCCAACUCACGAGCCACGUAUGCAAUUUGUCGGGCCACACAUCGUUUGAAUAAUUCAACGAUUAUUAUUAUCGUUAAAUUUUAUAUGUCUACAGCAAUCUGACAGUUUCUAGUCCCAAGGUGAUGUUCGGUCAUCAGAAAAGCCAUGGCGGAUUGUUCUUCUCAUGCAGGUAAGUAUAGAAAUUGGUUUCUUACCAAGAAAUUGACACAUGAAGGCUAUCUAGGGUUUUAUUUAUAAUCAAUCAAUCUCGUCUAAUCUACCAGUUCUUAACUUCUUGCGAAAAAAGUACAUCAGCAAACCCAACCUUGUUGAUCACGAAAAGAAGCUUCACUAGCUCAUGGGACUUGAGUGUAUACAUCAUGAUUAGGGUUUGUUUCUUCAUUCUUUCAUAUAUAGUUUCUAAUUAAUAGUGUAUCUGUGUAUGUUACUAUAGGAAUUAAGCAAUGGAGCUAGCAGCAAGCAUCAAUGGCAUGGAGUCCAAGAUAAAGAUUUGGCAACAAUUUCUGUUUUUUUUCUUUUUUUGGAUUUCAAGAAAUGCUGUAUUUUUGUUUAAUUUUGGGAUAUCUGGUUGAUUUGAUAAUGAUUACAAUGAUGAACAAUUAAUUCUGGUUCAUAUUAAUUUUACUUAAUUUUAUUGUCAUUUUCUCUUAUAUAUUUGUUAAUUUUGGUUGGUAAUUUAGUUAAUUUUAGAGCCAUCUCCUAUCCUUUGUUAAUUUGGGGGGAAAGACAAAUUCCCUCCUUUUUAUCAUUUACUGUUUUGGGGGGGGGGGGGGGAGGGGGGGAAUUGUGAUGAGGAAACACGUGGAUGUGGGGGGUGAAUUUCAUUUUUAACUAAGGGGUUGAGGUGAUCACUUUUAUCCUUUGCUAUGAGUUUUUGGGGUAGAGUGAGGUAAAAAUAAUGGGGAUUCGAGAGUUCAUACUACGAUUGGAGGGUCCGAGAGUUCAUACUGCGAUUGGAGGGCGAAAACGAGUGCUGAUCAGGAGGUAGUUGAGUGCCGCUGGAUUUGGUGGAUGUAAAACAAACAUUGGUGAUGGAGCUAGUGUUCUAGUGGCGUGAUUCCUCACGAUUCCUACGAGGAGGUAUAUAAUUAUCUAUGUAUUGUUUUUUGAUUUUCAGAGUUUUUUUCUGUUUGAUUUUUGUUUCAGUUUUGACGGAUUUGAAUAAGAUUAGUUCAUUACUGAGUUUUUAUCCACACUCUUCAAAUUAUAAUUCACACUCUCACUUUCUAGUUUUACUCAUCAUUUUCAUAAAAAGACAAAAGUUAAGUCACUAAUGACAAAAUUUAAAUUACUAAAAAUAGAAAGUGGGAGUGUGGAUUACAAUUUAGAGUGUGGAUUUCACUUCCAUUUUAUUUUCUCAUAUUAUGAGUUUUGGUAGUUUUCUGUGAAAAAAAAAAGGCUUGUUUGUUUUGGUUGUUGUUGAAGUUGAUGGAAAAACAACAGCAUUCAAACUUAGCAACACAAUUACAUAAAUAUAAGUAAAUUCGUUCAAAACACCUAAAUUUGGCUCAGACUUCGUAAUUACAACAUAUAUACAUUUAUUACAAAAGUUUCAACCAAAUGUCCUUAUCUUUGUAAAAGCAUUGUGAAAAACUGUGAUGAGGAAACACGUGGAUGUGGGGGGUGAAUUUCAUUUUUAACUAAGGGGUUGAGGUGAUCACUUUAAUCUUUUGCUAUGGGUGUUUGGGGUAGAGUGAGGUAAAAAUGGGGAUACGAGAGUUCAUACUGCGAUUGAGAGCAAAGACGAACGCGGAGGCGCUCGGCGAGUCGAAGACAAACGCUGAUCAAGAGGUAGUUGAGUGCAUAUAAGCUCUGAUACCAUUAUUAGAUGGUUUUCAAAAUCCUAUUAAGCCAUCUAAUCUUUAGUUUUGGAUCUAUUCCAUAAACACACAUGCAUAUAUUCAAGAACACUUAAAGAAAUUUUGCAGACUUUAGUUAUCCUAGAUAAAUUAGGAAUGGACCUUCAUUAGAUCUCCAAUCAGCUUUAACAACAACUUUGUUCGACGACACCAUCUUGACCUUCUUCUGCAACUGCUGCACAAGCAAAGAGAUAACUUGAUGGAGAUUCUAGCCUUCUGUGUUUCUGUACCAAAUAGCAAGCACAAUGGGUCAAUGGGAUGCCUUCUUGAUGCAAAAACAGUGACUUAGCCUCCUUUAUAUAGUGAUCACAAACCAGAUUCAAUCCCAUAACCAAAUCUUUAUUGUACUCAAUGAUAACAUAUGUAUAAAGCAUGCAUAAUCCUAUCGCAAUACUAAUUCGAAUGCAAUUUAGGUUAAAUUUAAUGAACCUCUAUGUAAUCCAACUUAUAUACAACUCGGAUUACUUCUCAGAAACUGAGUUAAAGACUUAGGCCUAGUUUGGUACAGCUUUGCUUUUAAAAAAAUUAGCUUUUAUCCGAACUUUUAGAUUUUAUAGUGUUUGGAAAAUGAAAGAAAAACAGUUUUUUUUUAAAAAAUUACAUGUCACUGGCACCAGCUUUUAGAAGCAACCUUAAAAGCAGAUAUCACUAAAAACACUAGAAAUUAAUAAAUUUUAUCUUGGCAGCACUUUUAAAACUAAUAUAUACCAAACACAAAACUAUUUUAAUUUACAGCUAAUUAUUUUCGCAAUACAACAACAAAAGUUUUUUUUAAAGUCACAACAAUACCAAACUAGCCUUUAAGCUUCUUGUUAUUCAAUCCAUGUUCCAUAUGAAUUUGACCAUAAUUUUGACAGAUGUGUUUAAGUCCAAAUCAGUUCCAACAAUCUCCCACUUGGGCUAACACUAUCUAUAAACUAAUCAAUGAACAUUUCAAUGUAAAAAGGACAACUAAAGAGCGCGCUGAAGCAAAAGAAACUCAUAGUUCAUUUGGCUUUGUCAAUAUGCAACAUCUGUUGCAGAACCAAGAACCAUAGAAGAUAAAAAAUAAUUAACAUGGCUAGAGAUCACAUACAACAAACAUUGCACUCACAUAAGCUCAUGAGUGAUAGGGUGAGAAUUUUUGACUUGUAUAUCUCUCUGAGAUCGAUGUCAAAACUCACAGUCCAAAAACUUAAUGAUUUCAAAACUUCGAUUCAUAAAAUCGACCUAAGCUUUGAUUCUUUUAGGAGCCGCCCUAAAAUAUAAUGGCUCGACUAGAUAUGGUUUGGUUUUGUAUGUUUUGAAUGUUUAGAAGAAAUUUCAUAAAAGUGAAACAAUUAGCAUAUAUACAUUCUCACGUAGUGCAACAUAAAAUAUUUUCUUCGGGAUUUGAAAUCCUUAAAAAAGCAUCAGUAUGUAUUGAUGGAGAUAGUGAUUCCAUUAGCUACUCGAUCUCUCUUUUCUGUAUUCCUCAAUUCAACAAGAACUAUUUUUUUUUUUUGUUAUAUUGUCUCUUUUGGAUUGUUGUUUUGAUGAUUAUUCAUAAGAUUUUCCUUUGAAGUUCAACAUUUUAUAUCAAGUUGAAACUUAAUCUAGAAGCUCUCACCAUUUUUCAGUCAAUAUAUAGUGUGCAUGGCUUCAGUUACAUCCCCAAUAAUAUUCAAAUUAAUUUGAAAUUUUUUAACCCCAAGCAAUCUAGACAUGAAAUCUAAAAGAAAAUAUAAAAAGAGAACGACAGUUGUGAAAAGUUCAAAAGUUACAGAAAAGAGAAGACUGUUGUCAAGCAUGCAUAUUAUACAAAGUGUACAACUGCAGAAACUCUGUUCAGAUAACUUCCUGAACAGAUUUAUUAUUCUGUACAUUUGCAAUGUACCUUUUACAAGUAGAUGCAUCUUGUCAAGCCAAGAACCUCUCUAACAAGUUACCAAAGAAGAAGCUUGUCUUUGCCCAUCCACUAGUAUCAGGUGUCUCAGGUGCCUUAGAACUCGUUGGAACUUUCUUCACAUUGAACAUCAUUGUGUGUCCAAUUUCUUUACGAAGAGCUUCGAUUUUUUGUAUGUCCACUGAGUUCCCUGAAGAAUCUCUAACAUAAAAUACAUUCAUUGCUUGUUCACCAAUGGUUGAGACGCCUGCUCUUAUAACUGAUAACCCAUUCUCCCUCAGGAUCCUUGUUACUUCUGAUAGCAGGCCUACCCUAUCCUUUGCACAUAGCUCUAGCCUAAGCCCCUGAAUGUCAUUGAAAUUUAAUCCAUUAAUUCUAUCAAAACUCAAGAUACAUAUCUUUCUUCUAUCCAGCAUCAAUUAGAGCUUCAAAAUAUUAAUAUGCAUUGAUACAAGUGAAUAGUGCAAUGUGCGUGGCUGCUUAUGAUGGCUAAACUUAGUCUGUUUUGAACUUUCAAGCAGACAAUGAUAGAUUUUCGAUUGCAAUCACCUUGUUUAAUGGAUUCAUUUCGAAAAUUAUAUGUAAUCGUCUUGUACAGACCGGCGUUUGAACUUUGAAGAACUUCAGUAGGGAAUUUUGUAUAAUUAAUGAAUGAGAAAGCAGAAAAGCCAAAAGUGAAGUUCGUAUGCCCAUUCCAGUCUCGUCUAACAUUGCUAACUCCCCCUUCUGAUAACACUAGAUUAAUUAUGAGUUAUGACAAAUUUAAGAAUUUAGUCUCCACUAAUCUUCAUGAUACUGGAAAAAUGCCGAUUAUCAGAAAACUUUAGUGCCUAACUGUGAUCUUAAAUGUAAUUAGCUGUGCAUACUGCAUAUAUAUGUAUUUAUAUCCUUCUAAGAGACGCUUAAGGUAGUUGCCUGCAUAUAUAAUAACCAUUUGUUCAAAUGAAAGAUUAUUCAAAACACUGUACAGUAAUCUGCUAGAUGCAUGCUUUCUUGAUUCAAUUGCGUUUAUUCCUCUAAUUUGUUUAUUUCUUUUAUUUUUCUGAGAUUUCAUUUCCAGGUUUUAAAUAGUAGCUUUUAUUUUAGGCAUUAGAGAAGGGUCUUACCAUAUAAUCACUGUUUAUGACAGUAUUCUUUCAGAUCUUUUUGGGACGUGACAAAGAAAGAUUCAGGAGCUAUUGAUAGUUUGAUUCUAGUGAGUAGACACACAAAGCAGACUAGAAUUGACAAAAAGAAGACUACACAUACAAAGAAGACUAUAUACGUACAUUCAACAAAAUUAAAAAUAUUUAUAGAGUAAAAUGACACCGUUUCAUGAUCAGAUGCUGAUGAUUACCAUGGCUGAUAAGGAAAGCCGGAUAGUUGCAUUUUAUGGACAAAUUUUCCUGUCAAUGCACUCAAAACACGUUUUGUAAUCUCUAAUGAACAUUACAUAGUCCAUUUCUAUGGUGAUAUAUAUUCUUGACUACAGAGGAUUAAUAUUAAGUUUAGUUUAAGAUUGAUCAGCUAGCUGUUCAUAAUUGAUAUAGCAGUAGUUUCACUAGCUAGGUUCCUCUUUCUUCCACAUUUUGUUAGGGAUUUGAGAUUAGGAAGAUAGUAUAUCUGUAAAUUAUAGUUGUUUUUCACUAACCUCGCUUACUCUUCUACGAAUUGCAGCAUCAAUACAUUUGACUACCCUUUCCUUCUCACCUUCGGUAUCAAGGGUGCAACCAUCCAUGUGACGAAUAUAAUACUCCUGCAAUCAAUUAUAUGCAUCAUUUCUAUUGCUAUAAUGAUCAUAUCUUUGAGAGUAUAUAUUGAAGAUGAUACAAAUUAUGUGUAUGGUAUGUACCUGUGAUGCAUAUGGACCAUCAGACGAGAUGGUGGCAUGGAAAACAACAUAUUCCAUAUCAGUGAGUGUGCAUACGAUGUCAAACAUAAGUUUUGCACGAUCUUUGCACCGGACACUGACCACCGAGUAUCCCUUUUCUUCCCAACGCUCAAUGGUGAUCUUUGGUUGGAAACAGGCAGGAAAAUCAACCUCAUUUGAUAAUCCACCACCACCGCCACCGCCAUGGCCGCCACUGCCCUCAUAAUCUCUGUCAGCAAACAACAUCUGGUGGAGCCGUCUAUCCACAUGAGUGAACCCCAUAGAGAAACUUGUGUGACCUACAUUGUCAUCAUCUUCGCACCCACGUAAGAUGUUCUUGAGUCUCUCUUCAAUAGUCGAUAAUCUGGUUGGAUGGUCCACAGGCUGGGAUGUGGUAUCGUUAACAUAAAGAACACAGGCUAUUCUUCUGUUGUGUGUCCAUACUUCAGCAGCAACUACGUUAAAGUGCAGAUCGGCAAGAACAGCAGAGAUCUCAGAUAAGAGACCUGGACGGUCUCUUCCAAUUAGCUCAAUGGCUGUGUGAUCACCUACAGAAUGCACUCCAACCCUUUUUCCUGGCCAAGUCUUCACUACUUCUGUGGUAUCCCCCUUUGGUCCUAAAGCCUAUUCAUGCCACAAAUCAUAGACAACAUUGCUCUUAAUACCAUCACAUGAAAGCAACCCCUUAUGCAGGCUGCUUGGGGAAAUGGUGAGGCUUGGCUUAAUAUUCAAGCCUGCAUUUUCUAUAAAAUGAAAUUAUUACAUCCAGUUUGGAACUAUGAUAAAGGUGAUAUGGUUAACAUUUGCGGUUUGCUAGCCACUGAUGUAGGUCAAUAUUGGAGUGCAUAAGCAUAAAAAAAACAUAUGUUGCAAUAGUAGAGCAAUAGUGGUAGGGGUUUACCUUCUCAAUGUGAUCAAUGGUUUUUCUGUCCGUAAUCUGCUUUCCUUGUUGAUCGGUGACGUGAAACACUGUUGAAAAUAUAUGGAAAUGUCAUGUUUCAUCACUUCAAGAAAAACUUAAGAGCCGAAGAGUAGUUGCCAAGAGUGGAUAAUCCAAUUCUCCUAUGUUGAACUAUCUUACACAACAUUUGAUUUCUUUCUAGAGAGGAGAAAUUGCCAUAACAUAGUAUCGAUCAUGACUCUCAUUUUAGCAGUUACAGAAGAAUAUACGUACCGUCCAUGAACCAUCCACCAUCAGAGGAGAUAUAGGCUUUAGUGAUUAUGAGGUCAAGGUCUGUCAGUACUUGAACAACUUCAAGCAGAAUUCCCGGCUUAUUGACACUAUCAACCUACAAAGACAAAUACACUAAUUUCAACAUGCAUGGUGUAUUAUAUAUCUUCUACACAUGGAUUCUGGAAUAUAUAAACAUGAAGCAAGUCCUGUAUGUUGUGUUGAUCAAUAUAUACAGUAAGAUGUAUACCUAACAAGUAUAUUGUAUAUAUGUAUAUGUUUUCAUGCAAAGCUCUGAAUCGAACAAUAUAAUGUUUAAUGCAUUACCGAAAAAUACUACUGGAAUUUUAUAUAAUGCUUUAGAGGUAACUUUCAUAUGAGUAAAGAAAGAAAAGAAUUCAUUGUAUUCAGCUACGUAUUACGUAUGUACCGAUUGCAGGACUUUAUAUAUAUGUCAGUAGAACCACAACUGUAAUGACUCUAAGCGAAAAUCACCUUGACUAGGGUACAGUCACUGCAGCUCGAGUUGUCCACACAGACCCUGCAAACAUAUUAUGUAGAGAUUUGAACUAUGUACCAAGAGGUGCUAAUUAGUCACUGUAUUCAAUAACAGCUUACUAGCAGCUGUCUAGCACACGUCAAACAACAACUGCCAUCUCUUUGAAGCAUUUCUUUAAACAUCUUGCCGUCUUAAAAUUGAAGUUUUACUCAAAUUCAUUCUUGGAGAAAGGCUGGGUUCAGAGACCCAUCCCCAAUUAAUACCGGCAAUCCAGCAUACAGAGAUCACAAUAGCAGACAUGAGGUUUUGAUGAAUUAGAUGUCAAAGUAUAUUGUUUCCUACUGCUUUCAUAUUCAAGAACACAUAUUAAUUAAGUGAUUUAAGUCCCUACCCAUCAACGUAGCCAUUACCGCUAAAAUGAUGGUAAUGGAGCACUAGGUUGCUGAACUGUGAAACAAAACUACUCUAGUGGUACGUGCAUGAUUCUAACCUUGGAGGAUUGAUUCUUGUGCUCAGGUUUUCAUACUCAGGAUCAAAGUAUGGCGAACAAACUCUUGCCAUUUAAUGAAGUCGAUCAAAAUUGAAGUAUGGCCAACGUGCAAUAAACCAGAAGUACCUUCCUGUGACACAGAGGAUAUCAGAGUGCAAAAGUUAGCUAGACAAUUAAAAUCGAAACACAAACACCUAGAUGCACCAGGAAAAGAGAUUGCAGAUGAAGGCCAGCACAUUCAAUGUCAUAUAUGAAACAACAUUGUAAAGUGCCUCCAAAUAGAGUUCAUCUCGUCCAAAAACAGUAGUAUAAAGUAUAAACUGGUUUGAUGUUAAAAAAAAGAAAAAAAAGAGACAUGUAACACAAGAAAAUCAGUUCUUCCCUCACUGGUUUGAUAUUUACGUACAAACCAGAGAUUAACAUUCAUGCAUAAAGAACAGUACCUGGUUCUCAAUGUUCCUAUAUUAUUAUGAUGUUCUUGAUUCAAAGUCUUUCUACUUGUUUACAAAGCAUUAGAGGGGGUAACUCUUGGCAGACCUCAAAAAUCACGCUCAUAAUAGGACAAAAUAAAUGGAGGAGGCACAAUUCGUCUGUUUUUGCUAUAUUGGUUUGUUUCCUUGAUAUUAGACGAUUUUUGUAUUAUAUGGCUGGCAUUGGCCUAGCCUAGUCCUCUAGCUUAUUUUACAUUUUUUAUUUUUUCAAUAAAUUUUCGUAGGAGGACGAUGUUAGUCUCUCUACGCUUACCCAAAAAAAAAAAGGGGUAACUCUUGCAAAUACGCUCUUACAUUUUCAAGAUUUUGUUCACUUCUUCUUUCUUUUUUUUUUUUUUUUUGGUAAAACGAUUUUUGUUCACUUUAAAUCCUUGGAAUUGUAUGCCUGAAUGAAUUUAUUCUCAGUGUAGGUUUAUAAUUUUGAUUUUAGAAUUACUGAAGUGCAAAUGGACAGCAAAAUAAUUGUAAAAAUUAUUGCGUCUCUAGCUAUCUUAAGUAUCUUCUCUCCUUCCUCACCACCAUCUCUGGUAUUUCUUCUUUCUAUUGGUCUAUCUAGGUAACUCAGUUUUUCCCUGAUCUACCUCCUGUAUAUGGUGGCUUUUCUCUGCCAUUUAGAAUCCGAUUACGACUUCUUCGCUUUUGGGCGGGAUCUCAUUGAUCGAAUUCUAUUGCUUUCUGGUUAUGUUUGGUUCCUUCAACAUACAUGAGGGUCUCAUUAUGUCUUGUUUGGUUGCAUGGAUCAUUAGCGAGCGAUCUAUGGAGUACUGAUGGACCGCAUCGAUCGAUCCCUCAUAGGAGAAAACGCAAAUGUAUUUCUAGUUUUUUACUCAUGUACUGAACCUCUGCAUGCACUGUACUAAAUUUCUUGUGGAUUUUUCUUUUUGAGUAACUAACUUUCUUGAGGAUUUUAUAGAGAAAUCAUGUGACAUGUAUAUAUACGUGUACCUUGCGUUGCCUGUGCACAAGAGACUUGGGAAUGUCGACGACAGCAAAGAACCACCCCAAAAGAGGUUUUUGUAGGUGUUGAUGAUCGAGAGGUACGUACUCACACAGUCACACUGGUAAAAAUAACCUGCGCACAAAAUGACAAUAUCAUCAGCACAGCUGCAAUACAAGUUAAGGUUUCAUCAACUGGGCACUGAGAUAGUCAAAUAUACACAAUAUUGCACGAUAUAGUUAUAUAUACUCUAGCUUUAAUUUAACUAAGCAGUGAGCAUGAAACUGUUAAUUAAACUGGUUUCAUUGUCUUGAUUUUAACACGAAAAUACUCACAAAACUAAUUGAAGAGAGAAGUAUCAAAUACAACAGGGAGUUAAGUAAAUCAAAACUCUUAGCUAGCUAGAGAUCAUACUGAAAGAGACAACUGCAGACUCAAAAUUGAUUAAUUUGAAUCGAUGUAAAGACCCAAUUACUUACACCAGUUAUCAUACUGCCCGCAUGACCUUUUCUUGCUUUUAGAAUAAGAAAAAUAGGAAGUUCAAGAUCCAAAUCUCAUAUGGAGAUCAAUAAGUUUGUAAACAUAUUACAUAUACUUACUCAUUUUCAUCUUGGUUAGGUCUUUAACAGUAAAAAGUUGACAUGCAUGACAUAUAUAAACGCGUCACAUAGUCAUGUGUGAGCAAAACACACGUUUAGUGAUGUAGAACAGAUGGAAAUAGAGAUCAAAGAGCAGAUUGAUCGAAACAAGUCCAAACCCAGUUUGCUUCAGAUUUGGCAUUCAGUGUCUGAUUGAUCAUUAUAAUACCUUUCUGGAAACGGAACGGCUCAACGAUCAAACUCGUCGCUUUGCCACGACGUAUGGGUUUUUUAGGCCAUCCGAGUCCGUUUAGGCCUCCAAAAUACAGAUUUACUUCUUUUCAGCAAUUAUUUUUAAUAGUUUGUUUUGGAUUUGGUUUUCUUUUAAUCCAUGGGCUUUUAGCUAGGCUUGGAUGUUAGUUGGCCUAGGGUUUAUUUGCUCCUUUAUAAGGACUUUUUAUCAGUUGUAGUCAUCAGCUUUUGAUUAAUAAAAACUUUUGAGAUUUUCUCAAUUUUUCUGGUGGAUUCCAGAUUCUCUCGUGGAUUCAAGAAAAUCAAACUUGUGGAUUCAAGUCGCCGUUAGUGGAUUCCAACGUUUAUAUUUCCAUUGCAUCAAUUGGUAAUCAAAGCAGGAUUUUUUUUUUCCUAGUGGUUAUGGACUCGUAGUCAUGGGUGAUCAAGUUCUUGUUACCCGCCAACCUCAACAACACUGGUCGUAGAAUAUCUAUCCAAAAUUGAAGAGGAACAUACCAAGGGAUUCGCCCUAGGUUAACCUCAUCAAUUCAAUUCAAAAAAAAGAAAAAAGAAGAAGAAGAAGAAGGAAGCUAGCAUGGAACAUUGGGUAUUCACAUCGCCAGAUUAUGACGACCUUCAAACAACAUGUUUCAUCAAAGACAAGGUAUGGUCGGCAAUAAUUGAUAGUAGCCUGCAAGAGAAUUUUACAACAAGUAAGGUUGUUGAUUACCUUCAAUUACCGACAAUGAAGCUGAGCGAUCCGUAUUGGAUUAAUGGUCAUGCACAAGUAACAUAGGUUUGUAAAGUUCAUAUCUCUAUAGGAGAAUUUUAUAACGAUGAGCUCACUUGUCCUGUGAUUGACAUGGACGACACUGAUGUGCUUUUCGGAAGACCAUACCUAUUUAAUUAGGUGGGAGUCGCGCAAGAUUAAAAUCAAGCCUUUAGCGAAAGAAGUCUCACAAGAAACCAACCAUGAUGAUCAAGAGGUUAAAGAAGAAAGAGCUUGUUUUGACAUGAUUAUCCACAUUGAAGAAACCUUGCAGCCACAAAUAAUUUGUUCAGAUGUCUUCCAAGAAUGCAAUCUUGAGAGCCAAGGAGAAUCUAUUCAAGUUGCCUAUGAUGAACUCAUUUAUGGCAUGGGAUUCAUGAUUGUGCCAUCAAAAUAUGCAAAAAAUCAUACCAGCAAUCCACAUGUUCAAUUGUCUAAUAUUUUAUUGGAUUUUCCUCCUACAAAAUCUUGUUUUUCAUUCAAGAUGAACUCGAGGUCGAGUUCUUUCGUAGUGGAGGAGACUGAUGUAGAACGAUAAUGGGCCAAAUUUAGACAGAAAAAAAUAAAAGUCAAGAAGCGGUGAAUAAUAAAAAAUAAUAAGAUCGGUAAUUCUCGUAUCAUGAGGUUGUUAGCCGCUGGAAUAUUCAAGAAGAUGUUGUUUUGCACUUUUCGAGUUUGUCGCGCAAAAUUUAUUAUAAAUCUGAUUUGAAGUAACUUUUACCAUCUGUUCUACAUCAGAUGAUGAUUUCAAACAGGUUUGGGAGCAGUGUGUUAGCAAGAAACAACCAAUUGCUGGUUUUCUUAUCAAUGAAGGAUAUAUGUUUCGAGACAACCAGUUAUGUGUACCCAAAUCUUCUUUUUACAUGGGGGAGGAUAAUAUGGUCACUUUGGAAAAGACAAGACAACUGCAACCUUGGAGGCUAGGAGCGUUAUUACUAGCCUCAGUUAAAGCGAGACGUCAACAAUAUUGUCAGGAAGUGCUAUGUUUUGUUAGGUAUCUAAGGGUCGGUCCCAAAAUAAUGGUCUUUACAUGCAUUUACCUGUUCCUGAUGAAUUUUGGCAUGAUGUUUCUAUGGAUUUUGUGUUGGGUUUACCUCGAACUUAAAGAGGGGUGGAUUCUGUGUUUGUGGUGGUAGAUAGAUUUUCAAAGAUGUCACAAUUUAUUAGUAAGAAAACUGCAGAUGCUGCGAAUAUAGCCAAAUUGUUUUUCAUGAAGGUUGUUCGUUUGCAUGGGGUGCUUAAGUCCAUUAGCUCUGACCGUGAUACGAAGUUUUGAGUCACUUCUGGUUAACAUUGUGGAAGCAAUUUGGGACAACCUUAAAGAGGAGUACUACAGUUCACCCCAAAUAGAUGGACAGAUUGAUGUUACAAAUAGGAGUUUAGGUAAUAUGAUUAGGAGUGUCUGUGGAGAUAAGCCGAAGCAGUGGGACCUUGCCUUACUUUAGGUAGAAUUUGCUUACAACAGUUCUAUGCAUAGUGCCAUUGGUAAGUCACCUUUUUCUGUGGUCUACACUUCUGCCCCACGACAUGUAGUUGAUUUGACAAAGCUGUCAAAAGGACGAGGCGUUAGUGAUGUUGUAGUUAAAAUGGCUGAGGGUGUUUAGACAGUUCAAGAAGGGAUAAAAGCAAAGUUGGAGAAGACAAACACCAAGUACAAGACUGUUGCAGACAAGUGUAGGCGUGUGAAGGUGUUUAAUGAAGGGGAUUCAGGCAUGGUUUUUCUAAGGAAAAAGAGGUAUUCCGUUGGCACAUAUAACAAGCUGAAACCCAGGAAAUAUGGACCAUUCAAGGUACUGAAGAAGAUUAAUGAUAAUGCUUAUGUUAUUGAUCUUCCUGCCUCUAUGGGGAUUUCAAAUUUUUUUAAUGUUGCUGAUUUACAUGAGUUUCAUGAGGAUGAUUCUUCUUUUGGUGAUAAUAACUCGGGGUCGAGUUCUUCUGAAGUGGAGGAGACUGAUGUAGAACAUAUGACAACAGAGAUUGAACAGAUUGAUCGAAACAAGUCCAAACCCGGUUUGCCCCAGAUUUGGUGUUCGGUGACCGAUUGACAAUUAUAAUACCUUUAUGGAAGCGAAACGGCCCAAAUGAACCAAACUCAUCGCUUCGCCACGAUGUAUGGGCUUUUUAGGCCAUCCGAAUCCGUUUAGACCUCCAAAAUGCAGAUUUACUUCUUUUCAACAAUUAUUUUUAAUAGUUUGUUUUGGAUUUGGUUUUCUUUUAAUCCAUGAGCUUUUAGGCUUGGAUGUUAGUUGCCCUAGGGUUUAUUUGCUCCUUUAUAAGGACCUUUUAUCAAUUAUAGUCGUCAGCUUUUAAUAAGCCUUUGAGAUUUUCUUAACUUUUCUGGUGAAUUCCAGAUUUUCUCGUGGAUUCGAGAAAACCAGACUUGUGGAUUCAAGUUGCCGUUGGUGGAUUCCAACGUUUAUAUUUCCACUGCAUCAUUUAGAGUUAUUUAUACUCAUCUAAAUAAACAUAAGAGGCUUUGUACGUGAUAACUAAUUGGCCAAUUGAUGGUUAAUGUUUUUUUUUCAUAAAAAAUUCAUAUAGUGGACUACUUCAAAUAAGAAUUAUUUCAUUUGAAAAUUACAAAACCAUUAAGGAAAUGUAUUUAGACUAAAAGAGAAUAAGGAAAAUGUAUUUAGACUAAAAGAGAAUAAGGAAGGAGAGAAAGAAAAGGGGAAUAAAAGAGCCCCUGAAAUUAACGUGUUAGAGGUGACAUAAAGAGUUGAUUCUGAACUUUAUGCACCACCAUCCGUAUCUCCACCAUCCCAGAAUGCAUCUUAAGUUCCACCCAUCAACAUGUCAAUGGAACAUGACCAUUCAUUCCGCUUUCGGAUAGUUAAUUUUAAACAGAAACUUUUUGAAAGUUUUUAGCACAAAAUAUAAAAGAAAUUAUGGGAAUUAUGGAUGGCUAAAAUGUAAAUUUUCUGGAAGGCGAUUUGUACUCGUGAUCUUUUUCAACGAACUGUGAGGCUGUGAGAGAGUAAGCUAUCUACACCAUAACAUGUGAAUCCAAAGUUCCAAACUCAAAAGCUGAAAACUACAAAUUCAGAGAAACCUUAGUCAUGUACGUACCAGAGACAUGUCAUUCACUAUUUAUCUUUAUCCCUCCAGCUAGCUAUAGCUAGCUUCCAACUUAAGCAAAGAUGGCCUCCAGAUCUUGAACUGCAAAAGUAAAAUAAGGAGCAAAAACAUGAAUAAACAUAAUUAGAAAAACCCAAGUACGUACAUAAUAUGAUCAGUAAGGAAAAGAAAGGGAAGAAGGAAAACAUGAAAUGAAACCCGCGUACCUUUAAAAAGGGUAGUAAUUAAGUUCCUCCCAAGUCCAAGUUUGGAAGCAGGAAUCAAAGAAGAAUUCUUUACAUGAUGCAAUGGUUGAACUAGCUACAGCUCAGAAAUAAUAGCAGCGAGAGAGAGAGAGAGAGAGAGAGAGAGAGCUAGGAAUGAGAAGGAAGAGGGAGGAGGAGGUGGGGGUGGGUGCAGAGAGUGGUGGUGUUAAUGGAAAGGGCGCAGAGAAGUAGUGUGUUUGUAGUGGUGGCUUUGUUGUCUACGUUGGAAUACCACUAUCAUUUUUCUCUAUCUGGCCGGGUUCUGCGUUUCUGUCUCUCUCUGUGUCUGUGGUGGUGUUAAAAAUGAAUGGAUCUCAGUUGCCACUUGGGCAUGGCGUGGCGUUGUGCGGCGAAUAGUGCCUCGACCUGCUUUUUAAAUUUUUAAUUGUACUUUAAUUAUAAAAGAUUAAAGAUAUUUAAUUGAUCCAAUCAUUUGAUUAGGGUUUGGUUGGUCGAAAUGACGCGGCGACCAAAACAGCAGCUUCUAGUUGCCCGGCUUCUUUUUCAUUCUACUCUCCGCUGUUACGCGCGUGGGGCUAUGUGUUUUGCUUUGCACAGACAUUAAGGUCGCUCUCUCUUUGCAUAUAGAAACUAAGAACGUCUUCCAGGUCCUCUCGUGUUUCUCGCUGAAUAAGUAAAUAUAAGAGCAACUUUAACAGAUUCUUUAUUUUAACUUUUAACUAUUUUAAAGAGUAUGUUUAGUUUUUAUAAUAUUUUUGAAGCUACAACAGACUAGCCAAAGUUUAGCUAUUAUGACUUUUAGCUAUCUCGCUAGCUAAAUAUAAAGAGCGAGAUGACUCAGAUGAGGCUAGUUAUAAUUUAAUACAUUUUUAAAGUGGCUAGCCAAAAAUAACAUUUUAGCUAAUUUGGCUAAAAUUUAACUCAAAAAUAGUUGACAUUGCUAAAGAUGCUCUAAAGGUUUACACAGGAUGGAUCAAGAACCUGGCGACCUGGAGUUAGCCUAGGUUAGGAUCAAUCAAAGCUAAACUAAAUCAAGGGGUUCGAUUCUCCAAUGAAAAACCUAUGAAAAAGAACAAAAAGGGUUCCUUGAGUUAGCUUCCUAAUUUGCUCAUUAAUUAUUACAGAUAUAAAAGUGUUUAAAUAAAAAAAAGUCCGCAAAGUAUAUUUUUAAAUAUACAAGUGUUGGUUAACCUUUCAUAUCGUAGCUUUUUAAGUUGUGGCUAGCAGCUGACAUGUUUACUUUCAUAGCUCUAUGGAAGGCUCGGAAUAAGCUAAGGUUUGAUAAUCGAUCCCCUAAUUUCUAUACAAUGUGUUGCUCAAUUAUGGCAUGGAUUCGUCAAAUUAGCUUUUUUGCUCCUAGUCACUAUAAGGGUGUUCUUGAUGCCCGUUUAUUGGCCUCUCUUGGAGUUACUCCUAAAUGUGGUAAGACUCCUAGAAUUCAACAUGUCUUAUGGCAGCCUCCGUUUUUUCCUUGGAUCAAAGUAAACACAAACGGUCUAGCAAAAGAUAAUCUAGGUCCAGCAGCUUGUGAGGGUGUGUUUCGUGAUGCUUCAGGUGAGUUUUUAAGGAGUUUUUGUCAUUCGCUUGGAUGAAAUAUUUCCUUUUAUUCUGAGCUUUAUGCUGUUAUCUUGGCAAUUGAAAUUGCUCAUGAUAGAGGGUGGGUCUACUUAUGGUUGGAAAGUGACUCUGUUAGUGUGGUAGCUUGCUUCUCUUCUAGAUCUUUUUCUCCUCCAUGGAACUUAAGAGUUCGUUAGAACAAUUGUCUUUCUAUAAUCUGUCAAAUGAACUUCUGUUGCAGUCAUAUUUUUAGAGAAGGAAAUAUGGUAGCUGACAAGAUGGCAAACCUGGGGUUGUCAAAUGCUUAAUUUACUUGGUAUGAUAAUCCUCCUAUUGAGCUUCAUGGUUUCUUGCACAUGGAUUAUUUGGGUAUCCCAAAUUAUCGGUUUUCAUAGUGAGAAGAUUGUCUGAUUUUUAUGGGUAGAAUAAACAAUGUCUUUUGGUAUGUUGUUUUGGUUUGUAAUUGGAAUGGUUUUGGUUUAGUCCCCCAUUCCUCACUUCAUGUAAUUUCUUUUGUUAUUAUAAAUAAUAUAAAAAAAUCUGAUAAGGGACGGGCGGUGGGUUCCCUGUUGUAGCGGUCCCCUUCAGGGUAGAGUGGGUGCUCUGUUACCCACCAGACUGCUACAGAGGAGCUGAUAUCACCUAAUCCUUGUCAAUAAUUUAUAAUAAAAAAAAAAAAUGCUUGUGAAUAAUAUCAAAUAGCUUUUCGUCUUUUACCAUAUUAGUCUUUUUGGAAAUUGACAAGUACGUAUGGCCAAAUUAAAGAAAGAAAUGGAUUGGUACACUCAAUAAUUAGGCGCGUGGGUUAAGUGCUCAUGAUUAAGUGGUAUCAUUGUCUUUGCUGGUAGAUGGCAUAUAUACUGUCACUGUGAUCGUAUGUAUAUGCCGGUUGUCCAUGCAUUUAUGUUGUCUUCAUCAUCUGCUUACCUAGCGACAGCAAAGCUUUCGCGCGCUAAAUAGACAACUCUACGCCUGUUCAAAAAAAAAAAAAAAAAAUCCAGACAACUCUACGAUAUGACCAAGAAAUUAAAAGGAUACUGAAAAAUACAAGUAUACAACUCAUCAAACAUAGCUUUAGGUUUUAGUUAACUUAAAUAUGUAGUUCGAUCUCAAUGCACCUAAUUAGGUAACUGCAUGUCACUAUAUACCUAGACAUGUACAUACCUAACAAAAAAUCAAACAUAUAUAGCUGGAACACACUCCCUAUAACACUCCCUAUAGUCGAGCCAACCAUCAGAGCAACCUCGAGCUUUAAUUUAGUGACUAAAGCAACUGGAUGGUAGCCUAGAUAGUUCGACAUAUAAAGAUGCAUGCAUAUAUAUAAGAUCGAUCGGAUGUUCAGAACUUGAGUGGUACCAGUCAAAUUCCAUGACGGUUGUAAUAGUUUUUCUGUGAAACAAUCGUCGACCCCCAUUUAGAAUUCAUAUUGAUCUGCUGUCCGAUAAAUAUUCGACUGUCCGAACCCUGGAGGAAGUACAAGGUACCCAUCAACCCAUGAACGCCUUUGGUUCAUUCUUCUUGUUCGGCAGAGAAGCAAGACAACCUACAUUAUAAUGAUGUUGUGAGAUUGUAGCGCUUCUGCAUAUCUGCAAAGAUUGCAAGUAAUCAUGUAGCAAGCAUAGUAGAGAGUAUAGACUUGAUCGUCAUCGCUAAAGCUUUCUAACAAAGACGACGGCAUUGCCGCAUUGCUAAUUGCUAUAAUGUUUAGCUGGUAUUAUUGAGUACCCUGGCCUUAGAAAUGACUGUUAUAUUGACUAAUGAAGCUAGUAGACAGACCUAAAAUGAAGCCAGUAGUUAACAGUCCUAACACCCGUAUAUUGUCUUUCUGUUUGACAAAGUAAAGACCUAAAUUUCGAAACCAUUGUAGAGAUUCAACAUCAGCAAUAACUUUAGGGGUUUAUUCAUCAGAUAAUAAGCGAAGACCGAAAGUGGAAUUCUGUAGCAUUUUAUGUGUUGGAGACUCGGAGUUGGACUACCUCUAUCAUCCAUUCAAGGGUCCAAUUUAUAUUCCCUUUCUAGCUAAUUGUACUCUCCCAACUUGUUUUUGCAACAAACGAUCGAUCAUAUACAACAUCGAUCAUUCUCUCUUUAUAUCCUUAAACAACUUGUACUGCAGAUAUUCAAAGUUUGCUAGAUGAUCGAUCUGCAUGCACCGUAAGAAAUAGAAUCAAAUUCCCACACAUGACCUAGCGAUCGAGCUAGUAUUUCAUCAAAAACUAAAACCCUCAACAAUUUGCAAUCUCAUAGGUCGUUCGAUCUUUAUAUAAACUUUGCUUUUGUCUUUUCGAAGGAGAAUCGGGAUCACAUGCUCGAUCAAUAACUUUUGCAGAUAGGUCGUUUUUCACAAAUGAUUUGUAUACUAUUGCCCAAUUCGAUUAACAGUUUUGAAUAUUAAUGAUCAGACUAGCUUUGGAAUAAAAUAGCAUGUUUGCUAUAUAUACAUGCAUUCGAUUAAUUAGUAUCAUGAUCACUGCUAUAUAUAUACUUUAUACAUUCUCUUUAAUCCGAAUUAAUAGCAGACCUAUGAGAACUUUCAAAAUACAAAAUUAGUACAGAACAAUGAUUAAGGCCUCAUGUUAAUAGUUUUAUAUUAUCAAACUAUGGUUGCCAUGCUUUAGUUUUGAAGUCGUUAUAGAAAAUUUUGUAUUAGAAAAGAAAAAAAGAAUUAAGGCCAGGUCAUGAUCGAUCUUACUUCACAAGGUGAUUCUUUUGUUGAAAGUGGCAUAUAUGCAUAUAAUCAUGUAUGUCAUCACCACUGAGAGUGCAGCUCCGUUUUUCUCGUUCCCCAUUUGUUGAGUGCUAUCGAUCGAGUCCACUUGUUCGGAUAUACUAGAUUCAAACCUAUCAUGAAAUGAGCAUAUAUAUAUAGAACAAACUAAAGCUAGAUCGACAGUCGUCAUAAUAUAUAUGCACAUUUGUAUUGACAACAACGGUACAACACAAUCAUCUAUAUGUACGUACAUUACCAUCUUGAAUCAUACUCUCUCAACAUUUUUUUUUUGUAGUGGAAGCUAACAAUAUAUGAAUUGUUGACAUACAUCUCUAUCAAUUCAUCGAUUCGCAGCUGAGUAUACAAAUCAAUCAACGUCUUACCCUUUCAUUUGUUCCAACUUCCAACCUCUAUGUCCGGUGAUAGAAAGAAAAGAGAUACACACACACACAAAUAUACUUUUAUCAGCUAGCUAACCAUACUAUCACCAUUUACAGUUUGUGGUGAGAACUGUUACUUGGUCUAAACCCUAGACACCAACUGAGGAGUGAGGACACGAUCAACCCUAGAACUAUCUCUUUCCAUGAAGGAAGAGGUCCACAGGCUGAUCACAAGGCAUGUAAAUGUUGUACUCACAUCACCAUCUAUAUGUUGAGAUGACUAUAUAUACGUGCCUCCAAUUUUGGUGGCAUCUUACAGAUGCAAUGACUUUAUAUCUGCUAAAACAAACAAACAAAGUACGUACGUAGGUCACUCAAGAAUAUGAUUAUCCUGAAUUGUUUGACAAAAAUGAAAAUUCCAAUAAAAAAUUCUUCUAUACAUUAAAGUGUAAUUAGUGAUUCAGCAUUUAUUAUGCAAUCUCAAAAAUUGAUAUUUAUAGUUAACUAUAUUAUUUCAAUAAUUAGAUAGUAUAUUAACAAAUGCAAUCUAACCUCUUAUAUAUGUUGGUUUAAGUGCGCACUUUGGUGCUUUGAAUCCUCUCUCCAUUCCAUAUAACAAAUUAGUGUUAAACUUUACAAGUACGUACAUACAUACAACAUCAUUUCAAGAAGCACUUUACAUAUAUUUUCUAAAAGAAACACAUCUAGUUCUUUCACUGAAACUCACGUCAACUAUUUCUUUGGAUUGCUUUAUAAAUAUUGACGCCUACAUAUAUGUUUUAUUUUUUUGAAUAAAGGGUUGGUGUGGUAGUUCUCAAGCGUUCAUUAAUGAAAUCGUUGAAUACAAGGUGGACAUGCAGCUUAAACCCCUGAUUACAAAGACCUGAAAUAACAACGAACAUGUAUUCAAACAAGCACCAACUAGCAAAUAAUACUACUUUAAUGGCGACUAUGUUUGCUUUGUCACAACGGUGACACAAUAGAAAGAACUCUAGACAUGUACCACGAUUACAUAUCUUAAUGUCCAAUAAUAUAAUUUUCCUACUAUGUUGUCGUAGGACAAUAAACCUGACAACACUAGUUUCAUCCUGCACCUAGGAGAUAGUGACCAUUUGACCAAGCAAAUUACGCACCGCCUACCUAGAACAUAAUAGGCACACAAGAUGCAUAGACCAACAAGAGCAAUUUGAGCCCGACCACAAAGUAAUAUGACAUUAUUCGCGGCAUAAAACCGCCUAACAAAAAAUUGAAAAUGCAAUAAAACAUAAAUAGAUAAUAAUUAAAAUAAAAAAUAAAGUUAAAAUAAUUUGGGCCCAGAACCCAAGCCCAAGUCCAGGCCUGGCCCAAUUACCACCUAGCUCAAGCCAAUAAUGCAGACGGUAUAAUUCAGACCGCCACCAUCUCUUGCACAGCGCCGCCAUCGCCCCAAGAUCAACGACAUGCCUCCCGCACCCAGACCACACCUCCAUCUCUCUAUCCUCAUUGUCACGCCAGAGAGCUACGCACCUCCUCCAACCCACCCCUCGCAAGGACAGCUCCACCCAACCGACAAUCUGAUCGGAUCCGAGUCUGUCGGCUCCAUGUCUCGCCGCCAUCCACUCUUUCCUCUGAAGCAACCACCGUCCGAGCUUUGUUCGAGUAUGAAACAUCAGCGUUAUUGUCGGUUUCCCACCUAACCAUCGUCGCCGACCUUCGACCAGGCGUCCACACAAGUUAAAGGCGAAACCAUCCUCCUUCCGCCUGCACAUCGACUGGGCUUGCUCCACUAUUUGCCAUAAACUAGGUCCCUAUUGGCCCGUCCGACGACACCGCCGCAAAGACGUGUCGUUGGACCGGGCAUGCACUGUUAGGAAGAUGACGCCGCCCUCUUAGGGUUUAGAGAGAAGUUUUUUUUUUAAAGUAGAGAGUGCAUAAAAGUCAAUUCUGGCUGACGCCUACAUAUAUGUAGAUGUACAUGAUAUGUUUGUUUUCAAUUACUAUCCUACCUAAAUUCACAUAUAUAGUAAGUCCUCUGCUGUGUUCAAUAAUAACAACACCCUUAAACUUGCAAGUGCUUGAUGGUAGUAUGAACAUCGAUCCUUAUCCCUUUUGCUACUACAGAUAAGGACAUCCUCUACCUUGUUAGAAAGAGUAGGGCAUAACUUUUCUAAUUAGGCUAGUGCAUGAGAUGUCUCUAAAGCUGGAAUUAUUCCCUCAAAUGGUGACAACAUUUCAAAGGCUUCCAAUGCUUCAUCUUUAAUAACACUGUAGUACUGAUCAACACGCUCUAAGUCUUUUAGAAACUAUUUUCCAGUCCAACCCAAAGGUAAUCCAAACCUGCACUUAUGGAAUGAGGCUCUAUAAUUUGGCCAUUUUCAUCCUGUAAUAAAUAGCUCAUAGAUCCAUUCAAAACCCCAACAUUCCCUUUCAUUAAAGUUGUCGCAUGCUUGCCAUUGUCGAAUCCAAACCAUACAACCUCAACCCCCUAUCAAUUAUACAUCUUUGUCUUCAACAAACUCAUGGAAUAGUCUCAUAGCAUUUAAUCCUCCACCAACACAAGCAACUAGCAUCGAUCUCUGCUAUCCCACCCCACUUUUCGAGUGUUGUUUUCUUGUAAAUUUACUAAUCACCUUAUUGAACUCGCGAACUAUCAUAGGGUAUGGAUGAGGACUAGAAACAGAGCCCAAAAUAUAAUGAGUUAUUACAACAUUAAUCACUUAGUCCCUUAUAGCUUCUGAAGUAGCAUCAUUUAGUGUUGUUGUUCUAUAACGAACAACUCUAACCUCAGCACCAAGAAGCCGCAUCCGAAAGUCGACGUUGAGGCUUACCCUUUCAUAUCUUUAGCACCCUUGUAAAUAAUACACAUGAACAAAAAACGAGCACAAACCAUGGCAGUGGCAAUUCCUUGUUGACAUGCUCUAGUCUCAGGAAUAAUGUGUUUCUUAACCAACCGCUUAACGAGCAAAGCUUGACAAACAUCGUUGUUGUUCUUGUGUGCCCCGAUAUGAUCAAUGAGAGAGGAAAUUACAAAGACGUAUCAGCUUGAGGAAAGUUGAAAACUGUACGCUUAUUGUUUAAGAAAGAAUGAAGUGUUCAUUAAAGUUCAAAUAGUUUCCCCAUUAACAAGCAUAUAGAAUACAUCAUUCUUGAUGAUUUGAUAUGGACUGGAAGUGUAUUGAGCUAUUGUGUAGAAGAAGGUGAGAUUAAAACAAAAAGAACAAAGUUGGACCUUCAAUUUUGCGUUUGGGUUUUAAAGGAAAUGGUGCCCUAGGCCAAAAUCACAUAUUCAUCAUCGUGCUAGAUUUCAUUCAUCACGCUUGGUUUUCAUCAAUAUAUGAGAAUAUUCUGUCUCCCUAACUUUCAACACCACAAUUGCUUCUGCAAGUCCCAAAAAUCACUACCAGGACAAGCACUUUAGCCGAUGAAAAAGUUUCGUCGGCCUGUUAGCUUAAUUCGUCGGCUAUGGUUUCGUCGGGAAAGGGUCGUCGAUGAUGACUUUAGCCGACGACACUAGAAGACGUCGUCGGCUAUUAUCUAGGACAAUAGCCGACGAAUAUCUUAAAUGUUUAGCCGACGAUAUUCGUCGGCUAAAGUAUGUAAUAAAAAAUUAAAAAAAUAACUAUAGCCGACGAAAUAUAGUCUGUUUCGUCGACUAAACCUUAUAAAAAAUUUUUUUAAAAAUACUAUAGCCGACGAAUAUAGUAUUUAAAUAUCGUCGGCUAAAGUUGCUGGUUUUUGAAAAAAAAACUGCAAAAACUUUCGGCCACCUCCAAUCACCACCAAAAUUUGACAGAAUCUUCCUCUCAACAUUUCGAACAACUUUCUAGCAGAAGUCGAAACCCAAUUCUAAGCCUAAAUAGGUCAAUUGAAUCAAAAUAUAAAAAUCUCCAAUUUUAAACCCUAAAAACUUCAAAUCUUCGAUUCUCCUCACACACACCGAAUCGAGCUACCAAAUUCUAGGGGAAUGUAGUACUAAUCAAACUCAACUUAUCCAUAUAUAGAACUCACCAAAUGGUGACCUGAGGAAGGAGAAAUUCGAUCGACACCGAAUCCGAACCGGCGGAGUUUUGGAGCUCGAUUUAUCCCUCACGGCGGCGCCACUCGAUACACCACCUGUCCAGCAAUGAAGUAGAGACGACGGCGAAACUUUUGGGACUAGUGUGGCAGUCUCUGGGGGCUUGACGGCGGAGCUAGGCCGAAAAGAAAAUCCGGAACUUUUUCUGAUUUUCUAACUUCUUACCAUCCACCUCCGGUAAAACUCCUAUAUAAAUAACUUUACCCGACGAAAUUUUUUAUUUUUGUCGGCUAAACUCUUUAGAAAAUUUUAAAAAUUUUGGUUAACCGCCAAAAUUUUUUUGACAAUAGCCGACGAAAUCAUAUAUUUUUGUCGGUUUAAGUCCUUUGGAAAUUUUGAAAAUUUUGGUUGACCGCCAAAUUUUUUCGACUUUAACCGACGACUUUUCAUAUAUUUUCGUCGGCUAAAGUCCUUUGAAAAUUUUACCGCCAAAAUUUUUUUGACCUUAGACGACUUUUUUAAUACCUCGUCGGCUAAAGUCUAUAAAUUCACGAAAACGCUCAUAUCUCCCUCUAUAUUACGUAGUUUGGUCAAACCUUCCCCACGAAAAACUCUCACGUAGAUGAGACGCAACCGCCUAUAUAAAAAUUUUGAGACAUUUACCUUCCGACGAUAGGGCUCCUCAUAGGGAAUAAUAACGGUAAAUAGGGUUGACCGCUACUAUCGGCACCGAGAUGUUACCCGAUUUACGUGAUUUUUGAACCAUAGCCGUAUUUCACCAUUCUGAACACAUUUUAUUUCACGAGAUUUUUGAUAAUUUUGCUUCUUACAUGGAGUUGGUUCACAAAGUUGUAUAACCUACUAAACAAGUAAUACAACAUUAGUAGACACGUUGUGAUUCCGAUGACUAAAAUUCACAAACCAAAAUUCAACCGUUAGAUAUGAUCAUUAUGACGAAAGAUGUCUAUGGUAAAAAAUUCAACUGGAUCCGACAACGUUAAGGGCUCGAUCGAAACAGUCAACCCUAAUCCAUCGUCACUUAUCACACGAAAACGCUCAUAUCUCCCUCUAUAGUACAUAGUUUGGUCAAACCUUCCACAUGAAAAACUCUCACGUAGAUGAGACGCAACCGCCUAUAUAAAAUUUUUGAGACAUUUACCUUCCGACGAUAGGGCUCCUCAUAGGGAAUAAUAACGGUAAAUAGGGUUGACCGUUACUAUCGGCACCGAGACGUUACCCGGUUUAAGUGAUUUUUGAACCAUAGCUAUAUUUCACCAUUUUGAACACAUCUUGUUUCACAAGAUUUUCGAUAAUUUUGCUUCCUAUGUAGAGUUGGUUCACAAAGAAGUUAUACAACAUUAGUAGACACGUUGUGAUUCCGAUGACUAAAAUUCACAAACCAAAAUUCGACCAUCAAAUAUGAUCAUUAUGACGAAAGAUGUCUAUGAUAAAAAAUUCAACUGGAUCCGACAACGUUAAGGGCUCGAUCGAAAUGGUCAACUCUAAUCGGAAAUAAGAAAACUGCAUUUUGAAGCCCUAAACAGACUCGGAUGGCCAAAAAGACCCAUAUGUCAUGGCAUAGCAAUGAGUUUGACUCGUACGGCUGUUACGCUUCCGGAAAGGUAUCACAAUAGUCAAUCGGACACCGAAUGCCAAAUCUACAGCAUACUGGGUUUCGACUGUUCUACAUCAGAGACGUUACCUGAUUUACAUGAUUUUUGAACCAUAGCCGUAUUUCACCAUUCUGAACACAUCUUAUUUCACAAUAUUUUUGUUAAUUUUGCUUCUAUGUAGAGUUGGUUCACAAAGUUGUGUAUUUGUUUAAAACCUACUAAGCAAGUUACACAACAUUUUAUUGUUUUUCUUUUAGCCGACGAGAUUUUUUUUUGUCUACUAAAAUACUUUAGCCGAUGAGUGAAAACUUUGGCCGACGAAGGAAAACUUUGGCCGACGGAAAAAAAAUUUCAUCGGCUAAAGUAUAGUAUAGCCGACGAAAUUUUAAAUUAGCCGACGAAGGAAAAUUUCGUCGGCUAACGUGGACUUUAGCCGACAACAAAAUAAUUUGUCGGCCUGGUUUUUUUAUUUUCGUCGGCUAAAGUCUUUCUUCUGGUAAUGGAUGUAUGGAUGUGGCUUGGCCACAUAUACAAUAUGUUUUCCUGAUAAAAAAAAAUCAUAUAAUUGUAUAAGAUUUCAUCCAAAUUGCAUUCGAAAGAUCGUGAGAGCUUGCCUUUCUAUAUCUUGAGCACUCAUGCAAAUAUUACAUUGCAACUCUGUUUCUUCAAUAUUUCAUUGCACAUCUCAUUCUCGUAAUCAAAUAAAGAAAUAUUUGUAUUUAUCUUAGUCUUCGCUUUUCUCUCAUUAAAAUAAAAAACUAAAUAAAGAAGUAGUCAUCAUGAGAAACAACCUGUAAAAACUUAUCUAAUAAAAAAAAACUUUCUCUUGCUUAACGAUCUUUAAAAGCGAAUAUCAACUUGUGCUUAUUGUUUGUUUGGGUAGGGGAUGUAAGGGUUACGACAUAAAAUAACUUUUCAAUCAAUUGAUUAGCGUAGAAAACGGAAUAUAUAUGGAUAUAUUUAAUAUGACAAAGAAGAAAGAUUUAUUAACUUGAAAUAGAAAAACAAAUAAGAGGAUAUGAAGCGAGAUCCUUUUAGUGCAAAAGAACAACAUAAUUUAAAGGGGUCCGGUUCAAGGGCCAUUGUUUUUUACACAUUUUUUGACACUCAUUGAUGGCCUUUAGAUUUUAAAACUUUUAACGGUCUAGAUUACUUGCUAAUAUGAUGUCAACAAAAAGAAUGUGAUGUGGAAAGUGACAUGGAUUUACCUAUUUUCAUAACAAAUUAGAUUUACUUUUCUUUAUUAAAAUAAACAACCAAAUCCAAUUCUAACCUGGAAAAUCAAAAAUCAAAUCGACCAGAUCCAGUACCAAGAAAAAAAAAUUCCUCGACACCCAUUUGUUUCUUGAUGCUUCGCUCAGUGCAAUUCUUGGCUUCUCUACCCACCUUUGUGUCCUUAGUCCUUACUGUCCUCAAGCGUCAAUUAACUCAGUUUACUUUACUUUUAGCCUUAAAUUUCUACGCAUCACCAAAACAAAUAAAACACUUAAUUUUUAUCAUUUAUAUUGGGUAUGCUUAGUGCCAAACGCAUUCAGAUUUUUGUCUGUUUCUUUUUGCAAGACAAGAAAGGUUAACCACCCUGUGUAGAUAGACUCUGCUAGUAUAGCCAACUAAUAGCUUGUGAUUCUUUCAAACAUUACAAUAAUAACUUGCACGUCUUAUUGCUGAUCAUAAAACAAGGCUGAUCAAAUCAAUUUUUUUAGCAAUUGAAACCUCUACAAUUCAACUAGUACGUAGCAGAUACCGGUCUACUAGCACAUUAAAAAUGAAUAAUUAUACAUAUCAUUCUCUGAAUGCAUCCAAUACAAAAUCAAUCCUCUUACACAACCAAUAGCAAACCAAACCAAUAGUAUCUACUGUGCUUAACAAAAGAAAAAAACAAAUCAAUUUUAUUCCUCAUGGUCACUGUCUGAAGCUUCCUCAUCUGAAUCUUCCUCGUCCAAAACUCUGUUUGGCUCCAACAUAUUCUUAUUCCCUAAAAAUACAUAUUUAGAUGAAAAUAUCAAAAGCUAUCAUAAUUUACACAUCAAGUGAAACGAUAUGAUUCGACAAAGAAAUGGAGGAGAAAAGUUAACUUACUUUGAUCUGUAGAAGCACUCGGUUUUCUUUUUGCAUCUGGAUUUAAAGUGCAAGUAAGCCUAUUAUGUCCUGGCUGUUGACACAUUGUACACUUUCUCUUCUUGUUUUGAGCCAACUCCAUGCCACCUUUAAUCCUUUUAGAACUUUUUGUUUUCCUUCUGCUAUUCUCAUCCUUCUUUCUACCUUUAGUUUUUGAGAUAUUUGGAUCCAAAAGUAAUUGCUUGGAAGACUUACUUGUACAUUGAUCUGCUUCAUCUUGGAAAACAUCAUCUUCAGACUCCAUAACAUCUUCUUCUGACACCUUAUUAACUUCUGAAAUUUUUUUUGACAAUUCAUCCAAACCAUCCAUGUAAAUUGUGUAGGCCUCAUUAGAGGGUGCUGCAUAACAAGCUAGUUGAGUGGCUCUUCGACACAUAUGACUAAAUCGCAAUGCUUCUGAAUGCUCCUUACCAUCAUUCUUUACUAAGGCUUCAGAAUCCAUAACUCUAAACUUAUUUGCUCCUUGCCUCCAUCUGGGAAGAAUAAAGUGGGAUGGUAUUGUAUCGAUAUCUUGACGAACAAACACCUUCAUAAUAUGCCGACAAAUUAUUCCGACAAAUUCAAAAUUUUGGCAUUCACAUUUACCCUCAUGUGUUUGCAAAUUCAACUCCACCAAAAACUCUUUUGAGUUCUCAGUUUUCUUCAUCACUGAAUAUCUAUGAAAUUGAUUGUCCAUACCUCUUUCUUCAACUUUGAGUAGUUUGACUCUAGACCAUUCACUCUUGAAUUUUUCAAAUAUAUUUCUAGUAUACACCUGUGCUGCAUGUUUCAAAAGAAAGUCAUCAUCAUCCACAAUACGAUAUUUAUGCUCUGAUGUAAAAUCCUCGCUACUUUCCCUUGCAACAAUCUUCUGUAAGGCUUAUUCAUACUUCACGACAAACUCUCUCAAAUUUGUCGUUGAUGUGACAAAGUCAUCAAAAAAUGCAUUAGUGCCUUCACUACGCCAUGUUGUAUUCAUUUCGGCAAAAAAUGUGUUGCGGUUAUAUACACUACCAGGACAAGCACUUUAGCCGACGAAAAAUUUUCGUCGGCCUGUUAUCUUAAUUCGUCGGCUAAGAUCUUAGCCGACGAAGGCUCGUCGGCUAUAGUGUCGUCGGGAAAAGGUCGUCGGUGAUGACUUUAGCCGACGAAAUUUUUUUUUUUCGUCAGCUAUAGUCCCACAGUUAGCCGACGAAAAACAUGUCGUCGAUUUUUUUCCCAGACUUUAGCCGACAAAACAAUUAAUAUAUUCGUCGGCUAAAGUGUGUAAUAAAUAAUUAAAAAAUAACUAUAGCCGACGAAAUUUACUAUAUUUCGUCGGCUAAACCUUAUAAAAAAUUUAAAAAAUAACUAUAGCCGACGAAAUAUUUUAUAUUUCGUCGGCUAAACCUUAUAAAAAUUUAAAAAAUAACUAUAGCCGACGAAAUAUUUUAUAUUUCGUCGGCUANNNNNNNNNNNNNNNNNNNNNNNNNNNNNNNNNNNNNNNNNNNNNNNNNNNNNNNNNNNNNNNNNNNNNNNNNNNNNNNNNNNNNNNNNNNNNNNNNNNNNNNNNNNNNNNNNNNNNNNNNNNNNNNNNNNNNNNNNNNNNNNNNNNNNNNNNNNNNNNNNNNNNNNNNNNNNNNNNNNNNNNNNNNNNNNNNNNNNNNNNNNNNNNNNNNNNNNNNNNNNNNNNNNNNNNNNNNNNNNNNNNNNNNNNNNNNNNNNNNNNNNNNNNNNNNNNNNNNNNNNNNNNNNNNNNNNNNNNNNNNNNNNNNNNNNNNNNNNNNNNNNNNNNNNNNNNNNNNNNNNNNNNNNNNNNNNNNNNNNNNNNNNNNNNNNNNNNNNNNNNNNNNNNNNNNNNNNNNNNNNNNNNNNNNNNNNNNNNNNNNNNNNNNNNNNNNNNNNNNNNNNNNNNNNNNNNNNNNNNNNNNNNNNNNNNNNNNNNNNNNNNNNNNNNNNNNNNNNNNNNNNNNNNNNNNNNNNNNNNNNNNNNNNNNNNNNNNNNNNNNNNNNNNNNNNNNNNNNNNNNNNNNNNNNNNNNNNNNNNNNNNNNNNNNNNNNNNNNNNNNNNNNNNNNNNNNNNNNNNNNNNNNNNNNNNNNNNNNNNNNNNNNNNNNNNNNNNNNNNNNNNNNNNNNNNNNNNNNNNNNNNNNNNNNNNNNNNNNNNNNNNNNNNNNNNNNNNNNNNNNNNNNNNNNNNNNNNNNNNNNNNNNNNNNNNNNNNNNNNNNNNNNNNNNNNNNNNNNNNNNNNNNNNNNNNNNNNNNNNNNNNNNNNNNNNNNNNNNNNNNNNNNNNNNNNNNNNNNNNNNNNNNNNNNNNNNNNNNNNNNNNNNNNNNNNNNNNNNNNNNNNNNNNNNNNNNNNNNNNNNNNNNNNNNNNNNNNNNNNNNNNNNNNNNNNNNNNNNNNNNNNNNNNNNNNNNNNNNNNNNNNNNNNNNNNNNNNNNNNNNNNNNNNNNNNNNNNNNNNNNNNNNNNNNNNNNNNNNNNNNNNNNNNNNNNNNNNNNNNNNNNNNNNNNNNNNNNNNNNNNNNNNNNNNNNNNNNNNNNNNNNNNNNNNNNNNNNNNNNNNNNNNNNNNNNNNNNNNNNNNNNNNNNNNNNNNNNNNNNNNNNNNNNNNNNNNNNNNNNNNNNNNNNNNNNNNNNNNNNNNNNNNNNNNNNNNNNNNNNNNNNNNNNNNNNNNNNNNNNNNNNNNNNNNNNNNNNNNNNNNNNNNNNNNNNNNNNNNNNNNNNNNNNNNNNNNNNNNNNNNNNNNNNNNNNNNNNNNNNNNNNNNNNNNNNNNNNNNNNNNNNNNNNNNNNNNNNNNNNNNNNNNNNNNNNNNNNNNNNNNNNNNNNNNNNNNNNNNNNNNNNNNNNNNNNNNNNNNNNNNNNNNNNNNNNNNNNNNNNNNNNNNNNNNNNNNNNNNNNNNNNNNNNNNNNNNNNNNNNNNNNNNNNNNNNNNNNNNNNNNNNNNNNNNNNNNNNNNNNNNNNNNNNNNNNNNNNNNNNNNNNNNNNNNNNNNNNNNNNNNNNNNNNNNNNNNNNNNNNNNNNNNNNNNNNNNNNNNNNNNNNNNNNNNNNNNNNNNNNNNNNNNNNNNNNNNNNNNNNNNNNNNNNNNNNNNNNNNNNNNNNNNNNNNNNNNNNNNNNNNNNNNNNNNNNNNNNNNNNNNNNNNNNNNNNNNNNNNNNNNNNNNNNNNNNNNNNNNNNNNNNNNNNNNNNNNNNNNNNNNNNNNNNNNNNNNNNNNNNNNNNNNNNNNNNNNNNNNNNNNNNNNNNNNNNNNNNNNNNNNNNNNNNNNNNNNNNNNNNNNNNNNNNNNNNNNNNNNNNNNNNNNNNNNNNNNNNNNNNNNNNNNNNNNNNNNNNNNNNNNNNNNNNNNNNNNNNNNNNNNNNNNNNNNNNNNNNNNNNNNNNNNNNNNNNNNNNNNNNNNNNNNNNNNNNNNNNNNNNNNNNNNNNNNNNNNNNNNNNNNNNNNNNNNNNNNNNNNNNNNNNNNNNNNNNNNNNNNNNNNNNNNNNNNNNNNNNNNNNNNNNNNNNNNNNNNNNNNNNNNNNNNNNNNNNNNNNNNNNNNNNNNNNNNNNNNNNNNNNNNNNNNNNNNNNNNNNNNNNNNNNNNNNNNNNNNNNNNNNNNNNNNNNNNNNNNNNNNNNNNNNNNNNNNNNNNNNNNNNNNNNNNNNNNNNNNNNNNNNNNNNNNNNNNNNNNNNNNNNNNNNNNNNNNNNNNNNNNNNNNNNNNNNNNNNNNNNNNNNNNNNNNNNNNNNNNNNNNNNNNNNNNNNNNNNNNNNNNNNNNNNNNNNNNNNNNNNNNNNNNNNNNNNNNNNNNNNNNNNNNNNNNNNNNNNNNNNNNNNNNNNNNNNNNNNNNNNNNNNNNNNNNNNNNNNNNNNNNNNNNNNNNNNNNNNNNNNNNNNNNNNNNNNNNNNNNNGCCCUAAACGGACUCAGAUGGACCAAAAAAGCCUAUACAUCAUGGCAUUAGCCAUGAGUUGACUCGUAGCGCCGUUACGCUUCCGGAAAGGUAUCACAAUAGUCAAUCAGACACCAAAUGCCAAAUCUGCAGCAUAGUGAAUAAUAAGGGUAAGUCAACUAUCGGCACCGAGACUUUACCGGAAUACUAUGAUUUUUCAACCGUAGACGUAUUUCACCAUUCUAGUCAUAUCUUAUUUCACGACUUUUUUACGUUUGAAGGUUCUACGUAUAGUUUUUUUUUUCUCAAAUGAGUUGUUGUCUAGAUCUGUAAAUAUAAGGCACUUUAGUAUAUUUUUUCGUCGGCUAAAGUCCACUUUAGCCGACGAAUUUUUUUCGUCGGAUAAACUUUUAAAAAUUUCGUCGGCUAAAGUUCACAGACUAUAGCCGACGAAAAAAAUUAUUCAGCCGAUGAAAUAUUACUUUCGUCGACUAAAGUUGACCAUAGCCGACGAAAAUUUUAAAUUAGCCGACGAAAAAAAAAUUUCGUCGGCCUGGUUUUUUUAUUUUCGUCAGCUAAAGCCUUUCUUCUGGUAGUGAUACUGGAACCCAAGAUUCACGAAUUUCAUAUAGUUGAUGUAGCCAUUCAUUGUUUCCCAAUCCAUGCUCAUCAAUCAGUUUCUUCCAUUGCUCUUCAAAAUCCUCUACUUUGUAUGUUGCCCAUAUACAUUUUUUCAUGCUAGUCUUGAAGUUGGACUUUUUAUAAUAAACGUGUACCAAUUUUUCACCAAACUUUUUCUUUAUAUGUCAAAUGCAAAGGCGAUGACGAGUAUUGGGAAAAAUCUUAGCAAUUGCUCCUUUCAUUGCCAAAUCUUGGUCAGUGAUAAUACAUAAUGGAUGUCGACCUCCCAUAGCUUCAAGCCACGUCUCAAAUAACCACAAAAAUGUUAACUCUGUCUCAUCUUGUAAAAGGGCACAUCCAAAUUGUAUGGAUUGGAAGUGAUGGUUUACUCCUGUAAAUGGUGCAAAUGGCAUGUCAUACUUGUUUGUUCGAUAUGUUGUAUCGAACGUCACUACAUCCCCAAAGUAUUGAUAUGCCGUCCUUGAUCUGGAAUCCACUUAAAAAAAUUAGUAGCUCUACCAUCUUCAUCACACUGGAUAGCAUAAAAGAAUUGUGGAUUUUCUGCUUGCUUUUUCCUAAAGUAAUUAAGGACUGACUGUGCAUCUCUAGAUUCUAACUCCUUGUGUCUCACGUUCCUCAAAUGAUUAUAACAAUCCCUAUUGUCAAACCCAAUAUUAUGAGAACCACCGAAUAUUGAAGGAAGCUUACUGAUUUGUAAAUUCUGUUUCUGGAAAGCUUCUGUUAAAUCUUUUGCUGCAUCGGGCAUAUGCCUAUUUGACUUCAUCAUCAUUCUUCGAGUUGGUGUCACUACUUUAUGGUUGUGGAUGUCAUUGAAGAUUGAAACCUUCCACUUAUUAGUCCAUUUAUCAUGAAGGACUCGCAUAUUAGCCUCACACCCACAUUUAACAGUUGAACAACUUCUAUGCCUUUUCUUUUCAAUCUGUAGGUCACAUGUUUCUCCCUCAUCGUUCUCAUCUAUCUUGUCUUUCUCUUUCAGAACAUCCUCCUUUGGAUUUUGCAUUGCAUGUUUACCUUGAUGUGCACAACAAAUGAUCUACCUGUCACUUCCUUUGAAUGUGAUCUAGACUUCGAUGAACUUCGAAUUCGAAUCCAAAAACCUUCUUGUCGACCGUAAUCUUCAUAAUAUUUUCCGGCCUCUUCCAAUGUUUCAAAUUGCAUUCCCACAUAAGGUGUUUUUAAUUUCGAUCAUCUAUUUCUGGAGAAUGGUGACCAGCUGCCUCGUCGCUUGAUAAUCGGUUCAUUGAGGAUCCAAGAUUGCCAUCUUCUGAAGUUUAAGUCCAUCAAGGCUACUGCAUGAUUCAUUAAAGAAGAAUUAUCCCCAGAAUAGGCAGUGGCUAACUGAAAUCCUAGAUAUAGUGUAUGAGAGUUUGACAACAAACAGAAGUACGAUAACAUACACUUCAGAAAGAAAAAAAAAAGGUAUAAGAUGCUUUAACUAAGUUGCACAAAAGCUCCUCUAAUAUAUAUACAUGGAAAACAAUCGUAAGCUCUCUUUUGCAUUCAAGUACAAACCUUAAAGCUUGUUUUUUUUUUUUUAAUUUGUCAAAACAAAUCUGUGACCUUUAAACAAAGAACCCUUAUUCAAAGAAAAACAUAGAACCCUAAAACCCUACACUUACGAAAGGUAGUUUCUUUAGUGUUUCUAGGCUAUACAAGAUGUAGGUUUCCUUGGCAGUAUAAAUAUAUCAAAUACCAUAAACUUCGAUUCAAUUACUAAACCCUAAACCCUAAAUCUAGUUAUCUGUAAUGCUAUGUCGACAAAAAAGAAGAAGAUAAUUAUGUUCUUGCGUACCUGUAUUCUUGUUGUAAAUUGAUAGAUGAGAUAAUCGAGUUAGAGAUGGUGUUUUCGAUGUUUGUUCUUCUACGCUCUUGUUGUUCGUCGUUCUUCUUAUUCUUGUUUCUUCUUGUGGACUUUGUUCUUCUUUUCUUUUCUUUCUUUUUAUUGUAUACGAUUUAAUUUUUGAUUUUCCAAGUUAGAAUUGGAUUUGGUUUUUUAUUUUAAUAAAGAAAAAUAAAUUUAAUUUGUUAUGAAAAUAGGUAAAUCCAUGUCACUUUUCACAUCACAUUUUUUUGUUGACAUCAUAUUAGCAAGUAAUCUGGACCGUUAAAAGUUUUAAAAUCUAAAGGCCAUCAAUGAGUGUCAAAAAGUGUGUAAAAAACAAUGGUCCUUGAACCGGACCCAAUUUAAAAAUACAACAUAAAAGAUAUUCAUAAAUAACCAUUGCAGAUGAAUUAAAGGUUGAGGUUCCAUAUAUUGUGUUUUGGGUAGCACCUUGUGAAUUCUUUUUUAUCUUCAAUGUUUUGGGUAGCACCUUGUGACUAACUGGCUCUACAUUAAUACAUUAUCUCAAUUAAUAAAAAUUUAUUAUUAUGAUGUGGAAGUUCAAUAAUAAUGGUGUUACAACUCAAAAAUGGAGGUGCUUAAUGGCAGUAUGAACAUCUUUAUCUCCUCUCCCACUACAGUUAAGGACGACCUUUGCCUCGUUAGGAAGGGUAGGGCAUAACUUUUCUAAGUAGGCUAGUGCAUGAGAGGUUUCCAAAGCUGGAAUUAUUCCUUUAAGUCGUGACAAUUUUUCGAAAGCUUCUAAUGCUUCAUUGUUUGUAACGCUGUAGUACUUAGCACGCCUCAAGUCUUUCAGAAAACUGUGCUCCGGUCCAACCCCAGGGUAAUCCAAGCCUGAACUUAUAGAAUGAGGCUCUAAAAUUUGGCCAUUUUCAUCUUGUAAUAAGCAGCUCAUAGCUCUAUGCAAAACGCCAACAUCCCCUUUAGUUCAAGUUGCCGCAUGCUGCCACUAUCCAAUCCAAAACCUGCAGCCUCUAUCCCUAUCAAUCUAACAUCAUUAUCUUCAACGAACUUAUGGAAGAGUCCCAUAGCAUUUGAUCCUCCUCCUACACAAGCAACUAGUACAUCUGGUUUGCCACCCCAUUUUUCAAGUGCUUGUUCUCUUGUUUCUUUACCAAUCACUUUGUGGAAAUCGCGAACCAUCAUUGGGUAUGGAUAAAGGUCAGCUACGGAACCCAAAAUAUAAUGAGUUGUUUCAACAUUAGUCACCCAGUCUCUUAUAGCUUCUGAAGUAGCAUCCUUGAGUGUUGAUGUUCUAGAAUGAACAGCUCUAACCUCAGCACCAAGAAGCCGCAUCCGAAAAACGUUGAGGGCCUGCCUAUCCAUAUCUUGGGCACCCAUGUAAAUAACACAUUGUAACCCAAACCAAGCACAAACCGUGGCAGUGGCAACUCCAUGUUGACCUGCUCCGGUCUCAGCAAUAAAUAAGUUUCUUGCCCUGCCGCUUAGCGAGCAAAGCUUGGCCAACAACAUUGUUGAUCUUGUGUGCCCCGGUAUGGUUAAGAUCAUCCCUCUUUAGGUAAAUGUGAGGGCCUUCACCAUUUGGACUUUUGUAAUGUUCAGUAAGCCUCUCAGCAAAAUAGAGAGGAGUCUCCCUGCCAACAUAGUCCCUCAAAAUCUCAUUCAACACCUUCUCAAAUUCUUCGUCAUGAGCUAGAGCGUGAAACGCGGUCUCUAGCUCAGUCAAUGCGUGCAUGAGAGUUUCUGGGACGUACUUCCCGCCAUACUUACCAAACCGUCCAAACGAAUCAGGUCGGGGCAGGGAAGCCAUGUGAACAGUUGCUGAGUUUGGGGUGUAGUUGCAGGAGAUGGAAGAAGAGGCGAUGGCACGGUUGCGAAAUUUGAAGGGCAGCUGGGAUGAGGAAGAGGAGGUAAAGUAUGGUUUUGAGAGUGACUUGGUCAUUAGGGUUUUGGGAGUGGUAAUAGAGCUUGUCAUAGAUUUUGCGAAAAUGAGAGAACAUGUUUAGGAAUAAUAGUAAUCGAUACUUAGAUACUCGGGUAACUCGGCUCUUAUAAAUGGGUGACGAAAAGUAGUCAUUUUCUUCAUUUACUUGGGUUUUCUUCUCCGGUUUGGAUUCGUUUCCUAAUCCUUGAUGGAUUCGUGUAUUUUUUUUUGGGUGCUGAAAAUCACACUCCUAAAAACACAAUCCACAGUCAUUUUCUAUUUUUUAAUAAUAUCUCAUCCCCACUCACUUUCCACUUCCAACAAUACCCUCUCAUCAGAUUUUUUUCUUUUUAUUUUGGGAUCCCUUUAUUUUCUCCCUUCUCCCUCAUGUUCCUUUCCCAGACCACACCUAUGCUCUUUUUUUUCUUUUUUUUUUUCUCACUCUCAGUCUCCAUAGAAACGAUUUGGUUCACCCACAAAAGGAUUCUUUUUAUUUUGGGAUCCCUUUAUUUUCUCUUUUCUCCCUCAUCUUCCUAUAUAUCAUAAUGAAGGUAAAUUUUUCUUUUGAGAAUCAUUAUUUUUUUCCCAUGUCUAUGUUAUUUCAAACACAGACCAUCAAAAUCAAGUAAGAAUAAAAAGAUGACUACAAUUCUUCAAUAGAAAACUUAAUUCACACAGGAAAUAAGAAAAUUAGAUAUUUCCUUUAACCUCAUGAAUCAAUCAUCCAUAAAAUUCUCAUGAUCUUACAUAAAAGCAGUCAUGUCAUCAUUAUCAUAUUCUAAAAAGCUUCAAGUCAAGUUGCCUUCAUCCAAAAGAAAAGGUUGCAAUAAGCCUCCUACAGUUAAAUAGUCUGCAAACACUAAAACAAAAUCUGUGUUUAGGUACAUUGAGCAUAACAAGUUAGACAUUUUGAGUUUAGAGCACUCAAAAGAAAAAUAUGAACACCUGAUGUGGAAUGAACACAGCCAAAAAAGGGACAUUCUAGUAGUCUAGCAACUUUUCAAGACAUAUUCUUGAGCUAAUGACACAAUCAUAACAGAACUCCCAAAUAGUAUAAGCAAAAGAGAAAGGGAGAUGCAAACAAUAACAAAACAGAAAGUUCAGCAUAUUUGCAACUAAGCAGCCAUAAGAGAUCAUAAUACAAUACAAAUUAGAUACAAAACUGAAACAUACAAUAAAGAGAUCAUAGUAAAAAUUAGAACAGAGACUUACAUAUCCGUUUAGAUCCAAAAUUGCUAGUUGAGUUGAAAAACUAAGCAUUAUUCCUCACAUAUGGUGUAGUAGACUUGUUGAUUGAUGGACACUUGUUACGAUAAUGGCCAGGAUUACCGCAACCACUACAUUUCCGAGGUGUCUUAUCCACUACCUCAAAGUAUGAGGGUUCCCUCUUUGUAGAACAAGUUUCCUUUCUAUUAGUUGAUUCUACCGGACGACCUUUAUGAGGCUGAAUAAUAGGUUCAAAAAGCAAGGGGCAAGAUGCACCAAGAAUAUGAGAAAGCUGCCUUAUGGUAUUCUCUUUUUGCAUUAGCGGCUGCUUUUCAUAUUUCUCUUUAAUCUCAGACAAGAGACUAGUGAAAGGAUCUUCAUGAUCCAAGCUUGCAUGUUGAUCAUUAGUGAAAGAUCUUGUGUCAAUCCUCCACUGCAUAUGAAUCUGAUUUAGAGAACACACUUCAAUAUUCAUCUCCUUGAUCAUGUGCACACAAGGAAGAACCAUGGUUUUGAAAAAUUGGCCUUUCCAUUGAGAUGAAUAGUCUUUGGUAUUUGCCAGCAAAUAUUGUUUUAGUAGCUCAUACAAAGCAUGGAAUGAUACCUUAUUCAUUGUCUCUUUAAAGAAGAGGAUGCAAAGCUUUUGAGGAACACGAAUCUUUUCACUUGCAAAUUGAGUUUUAAUUUCUGGAAAUUGGUUUUCAAUAGCAAGACAAAUAUUUUCCUUCACUUCACGAAGACCACCCGUUGAAACUUGAAGAUAUCUCUUUAAGGUUGCAUGUGCACCUUCUGCCCUAGAAGUAACACUAUUACCAAAAUAGGAAAUCUGCCCUGUCCAUGCAACUAUAAACUUUUCUUUCCAUGGAAGCCAAGUUUUUUCAAUAUAAGUCAGAACUUUAGCAUAAUCUUUGUAUUCAAUUUGAAAACGAUUCCAAGCUUCAUUAAACAAUGCCACAUUCCAAGAUUUCACUAAGGCAACUCAAGAAGACAUAAAAGUAACCCAAUCAGCUUCUUCCUUAAACUGACUUUUAUAAUGUGCAACAAUAUUUUUCUCAAUAUGCCAUAUGCACAAAAGGUUAGGAGUCAUCGGGAACACAACUUCUAUUGCUUUCAUUAGUGCCAACUCCCUAUCAGUAAUAAUGGCCAACAGAUGAUCACCAAAACCCAACAACUUACUAAACAUCUCAAGAGCCCACUCAUAAUCCUCUUGUUCCUCUUUUUGCAUGAAAACAAAGCAUGAAUAAAAUGAUUUGUUGAAGCUCGACACUCCUAUAAUCUCAAAUAAUGGCAUCUUAUAUUUAUUUGUUUUAUAAGUAUAAUCCAUCACAAAGACAUUAGAGUAGCUUUUAGUCAACUCAAUGGAAGUGGGAUGAGCAAAGAAUAGAUGAGUCAAAUGACCAUGGUGAUCAUACUUGACAUUAUGAUAAAAACCAGCCCCGCCAAGCUCAUCCAAUAAUGCUUGAAUAACUGAACGCCCACCUAGGUUCUCCCUCAUAAAUUGAGCUGUCAUGCCAUAUACAUUUCUGUGGAAACAGCUAGAAGACCAGGGUUAUUUUGUCGAAGUGAAGAGAGAAUUUGGCGUGGUUUAAUGCCAGCCCUAGUCAUUUGUUUAACUUGUAAGGCUUCCUCUUUAGAAAAUCGACGACAAUAUGGAUGCCCAGACAUGUCAGUAGAAGACUCAUGGUUAUGUAGCAAUGUAAUUAUCUCUACCUUCCACACCCCUUCUUUCUUUCUUCCUAGAAUUUUAAAAGGACAAUUAAUCAGACGAGAAGAUGAAUUUCUUUUCUUGUUCUCAACUGCAAUUCCAGUUCUAUAACAUCCCCCUCUAUCACAACCCAUAACAACAUAUCUAUUGGGUUUGGAUCUUUUGAUUACCAGAGCAUACCCUUGCACAACCCCAAGAUUACGAACAUCUCUAAUGAGGUCAUCUCGAUUUUCAUAACCUUUUGUUGAUAGUGAGAAAAAUUCAUCAGAAACAGCAAACAUUUCUUCAUUCCCUAAAUCAUAGAUAACCAGAUUUAUAAUUAGGCACUUUCUGACUAACUAAAUGCUUAAAAAUUAACCGUUAAAUCACGGUUGUUAACCUCUAAUCCUUGCAAACCAAAUUAAGCCACUACUUAUUUCUUCUUAUAAGUUAGAGAAAACUAAUAAUAACUAAAAGCUAGUUCUAAAUAUCACUACAUUGCAAAAAAAAAAAAAUAGCAAGACGAAAAACUUACCAACGACAGUGAGACCUUCUAUGAUAUUAGACGAAAGAUUAAGCUGCAACUCUUCUUCCAUUUCGAUGUUAUUAAACGAAUGAUUAAACUACAACUCUUCUUCCAUAUUGUCUGAAGCUACCAUAUUAGCAAUCUUUUGCAACUCAGCAUCCAAAGGCUCUUCUUCCAUUGCUAAGACAAAUAUGAAUUUUAUCUUCUGCUAGUAAUCUGUAAAGCUAAGAUACCAGAAUUAAUAUUGCAAAAUCAAAAUUCCAAAGAAGUAAAAGGGGAUUCUCUAGAACAAUAGUAUGAACAAAAAACUUAAAUUGAGAAAACUGAGUGCAACAUACCAAAUACACUAAAUGCAUUUCUUGAUGUUUAGAGGCUUGCAAAACAAUAGAUCAUGCUAAUUCUAGGGACCCUAAUUCUAAUGCCCUGCCAUUUUCUACUCUAGAAACUCAUAUUCUAAUGCAAACCAAACCAUACUCCAGAAUUAAUAUGCAAAGGCAAGGAUUAUUCUCAAGCCAUUCUAAUAGAAGAAGAUGGAAAAUGGGGCAAGUCGAGUAUAAGCAAUCAAAUUCAACUCUUUUCGAAUCUAGGAAGAACACUUCUCCAAAUAUCGUAAAUGAGUCAAAUUUAACAAAGCCCAUAACAAUCUAAGAAGUAUAAACCAUCAAUUUUGACAAAAAUCUGAAAUAAUCCAUCAAUCGAACCUUACUCUAGAAUUUGGUAUAGGAUCAGGUCACGUCAGCAAAUCCUUACAUUAAAUCCUUCGGGUUAGCCUCAACAAAGAGAACCAGAUUGAUCGAGUUUUUGUGGGUGAACCAGAUCGUUUCUAUGGAGAAGAGAGACUGAGAGUGAAGAAAAAAAAAAAAAGAGCAGAGGUGUGGUUUGGGAAAGGAACAUGAGGGAGAAGGGAGAAAAAUAAAGGGAUCCCAAAAUAAAAAGAAAAAACAAUCUGAUGAGAGGAUAUUGUUGAAAGUGAAAAGUGAGUGGGGAUGAGAUAUUAUUAAAAAUAGAAAGGGAGUGGGGAUUGUGUUUUUGGGAGUGUGACUUUCAGCACCCUUUUACCCUUUUUUUUCCUUUAGGAUGACUUCUUUGGAUAUGGAGUCCAAAAGCACUGGUCAAAAAUUGGUCUUCAUCAAGUAAAAAUCAUGGUAUCUCUCGAAAACCCUUGCUCUGCUAGGGUUUCUUUAUCGUCGACUCUAGCCGUCUUCGACAAUACCUUCUUAGCCAUGUCUGACCAAAUUUUCUCCCUAGCAUCACUCUCAGCCCCGUCUAAGGCUACUCAUGUCAACUUUGGGCCUGCCGGAGAGGCGGCUCUCGAGGUUUCCCACUAUUUCAUGGUUGGGCGACUCCUCAAGCGAUGUCCCAAUGCCGCUGGCUUUAUGGGAACGAUCCCAUCCAUCUGAAGGCAGCGCUCUGGUCUGCAAAUCCAUUCCAAGGGAGACCGAUUCGUGUUCCAGUUUGAUCGGGAAGCAAAUGGCAACAAGGUUCUCCACGGCAGACCUUGGUUCUAUCAGAAUCUGAUGUUGGUGACGACGCCAUACGACGGGAUCUCUACGGUGGUGAACCCUCCUCUUCAUUCCAUUGAGACAUGGGUCUCGAUCUUAGGGUUACCGCAUUUGCUGCGCAACAAGAAAUCUCUUCAAUUGAUCAGACAAUCUAUUGGUAAGGUUCAUCGUUUUGAUAAUUUGGCUUUGAAUCGCAAAGAUGAAAAACAAAAGAUUCGUUUGACUAUGGAUACGAGGCAGCAGUACAGAUUUUAUCGCAAUUAUUCUUUGCUUCUGUUCAUGUUGAUGUUGAGAUCAUUUAUGAGAAAAUUCAAGGUCUUUGUAAGUUUUGUGGUCUUUUUGAGCAUGCUGUUGAGGGUUGUGACAAACUUUUUGUGCGAGAAGAUGAAGCUUGGCAUGGACUCCCAGUUACAGCGAUGGAAGAACUGACUAUAGCAAAGCCUAAGCUGCUUAAUGGCGGCUUUCUGAGCAGUGAUGUUGCACCGAGGGCUGAAAAACAUAAAGAGGAAGCUGUGCAAUUGACUGCAAAAGUGAAGGCCUUAAUGUCGGUACAACUGCCUGAGAAACACUUGAUGGUGAAUGAUGAGUUGGCUGCUAGGGUUCUUAAAGCAUGUAAGGCUGGAGGUUUUGUUGUUCCCCCACUUGUUGAGCAACAACAAUCUGCCAAACGGGGAAGAAAGAGGACAACAGAGCGUCCUCUUAUUCAACCGGGGAAGAAAAUGCUUGAGGUGUCCACAGUUUUGAGUCCGGAAAUUAAAGACUUGAACUUGAGUCUUCCUAAUGAGUUGGGUCGGCUUUUGGUGACACCCCAAAGAAAAAGGGUGGGUGAUCAAGAGGGUCUAUAAACAAGCCUAAGGAGGGUCCAUCUCGCCCUACUCUAAAGGGUAGGAAGCGGUUGUUGAAGAUUCUUGAGGAGGAUGAUAUGAUAGAGGAAGUAAAUCCUUCUACUGAUUCUACAGAAGCAAUGGAAGUGGUUGGCAAAGAGGUAGCUCUUCCUCCAAAGACGAAGUCUCUGACUGAAGUUGCUGCAGUAGAGAUGGAGAAGGCGGUAGUUGAAGUGGUGAAUUCCACUUCUAUUAUCACAUCUACUUGAUUGGGAGAUCGACAAGAAGAUUAGAAUUAUGUUGUCACAGUUUAUAACGCUUCGGAAUUUUUAAUCUUCUUGUUUUUGGUUUUAUCUUCGUAGAAGGUGAAUGUACUUGGAUUAGGUGUUUUGGUAUGUUUGUGUGAGGAGCGUACUAGAAUAGUUUUUCUGUAUAAUGACUUUUUCUGACAGCCCUCUUGGUAGUUUAUUAUUGUACGAGCUUCAUUAAUGAAUAACCUCUCUUUAAAAAAAAAAAAAAAAGUAAAAAUCAUGGUAUCAUGGUAACACUAAAGCCUAAACAGAUACAGACGUCCACCUAGGGAUCCAGAUACGUACCCCGUUUGGCUUUGUUUUGUGUUAGCUCAUCCACAUAAGCAUUGCUUUAUUCCUUUGUAUUAGAAUAGAAGAAAACUCAAGCAAAUGAAGAGAAUGAGUCUUUUCGUCAUCCAUAUAUACUCAGAGAGCAUCUUCAAGCAUUCCCUCUUUGGUCUCUCUCUCUCUCUGUGAUAUUGGUAACUUAUGAUACAAAUUAAAGAUCAACUCUAUUUGUUUCUGGUGGUGCAAGUUAUAACAAAACAGAAGGACGUUCCAUGUACAGCUAUACAAGUUAAUGAUGCACUCUCAUCCACACUAGAUACAGUUUGUGAUGAACACUGUAACUUGGUCCAACUCUAUCUAGACAUGCAGUAUCAUUUCCCUAAACCUCUUGGUGGCUUGGAAUAAAAUCUCAACAAGAGAGAAAUUUAGGUCAUAGUGGAAUUUUCAUCCUGAAACUCGGAUCACUCACUCUUCAAGGUAGCAAUUGCUUAAAAUUCUCGAGUCUUACCCUUACACAUGGCAAUGAGAAUCAAUGACAUAAUUUAUAAUUUAAUGUUGGAGAGGAAAGAUCUCACAUCAUAAAAGAGAUAAAUAAAAUACAACUUAUAAAGGGAUGAAUCACACUUAAUUGUACCGAGAUCUUUUGUGAUUAAAAUCCAACACCUUAAAGGUGGUUAAGUUAGGACAGUAUCGGUACAAUGGUGAUCCACAGGCCACGCUUGUCCCUAGAAUAACAGAUCACAGCUCAUCGACACUCUAUAUCUAUUAUUCUUAGAUAAGGCAUCAAAAGGACAAACUUAUUAUUUCCCCAGGCCAUAACUUUCUCUAUUGAGCUUUUCAAAGUCUUACAAACAUAUGCAGCCUUUCCCUGGAACCAAGAGAAACCAGCCCGCUUGGACCGUGAAAAGGAGAAUAACAAACAACAUGACAACCUAGCUACAAGCAUCUUCGAACCAAAAAAAAAAAAAAAAAAAACCUAAAAGACUACAAGAAUCGUAAAGAAAAAGAAGAAAACGACCAAAAACAAACAGCUAUAAUAAGUGAAUUUCUAUCCUGGAAUGUAGAAAUGGUCCCUUCUCCCCCUCAAUUAAUCAAGAGACCUGCAUCGAACCAAAGUCAAGCUUUAAUUGAAAAUGCACAAGGACGUUAGUUUACAGUGCAGUCUUCAAAACUGCAAUGAAUACAGCGAAGAUCUUUAGGAAUGUAAAACUGCAGGAGAAGCUAAAAUCAGCAUAAAGAACAUGAGAACAAUAAAAAUUAAAAAAUUAAAAUACCUGCUUCCAAAUGCAGGAGUGUCCCGUUUAUCCUUCACUUCCCAUAAUGAGGUACAAAGUGCUCUCCUAGGUGGUGGAAAUGGUCAUUUUCUCCUUCGAGUAUACGUACAACCUAUGGCAAAAAAAAAAACAAAAAAUUUAAAACUCAGAUGCAGUAUACAGAUACUCAGACAACCUUAUUACAGAUACCUAUACUCAGAUGCAAGAAAAAAAAAAAAAAAAACAAAAUACAUAAUAUACUCAGAUGCAGUAUACAAAUACCUAGACAACCUGAAUACAGUACUCUGUAUGCAGUGGUAUUUCUAACUAGCACUCUAGCAGUAUCAGAACAUAUGUGAAUGUUUCCUUACAGCUUCAGGAUGGUUGUUUCAUACUUAUGUCAUGCCAUAUUACAGGGCUAUAUCAUAAAAUGCAUGAAAACAUAAUCAAAGGCAGCUAUAUGCAUGUAAUCUAAAGCUAAAACUUUGUCACCAAACAACAAAAUCUAAAGAAUUUAUUUUUUCAUUUACCACUCCCAUUGAUGGACGCUUCUCAGCACUUUCUUGCACACAUACAUAUGCAGCUUUAGCCAUAAGGUACACUUCGUAUGUAUCAUAUGAAUCACCAAGACGACGAUCAAUGAGUUCAUGUAGUGCUAGGCUAUGGAUUAAUGGUUCGGCCUAUGAUUUGGACAUAACAGAUACAGACUAAUUAGAUUGGAAAAUAGAAAAUAAGCAAUCCAUUUUUCUUCUUAAAUUUGCAGAGUAAAAAAAUAAGCUCUGAAGCCCAACAUACCCACUGCCGCAGGGAUUCACCUUGUUCUUCUCCUUUUCCAUCUACAAUCUUGCGCCCGGAUAUGAGUUGUAACAGAGUCAUGCCAAAUGCAUAUACGUCUGUUCUUACAGAAACAAUACCAUUCUCUGCAUACUCUGGAGCAAGGUAGCUACAAGAACCAAAAGCUUAGUUGAGCUUGUUCCAGUAAAAGUAAAAUAGAAUAAGUACGACUUGAUAUCGGAUGUUGCAGAAAAGUAUAGAAGUCCUCACCCUAAUGUGCCAAGUAUCCUUGUACUUUCAGGAUCAUCAUUGGUCUUCCAUUUUGCUAAGCCAAAAUCACCUAACUGAGUGUAGAAAAUCAUGCCAUUAGUUGCAAAACAAAAAGAAAUGAGCACUGUAGGGUGACUACUCAGUCAUCGCCUUAAAACAUCAUGCAGAAAAUGGUGUAAUCACAACUCCCAAAGGGCACAAUUUAAAGUUGCCAGUCCAACAGAAUACAAUGUCUAAGUGAUCCAAGUAUAAAAAAUAUCCAAGGAUUAGCUGCAAUAACCAAAGGAAACAAAUUUUGAAAUGUUAAUGCAUCCAUUUUGUUGUCUUAAAACAUCUGCGCAGAUGCUGAAAGCUAAUAUUCUUGAUUUUGUUGUCAUGCUACUGAACGCUGAUCACUAGCUAGUAGUCUGCAUAAUGAUGGAGUCAAAGAACAAUGUCAUUUUCACUGAAGCAAUCACUUAAGAGUUCAUCUUUAUGUCAUUGGUAAAACCAGAAUGUGUACAAAGUGAUAUUCCAUAUGGUUUUCUUUCCCCUUAAGCCUACCUACCAUAUAUGUUUCCUAUAACCUUUUGCUUCCUUGAGGAUAAUUGUACUAGUGUAUAUGCCAUGCAUACUCUUGAUGUAGGUCCUCCAGGUAUCUAGUUCCUCAUCUCACAAAGAAAAGAGCAUAACUCCUAGUCCUACUCAAAAGAGGAAAUCAAAGUUCAGUGUUACCCUUGUGUUUUACCAAUCUCCACUUUGGGGAGCAGUUUUCUCCAGGCUCUAAAAUUGUAGCUUCCCAUUCUACUGCCGUUGUACUGUAUGCUAAAAAAGUAAAAAAUAUGUGCUACUACUAUUACUGCCAAAACAACUUUUCUGUCAUCAUAUCAGCUGGAUUAUAAUCAAUAUCCCCCUCCUUUAAAAAUUCUUUUUUUUUAUUAUGACCUUAUAUCCCAGCCUAAUGCUUCACCAUUGGGUCAAAACUAGGGGUGGCAAUUUGGACCCUGGCGAUACCAACCAACCACGUACCAACCGUACCAAACAAAUUGGUAUGCCAAGUAGUUGGUAACCGAGUUUUCGGUACAGUAGUACCGUACCAAGUUUUAGAAGUCGGUUGGUACAUGGUACAGAUUUUCCCAAAACACAGUAUACCAUGUACCAACCGAGUUAUAUUAAAAAAAAAAAAGAUUAAAACUAUUAAUCUAAGCCGUUGAUCUGUGGACUGUGGAUCUAACCUAGGUUAGUUAGUUAGUUGAGUUGAGUCAGUUGACUCUAUUCUCAAUAACUCACAGUCACUCUCGGGUCUCGGCCUCUCACGCUCGUCUCUCUCGCGUCUCGCCUCAUCUCUCUACUUCGCAGCACCCCCGCGGCUCGGCCACCUCAACUUCGCAACACCUCCUCGGCUCCGCCACCUCGACUCAACUUCUAGCCACCUCGCCUCUNNNNNNNNNNNNNNNNNNNNNNNNNNNNNNNNNNNNNNNNNNNNNNNNNNNNNNNNNNNNNNNNNNNNNNNNNNNNNNNNNNNNNNNNNNNNNNNNNNNNNNNNNNNNNNNNNNNNNNNNNNNNNNNNNNNNNNNNNNNNNNNNNNNNNNNNNNNNNNNNNNNNNNNNNNNNNNNACUCUCCCGGCCUCACAACAUCACUCUUUCCCUGCUAAUCUGGACUUUUGUGUUUUCAUUGGACAUGUGUUGUUUAAUUUUCUGUAUAAGACUUUGGACGUUGUUGGCUUGUUGCAUUUGAACUUUUGAAGUUUUGAUCUUGCUUGUUUAUGCAUUUGAAAUUAUAUGAUAUUAUGAUGUGUGAAACUUUGAAUGUGUUUGAACUUUGAAUAGUUUGAUAAUUGAUAGAAGUUUGGUAUAGGCCCAAAAAAAGGAUUUAAAUGAGCUGGGUCUUUCAGUUUGUUGGGCCUCAAUUUAAACUUGGUAGAGGCCCAAUACCAACCGUACCAACCGAGUACCAACCGUACCAACUAAGUUGGUAUACCAACUUUGACGGUUGGUUUUGGUACAAGAUUUUGCCUACCAAUUUUAAGUUGGUUGGUACAUGGUAUUGAAAAAUAUAGUUGGUAUACCUACCGAUGCCAGCCCUAGUCAAAACCAACUGUCUUAGAAGUUGAAACUACGAGAACAUGUUAUUCUGGUACCAGCCUGGUGGAGAGAAAAUACCCUUUUUGCAUGUAUUGCUUCAACGUGAGACGCGCCUUGCAUCCUAGUGCAUCUUACCUAUAAAUAAAAUCCUUUAUAUUCUUACCCCACUUGAUGAACAGUCACAACUAAAGAAGUAAAAUUCCUUUCAAAAAAGAACUAAAAUUCAGAAACUAAAAAAGAAAAAAAAAACAAAAAAAAAUUAAUCCUCAAGAAGAAAAAGACUUCAUGCGAUUCAACAAACUGGACUACGUUUGCAGAUUAGCUUGGAGACAGCUUUUAACCCAAAACCCCAAGAAAUAAACAGUUUACUCUAACCUCUCUCUACAAUGAUUUCUCACCCUUUAGGCCCUAACAACUGUUAUAUUUAGUAUAUCACAGCCGGCUUCUCCAACAAGCAAAAGUAAGAUAAAAGCCACCUGUUUUACUUUUACCACACAUCGGUGCUAAGUUUGAGUAAGGAAAAUAGAAAAUUUCACAUAAGUCUCUUUUUCAACAUUUUAUACUUCAUUAGUCCACCUUAAUUUUUUUACCCAUACAAGUCCACCUUUUAGUCCAAACCCACCAGUUUAUUUUUUUGUUGUACCUAAAAUACCCUCCCCUCCCUCUUUUUACCAAAUCAGUCUCUCUUCUUCGUUCUCUCUCUCUCUCUCUCUCUCUCUCUCUCUCUCUCUCUCUCUCGUAUUAGAUGAAGACGAGCUCCGGCAUCCAUGUCUAAAGACGACGAAGAAGCUCUGACCAGAAGCUACCUUGUCGGAGUCGAAUUAAUCUCGAUCAGAACCUUGCCUUAAGACGACGAACAAGCUCUGGUGAAAUCGAGAUCUAUCUACUUCUAUUCUCUGCUGCUUCUCAUUCUUCAGAUCUCACACAGGUAACACAAUUCUUUCUUUCAUUCUUUGUUUCUCUUUACGAUUUUUGUAAUAACUGAACGUGAGAUAUGUGAUUGUGAUUCGAAUUUGUGUUGACAGAUUGCGAUUUGAUCCGAAUUGCAGCAAAAUCAAAUUGUUCAGAACACGAAACGAAGGUGUGGUUCUCUAUUUCUUCCUCUUGAGCUUCAUAUGGCCGUCCGAUUCGUCCGACGACCUAUGGAGCCCGCGGCUGAUCUCGUCGUCGCGGUGCCCUCGGCCGUCAUCGUCCUUGAUGAAGUAAGCUGAGAAAGCUCUCAAACUCUCUGAUUUGAGCGAUAAAUAUCAUUCCAGGUAAACCUCUUCUCCUUUCUUCGAUUUUUUGAACCUCCUCAUAUUUUUUAGUUCUGUGUCGAUUUCGUUGCAUUUAGAUUGAUAUGGAGCUUUAUGUGGUGUAGUAUUGAUGAAAUUAAAGCCCAAAUGUCUUAGAUCUUUGGCUGAAUUAGGGCUUGGAAGAGAUGAAGAUGUUUGCUAAGCAGAGAGCUCGUAUUUCUGUUACAGACAAGUUUUAAUCAAAUUAGUGUGAUAAAGGUUUAUUAGCGUGUCACUGGUUUUAAUCGGAACAAGUUGAUACUAUGAUAGAGGGAUAGUAGCCUUCCAUAAUUGUUGCAGUAUCUUUCUGCUACUGUGAUAGUAUCUUUAUGUGCAUGCGUAGUAGUAUCCUGUUGUAGUAUCUUCUGCUACUAUUCGGUUUAUGAGCUAAAUUAUUUGAUCUGAGGAACUUAAAUGUUGAAAAUUAGUUAGUGAUUUCAUUGCAGUAGUUGAGUAGGAGUGAGUUUGAUUUUUGUUAUUUAGUUUUGAUAUAGGUCAUUGAUGUUCUUCAUUUAGGUAGGCCAAAUGUUUACAAGGUAUGAUAUUAGUUUUUUGUCUCUUGUAUUUUUCUGUCUAUCUCCAAUGUUGUUUGCUAAGUGUUGAUGUUAAUAACUUCUAUUUUCAUUUCAAAUACUAAUAUUACAUUGUGUUGCUCUUGCAGAAAUCUUCGCUUUGAAAUUAUGGUAGUAGAUUUCAAAAUCAUGUGAAUUAGGAUAUUGAAGCCUCCAUUAACCAAGAAGUCAUGCGGCCAAGCAAGAAAUGUUUAAAAUCAAGUCUCUUGCUUAAGGGGGGAAAAAUUAUGCAUAUGGUUUAGAGCGUCACUAUAGAAAACUGACAGUAGUUUUAUAAAGUUAUUAUAGUAUACUUCAGAAACUAUAGUAGCAACUUUUUACAACUAUGGAAGUAGUUUUGUAAAUAAUUUUAUCAUUGUUGAAAACGUCUUUUUGUAUCAUUGAAUAUGUUUUAUUCACUCAAUUGCAUUAGCAUUUUUAUUUUAGUUGUAUCCUCUACAUUUCCGCAAUCAUGCAAGUCUAUAAAAAAUAAUUUUCUCAACCUCCAGUAGUAGCUUUUGUAGUCGGUGGUAGCAGCUUUUAUAGCUAGGGAUAAUAGCUUUUGUUGUUGGCAGUAGUAGCUUUUGUUACUGGCAGUAGUGGUUUUUGUUGUUGGCUGUAGUAGCUUUUGUAGUCGGUGGUAGUAGCUUUUGUAGCUAGGGUUAGUAGCUUUUUUUGCUGACGGUAGUAGCUUUUGUUAUUGGCUGUAGUAGCUUUUGUUGUUGGCUGUAGUAGCUUUCGUAGUCGGUGGUAGUAGCUUUUGUAGCUAGAGAUAGUAGCUUUUAUUGCUGGCGGUAGUAGCUUUUGUUGUUGGCUAUAGUAGCUUUUGUAGUCGGUGGUAUUAGCUUUUGUAGUUGGUGGUAGUAGCUUUUGUAAUCGGUGGUAGUAGCUUUUGUAAUUGGUAGUAGUAGCUUUUCUUGUCAGCGGUAGUAGCUUUUGUUACUAACGGCAGUAGCUUUUGUUGUUGGUUGUAGUAGUUUUUGUAAUCAGUGGUAGUAGCUUUUGUACAUAAUUAUAUUAUUGUAGAAGGCUUCAUAUUUUUUGCACCAUUGAAUUUGUUAUAUUCUCUUGAUUGCAGUAACUUUUCUUCUGUUUGGUAGUAGGUUUUGUUUUGUUUGGUAGUAGCUUUUGUUGCUGGUGACAGUAACUUUUAUUAUGCUUGGUAGUAUCUUUUGUUAUGCCGGAUAGUAGUUUUUGUUCUGCUUAGUAUUAACUUUUGUUGUUAGCGACAUUAUAUGUGACCUUUCUAAAGGUCGUCGAAAAUCUCACCAUAGCAGCUUUUGUUGUUGGAUAUAGUAGAUUUUGUUGUUGAAGGUAGUAGAUUCGAUUGGUGGCGGUAGUAGCUUUUGUAGGUGACGGUAGUAGCUUUUGUUGACGGUGAUAGUAGCUUUUUUUAUGUUGGUAGUAGCUUUUGUUUAUUUCGGUAGUAGCUUUUAUAUACAGGGGUAGUAGCUUUUGUUUAUCUCGGUAGUAGCUUUGUUGACGGUGAUAGUAGUUUUUCUUAUGUUGGUAGUACCUUUUGUUUAUAGCGGUAGUAGCUUUUGUAGGCGGUGGUAGUAGCUUUUGUAACUGGUGGUAGUAGUUUUUGUGUUCGUCGGAAACCUCACAGUAGUAGCUUUUGUAGGCGGUGGUAGUAGCUUUUGUAGCUUGUGGUAGUAGUUUUUGUGGUUGGUGGUAGUAGCUUUUGUGUUCAUCGGAAACCUCACAGUAAUAUCUUUUGUAGCUGGUGGUAGUAGAUUUUGUAGCUGGUGGUAGUAGUUUUUAUAGCUGGUAGUAGUAAUUUUUGUCAUCGUCGGAGGUCGGCCGGAAACCUCGCCGGAGGUCCGCCUGAAACCUCGCCGGAGGUCAGCUGGAAAUCUCGCCGAAGGUCCGCCGGAGACUGUUCCGAAAUGAGAGUGGUUGUUGACUUUUUAUACUAGUGGCAUUCUUAUAAAUAUAAAGGAGAAAAUCUAAUUUUUUUUGUUGGAUGGCAGUUUGUAAUUAUGUUGAACUUCAAUACUUAAUACAAAAUCUUAUUUAAAAUUGGAUAAACUUAUGUGGGUAAAAAUGUUAUGGUGGAUCUAUGUGGGAAAAAAUGUCUCAAAAUAGACUUAUAUGUAAUUGGCCCUAAGGAAAAAUGCUUCAUGGAAUGACAAGCUAUAUUUCCACAACUCAGAGAAGCCCUAGAUAGUUGAUUAGCAAAAAGGACAAUACAUGUAUGAUUCGAGAUUUUUAUUAUAAAUCGAGCUAGUGCAUUUAUUUUUCUUAUAGUUCAACCACCAUAUCCUUAAGUAGCUAUAAACUUAUCAGUAUCACAAGGUCAGCUACUGACCAGAUAGUAUGUAAGCAACCUGUAACUGAAAUGGAAAGUAAUAUUUUGUAAUGUCUCAAUGGAGCUCAUAAAAAGUGAAUGCAAGGAAUGUUGCAUGUUAAGUUACCAUUGGAACAUAAUCGUGUGUGAGCAGUAUAUUGCUUGGUCGCAUAUCUCUAUGAACAAUAGUACCUCCACGACAUUCUUCAUGUAGGAAACGUAAUCCUUUAGCAGUUCCAAGGGCGAUAGCAUACCUUCGGUGCCACUCAAGAACUGCUGCUUCAUCAUCUAUGAAAUCCACAAGAAAUUAACAAAAAGAAGAUUCAGUAAGCUUGUUGAUGUUGUAUCAGUAGAUGAACUAACAAUAGCUGAGGUCCAAAAAGAAGUUUACCAAAUAAGUGCCACUCGAGAGAUUUGUUACAAAUAUACUCAUACACCAGGAUAUUUUGGUUUUCCUUGCAACAAUAACCCAACAGCAUUACAAUAUUUUUGUGGCGUGCAAAACUCAAGACAUAGACCUCAGAGUGAAAUUCGUUGAAUCCCUGUUUACUUGCCUCUUUCCGCACCUUCGCUGCAAUCUCCCGUCCGUCCUUGAGCUCACCUUUAUAUACAUGACCAUAUCCACCUUCUCCUAUUAAGUUUUCUUUUGAAAAAUCCUUUGUUGCAAUCUGUAUCUCUGAGUAACUAAAUGUCAUAGAAUCUUUCAUAUACAUUUCAGUCCUCGUUCCACAGAUGGAACAAAGAAUUGGCGCAUAUGAGGUUCUUUGGCGUGAGAAACUUUUAUUUCGUUUCUGGACACAUUGAAAAGUAGAACACUGACUUAUGUCUCCUUUGGCUUGUAUGCCUGGAAGAUGAAAACUUACACUUAUAAGCUUUACUCUAGUAGUUGGAGUACCAUAUAUAUUUUUUAAAGCAAAGAUAUUGGAAAAGCUUCACUCUACAUGGGUAAUUCCUAUUUCCUUAGAUCAUUUUCCCGUUGGAAACACCAUAAUGCAUGAGACAUAAGGAUCAUGCACUUCUUUGUUAUAAAAUGCUAAAAGCAUAAUGGCUUUAGGUUACUGUGAUCCUUUCAGUGCAUGAUGCAUAAGUUUUAUGUCUGGCAACAUUCAUGUGAUUUAAAAGUGAAUGAUGUAUGUUUCUAGGGUUUAGCAAGUCUGGUGUGUUGAACAAACUAUAUGUAUCCUAUCAUUAUGAUAGUAUCAUAUAAGUGAAGAUAUUGUUAUCUUAUUUUACUCAAAUGGCACAUCAUGAAUUGAAUAAAAAUAUAAAGAAGUGUGACUUUCAAUAUAAAGGGAGAAAACAGAAAACACAUAAUAUAUUUUGUAGCUUAAAUAUUUUCAACUCCAAGUAAAUAUACAAUCCAAAUAUAUCGAGAGAAGACAAAUAAAGGUUUGCCAUUUCGACCAAACUUCUACUCACUUCAGGUUUUCCUGGAAAGGGUUAUACUUUGCAUGUAAAGAUUUGAAAAUUUAGAUAAAUAUUGUAUUAUAGACUGACUAUUCAUAAUGGAUUGGUAUCACAUCUGAUUAUCAAGCUUCCAUCACAAAAAGGACAAUAUAUUUUACUAGCAGAGCCCUUCCAAUGAAGGAUCUAUUUUUUUGUUCAUUUAUAGGGAUAGGCUCACACCAUUAGAUCUGUUUUUUAAUGGGCUUGGAUGACUAAAAUUAAAACAAAAAACUUAACACUUAUGUCAAACAUACACCGUUCAAAAUCAUUAAAAAUAAAUCCCUCAUUUGGAUGACUUAACGAUCACCAAAUUUUCUGAAAAUUUGCAGAAAUGAUCUACUCAUAUAGCCCAACGAAUUGAACGGUGGAGAUUUGAUUUUGUGAUUGAAAAAUUCGUCAAAUGAUCUAUCCCUAUAAAUGAAGAAAAAAGGGAUCCCUCAUUGGAAGGGCCUGAUCUUACUAGAAUUUAAAAAGCAAAAAGCAUUAUGUUUAAAGGCAUAUGCAAAUUUUGUACCUGACUUUUCAUUCUUAGAAGAAGUCCCUAGAUCCAAUGACGAACUAUACUCUCGUAACUGAUAUGUAGAUGGAGGCGUCAAGUUGGGCUUAAGCAUUUCUGAGCUUUCCAGACCAACAGAUGCAGAGUAGCUUGAACACGUAAUGAUUGACUGCUCAAAGAUUCCAUUAGCCUGAGAAAUUGAUAGUGGAACAGGCUUGGACAAAGAAAAGAAUGUUUUAUGUUCUAUAGUAUCAGUAUCAUCUGUUGUAUGAAGUCUCAAAACUUCCACAGCUAAGCUAUCUUGAAUCAACGCAACCUUGCAAGGUAUCUGCUUAAGGUAGAACCUCAAAUCCCGUCUAAUGUGCCUGUGAAACUCCAUAAGUUACUACUAAAGCCAAUGAAAAACCGAAAAGAUGAAUUUCAACAGAGGCAUGUUUUGGAACAGCAAUAAGGGUAGAUAGAAGCUAAUGGAAAAUAGAGGGUAUAAAGAAAUCUAGGAAUCUAUCUUAGAAAACACUGAAAUUGUUAUUUGCCUUUUGUUUUUACAGCAUCAAAUAUUAAAGAUCCAAAUAUCAGUAGCUACGCCUUUUAAGAGAAAGAAGAUUAGCUCAGUAAAAUAACAGUGUACAUAUAAAUGUUCUUUAUACAAUAGCCAUACCUAGGAACUUAAGACGUCAACCACUUUGACAAUAUCCAAAGGUAGGUGAAUAGAUUUUUACAGUUCAAAGAAAUAAUUUCUAAAGGAAUACUUGUAAUGACUCGUGAAUCAUCAUCAGAUAACAAGUGCAACCAUGGUGAACUCUAAAACGAAUAAGCAGACGGAGACAAAGAACUACCUAUCAAGUACAACCCAAGCUGCGUUACAGGCCAUUAUCUCUUGCAAGAUAACCUGCUUGAUGGGAUAACCAGCAGUAACUUUGACUUCAAUGCUGACCUGAAUAUAGCAACGAAUUUGAAACGGUGAACAAAACCACCAAUAACAAGGACAGAGAGCAGAAUUCUUAAUAUAACAUGUGACACAGAGGAAUAUCUUGAUAUAAACAAGAUGCAUCCAGCAUCUUUGUUCAAACUUUUUAUCUUUGUUAGUGCUCUAGGUAACAGAUAACAGUAAUCCUUAUUCAUCAAAUAACUUGAUAAAGUAAUGCUUAGCACUUGGUGAAUAUAUUACCCCAUAAUCUUCACACUUCACCGCACUUUCAAGAAGCAUGUUAACAUACAUGUCAACUUUCUUUGUAACUUCUUCCUCCACUGCACGAAAGCUUGUUCCAAAGAAUUCUGGGUAUGGUUUCGCUUGAUAUCCCACUGUUCCAACGAAGGCAAGGUAAGCAUGGAGUAUUGGAGUUAACAUCACAAAAUCAGUAAUAAGCACGGUCAGUGGUUUAGUUACUUGCUCAGAAUGAGUUUAUGCCUCUACAAAUUGAAUAAUCGGAGUAGUCAUAUGAUCCUACUAACAUUUGACUAGUUAAUGCUAUUAUGCAAGAUAUAAUAUCGGAAGUACUCUGCAUCAAAUUUUUCUGAAAUAAAAGGAUCUAUGUUUACCCUUAUAUAUCACAGUCUGUAACAUCAGUACUAAGCGAAAAAUAACAAAAGCCUAUAUCAUGUUGCAGCGUCACUAAUGAAGAUACAUUUUUACAGAAAGGAUCAUGAUUAGAUUGACGAGAUUUGACUAUACAUGUAGAACUGAUGGUCACAAAGUGAAAAUUUUCAAGCACAUAGUAUGGUGUAAAACAUAUAUAAUACCAAUUUAGUUUCUGUUGUAGAAGAUGAAAAUUUGAUCCAGAAAUAGAAAUGGAAAGUUAAAGAUAAUGUUCAUAGCACCAUUCUACUCUGUGUGCACAACUUUAUAGCCAAAGCAAGCAGAAACCGAUAAAUCAAUCAAUCAAUAUUCUCCCAAAACCCAAUCAAGAUUUCAUCUCAUUAGGGCUAUAUAAGCUUCUGAUCGGAGAAUGUAAUGUCUUCUCCUAAACCUAAAACCCACUGGAGUAUUUCAUCGAACACUUACUUGGGUGAACCACCCUGUGCAAGACUCCAAGCACAACAAUGGUGUCGCCGGCACGUAAAAUGUCACCCCUCAACCUCACAGCAUCAAUGGUGAGCUUAAGCUCAUGCCCACCGCGGUCCUUGGUGGCAUCAUAAGCAAUAACAACGUGUGAUGGCGUCAUAGGGCUCGCCAUGGAUUCUUGUGAACAACACACCACAACAGGGUACUGGCUUUUGAUCUUGGUUUGAUGUCUUGGUGGUGAAAAAUGAGUUUGCUAUUUAAAUUGAAUCUUGCUUGGAUUAAACCCAUUAAAGAUUAUGAUUGAUGGCCAAUACCUGUCUGGUAGAGUUUAGAGAAAAUCUCUUUCUUUUUUGCUCACAAAGUUCUCUAUCUGGUUGCAUUGGGCAGGUAACAUUCCCUCCAAACCAAGGAAGAUAUCCCAUGAAUAUUCCCUAAAACACUGUACCCGAAAUCUUGGCGGGAGUUUAACAAGAUUGCAACCCAACAGCCACAUUGGUUUAUGCGUUUUAACUCCUAGCGUGUGGUCUGCUUUAUCAAUGGUCCUCAAACACAUUGGGGUUCUCUUUCUGUAUCUAAAACCUGUGACUCAGUUUUGUUCUGCUAUCAUGAACAUUUUCAAUGAUGCAGUUAAGAAGUAAUUAGUAUAAAAGGGGGAGAAAAAAGAAAAAAAAAAAACACAAAGCAUGAAAAGAAUGUACUAAGAACAAGGUUGGGGCACACUAUUGCUAUCUUAAUUGUGUGUGGUCUCUAUGCCUAAUUAGAAGACUAGAGUUGAUACCCGCGCCUUGGCGCGGUGUAACAUUAAUAUUAUGCAUAUUCCACAUAUGUAUAAGAGUUAUCACAAAAAUAACCUUUAUACAACAAAAUAUCUAGCCAAUUUUGUGUUCUACCAAAAAUAUAAAUACUCCAAUUGUUUUGAUUUGUACGUAUAUAUACAAAGCAGAAGAAAAAUGACAGAAUUCCGUGAAACAACGGGGUAAUAAAUUAUCACAGUAAUAUAUUAAUAUCUCUAGACUUUUCUAUUUUGUGAGAAAGAUGGAGAAAUGUUGGGCGAGAGAGAGAGAGCGAGAAGCAGUGGAAAAAAAAUAAAAAAUUAUACCUAGAGUUGAAACGAAGGGUAAAUACGGAAUUACACAACCCAUCAGCAGGAUGAAAAUGUCCGCACACUGUUCACAGUGCCUAUGAACAGUUAACCAAGCAAUAGUAUAUAGGCACAAAACAAAACAAUAGUGAAAGAGAUGAAACGAAGCGGCGAUAUUAUCUGAGAUGCAAAGACAGAGAGACGGGAGAAAUAAAAAUAAAGGAGAAAGAGGCAAGAUCAAUCCGGAAGAUUCAAANNNNNNNNNNNNNNNNNNNNNNNNNNNNNNNNNNNNNNNNNNNNNNNNNNNNNNNNNNNNNNNNNNNNNNNNNNNNNNNNNNNNNNNNNNNNNNNNNNNNNNNNNAAAAAAAAAAAAACUGUUCAUAUUCGACCAGCUAUAGUAUAUAGUUAAAGUGUCUCCUUGGCUUAUGAAUUGUAUUUAUGUUGCGGAUUGUUGCCCGAAAACUUCAUCAAAUGAAUAAAAUGUCAAACCUCAAUUUCAAAAGAGGAAAUCGCUACAAGCCUACAACCAACUCCAUACAACAACAGACUGGCUUUCGAAAACUGUCCAUUAGUCUAUGGGAAGCUAACUCGAGAUCAAGCCGACAUACUCUACCAAUAGCAAACCCCCAAGUUCCAAACCCCUGCUAGUGACAUAGCAUAUCCAAACACCUACACUUAGUCGGAGAUCGACUAAUACAGGAAUAUUCUGUACUUUGAAGACAAAACUGAAAGCAUAUAAUAAUUCGUAUGCAUGGCACUGAUUUUAAUUAAACAAAAUAAUGGGACGUACAGAAAGGAUCAGUAUUUUAGAUUUUCUAUCUCAUUCCAAUUUCAUUGAUGUUCACGAAUUAGAGAGCAUCAGAAUGGUUUGAUACUUUGAUGCAUGAAUGAUCCUCUCUGUUAUACUAGUCUUUUGAUGGUCAACUCUUACUCGUCUCGACAAGAAAAAGAAAAAAGAAAAAAGAAAAAAAGCCUCACAGAGAAAUUGUUAGAAUGUACUAGUAUGCAGUCUUCAACAUGUCCAGCAUUACUCAAUAGUCACUAAGGUUGAUAAAAGAACUAAGGAUACACACACUACAGGUGUAACUAAACGCCAUUGCGACUUGCUGGAAAUCGGGCAUGAACUGAGGUGCCCCUGCACGCACAAAUAUAGUUUUGCAUAAACUACUUCACUAGCCUAUAAUUAAGUAUCUAGAUUAGCUCCAAAGUGUCUCAAAAGACAAUUGUGAAACACUAUUCAAGGAAAGCUGCAACAGCAAAGUAAAUUAGGUAUCUCUUUGCUUCUUAAUUUUUAGCCUUCUUUCACCCUAGAAAGGUGCAGCCCAUGACUGCAUGUUAUCAAGUCUCAUGGUUGAGAAUUAUGGGAUCAUGGCUACUGACAACAUAACAGCACUAAGUUAAGAGUAGACUAGCCAUAUUACUUCUUCUUGUAAACAUUGGUCUGUUCUAUGCAGACUUGAUUCUGGCAAUUUGAUCCCCCAAUUUGGAAUAAGAGGUCGAAUCCAUAAGGACUGAUUUAAGCAAUCAAACUAUCGUGCAAGUUCUAGGAUAUCUAAUCACAAUCCCCUGUCCGGACUGGAUGUGAACUAAAAGUCCUAAAGUAUUGUUGUCCAACUAAAGCACAAACUAUAUAGAGAUCAACUUAAAUAGAUAAACAGAUGGUUGGUUAAACUAUUAGAUAAAUUAACGACCGUGUAUAUAAAAGCCAACUGCGCAUCACAUACGGUAAAAAUGAAUUUAUUUGGAAUCUGAGAGUCAAAUUGCAUAUCGAAGAACUACCAAGAACAAAAAGACAGUAAACAAAUAUACAAACUCCAUGGUCUGUGGCAUCAUCAUGUCAAAAAUACAGACUACUCAACGCAAGUUUCAGAACAAAGCAGGCCAGGAUUCUAAAUCCAUAUCACACACGUCAUUCCGAUGACAUGGAUUAUUUGAAAUGUGACACGUUCAAAAGCAUCACAAAUAUCUAAGAAGCUCCUUCUCCCAAACAUGCUGAGUAAUAAUUUUAUUGGAGCACUAGACCACCUUCCCUAAUCAACUACAAGGCAAUAGAACAUAAUGGGAUAAGCUACUAUCAAGGGAAUGGAUCCUCUACUAUAAAUUUGCAGCUAGAAUUCGAUUGGAUAUGCAUGCGAGAGGCUGCUGAUCCUCACUCUGUCUCCUCCCCCUUUCCUUAAUUUUGCAGUUAAAAAGUUUUUAGAUAACCCAAUUUCGAUAAGAUAAUAGUUGAACUCCUCCCCAUCUCUUUCUAUGUAACCAGACUCCUUCAUUUACACACAUCCAACCCAUAUGGGAGAGGUGAACACACAUCCACCCCAUAUUUGACAUGACAGGCCACCAAAGAAAGCUAGGCAGCAUAUUGACAAAAACUGAACUGGCAAUAUAUAAUCGAAAUUUGGUGCCUGAAGCAAGGCAGAAGGAGACAGGGAUAAUAUGUUUUAAAGAGACGAACUAACCCUGGUUGAAGCGGACGAUGCAAUGAUUGAGAAGCUUGUUAAAAGGGAGAAACUUGUGGGAGUUGAAAUUGCAGGUGGGUUGGUGACAGAAGAUUGGAAAUGCAAAAGGAAAUUUUGGUGAUGGUGGGGUGGGGGUUGUAUGUGGGAAUGGAGUUGAUGGAGAUAUCAAAAAAGAAGAUGGUUUACAACUUUACAUAUGAUAAUCUCAAAAAGAGGGGAGAGGGGCUUUGCUUUGUUGCUUCUUGUGGAAGUUUGGCUUUUGGAACUCUUUACUUUUCAGCUGUUGGAUUGUUGUGAACUGACAUAGCAGCCUCCCAUGCAAAUCCAAGCAGAACCUAGCACCCAAAAUCAUAGUAGAGAAUCAAAGUCCAUGAUCAGGACACGUUUAAUAAGCUUUAAGACUAAUUGAUAUAGAUACUUUCCAUAUCAUGUCAACUUAUAACAUUGCAAAAUGACCAUAUCUAUGUUGGCCAAUUUCGUAUACAAAUCUUAAAAUUCAAGAUUGUAAAAUCCCGGUAAAACAGAUUGUCUCAUGGUCUCAGCUCCAGAAGAGUGUAAAAAAAAAACCCCACCCAACUAUUUAUCUCAAACAAAACAAGUAACCACAGAAAAAUGAUAUGAACAAAAAAAUUUUCAAGGAAACCAAACAAAUAAUAGUUUUAGGAGAUGAGACAUAUAUGUAAUAAUCAGCUUUCUAGGCAACCAAACAGAUCCAUAGGAAGAUAAAAGCAUGAAAUUCAUACCUCUGUGAGGUUGAGAUGGUGGGUGCUGUGUGAUGGUGUCAUUGGUGUGACAAUUUCUCUUUCACUCCAGCGGCUGAAGUCUCCUAAGCUAAUAGUUCUGUGUCAGAAAACACCUAAACCCAUUCAACUUCAAAACAUGGAGUACAGAAAGUAAGUUAGAAAUGAAACAUUCAAACUUAAAGAAAGAAAUCAUAGAAAUAGUAAACCUAGCUAUAAGGGCAUGACACAGAAAGAUCUCAGAACACAGUGAAAAUACAAUAGGCUUAUGAGAUUCCUGACCCGGAUAUGAUAUCAUUUUGACAAUCUGGUGGUGAGAUAUAGAACCCUUUAACAAACUGAAAUCCAAGAAAGCUCAAAAAACCACAAAAUCUUGAACAGUCGAAGGAGAAAGUGAGAAGCCUCUGCCAAAACUAAAGGUCACGUGAUGCCCAAUAUUGGCAUUACUUUUGAGAUAGGAUUGAGUCUAUGCCACCUCCAUCCUUAAACUCCACUGUCGUUUAAAAAACUUCCUGAACAAGUCCGGACGUGGAGCUCAGGAUCUUGUGCUCCUCUUAACCUGAAUUCUUAUGUGCAAUGCCCUCAUCCAAACACAAAAUUAUGGUAAUUCUUUUCACCACUCCUCCUAGCGUCACUUUCUUAGAAUGUCAAUGUAACUAUCAGCUUCCAUAUCCCAAAACAGUAAUCUCAAUAUCAUAUAUAUGUCUUGGCCUCCAUGAGGCUGUAAUUGGUCUGCCUUAAAAGUAUAUACAUGUUUCUGUAUCUCAAUCCAACUACAUCCGACCACAUUCUUCACACCUUUCUCUUUCAUUUCAUUCGUAACUCGAAUCAUGCUUUCCCAUCUUCCUCUCAUUUCAUAUGCUCGAGCUAGCACCAGAUAAGGUAGAGAUGACUGUGGUUCUGACUUCAUCAUCAGUUGUGCAACUCUUUCAGUAAUUUUGAUGUCUUUCUGAAGCGCACAAGCACGAAGAAUUGAUUCCCAUAUCAUAGAACUAGGUUCAUAGGGCAUUGCUUCUACUAUAUCCAUUGCUGCUUCGAGUUUACCUGCACGAGUCAACAAGUCUACUAUGCACAUAUAAUGCUCUUCUGCAGGUUUGAUCCCAUAUUCCUUUUCCAUGGAUAUAAAUAAUGACAUACCCUCAUCCACAAAGCUGCCAAAGUUGCAAGCUAAUAAAACUCCAGCUAAUGUUACAUCAUCUGCUGGCAUACCUUCACUAACUAAUUCCUUAAAUGUGUCCAGGGUCUCAAACAGUUUACCAUUUUGAGCUAAACCCAUAAUCAUAGUGUUCCAAGAUAUCAAAUCUUUCACCGCCAUACUUGAAAAGAUCUUCAUGGCAUGAUUUAUCAAUCCAAGUUUAGUGUAAAAAUCAACAAGUGAACUAGCGACAAUAGCGUCUGACUCAAAGCCUAACUUAAUAACCCAAGAAUGGAUUUGGAAACCCUGCUCAACUGGAAGAAAUGUGGACGUACAGCUCAGUACACUGCUAAGAGUGAACUCCGUUGGCCUCAGAUUCUUUCUAAGGGUCAGCACAAAAAGCAGCACAGCAUUAUCCACACAACCAUGCCUUGCAUAGCUCGAAAUCAUGGAAUUGCAAACAGCUGAAUCUGACCAGCUUAGUUCUUGAAAGAGCAGGACCGCGUCCUCCAAUCUGUUGCAUUUGGAAAACAUGUCAAUAGCGGCACUCGAUACAAUGCUAUUAGAAAAGAAUCCCACCUUCAAGCUAAAAGCAAUAAUUUGCUUACCCCUUGCCAAAUCAAGCAAGUUACAACAAACAUUGAUCACAGUUGAUAUCGUAAACUCAUCAGGGGAAUGCUCGGUGCCUCUCAUAAGAACAAACUGAUCUAUAGCCAAUUCCUCAUACCCAGCUCUAUGACAGCCCCAAAUCAAACUGUUCCAAGAAAUGACAUCCAACUCCUCCAUACACAUAAACACCCCAAAAGCAUAAUCCACCGAACCAAUCUUUCCAUACAUGUGGAUCAACGAAUUCCCAACUACCACAUUCGACAAAUUCACACCCUUCCUGAUCAUACCACCAUGAAUUUCCUUCCCAUGACAACCAGACGACACAACUGACAUCACAAUCGAAAACGUGAACUCACUCGGCCUCACACCCGAGCUUUGCAUUUCCGAAAACAUCCACAUUGCAUUACCAACCAAUCCACACGAAACAUACCCCGAAAUCAUCGAGUUCCAACUAACCACAUCUCUCUCAGGCAUUUCAUCAAACACCUUCCGUGCCCUCUCAAACUCACCAAAUCGACAUAAACCCUUCAAGCAAAUAUUAUCAGACACAAUGUUCUUGCAAUUAAUCUCAUUAGAAACUCUCAACGCAUCGAAAAGCGUGCCGAACCGAAAGUAAGCGUCGAGGAGACGGUUACCCAGAAAGGUAUGGGUGUUGAGUCCCACUUUCACCAACCGCGCGUGUAAGACAUUGACGUGAAUUGAAGAUUUAAGGGAGAGACAGUGGUCUAGGAGAUGAGAGUAAUAGGAGAGCGAGGUUUUGUGAAGCCCACUGACUUGUUUGAGAAGCGAUUGCAUGCAAAACCUUAAGUGCUACAAUGAAGUGCAGGGCGGGGGUUUUACUUGUAUGAAAAUGAAGAGGGUUAAGCAGUGAUACGGUCCCGUUUUGAAUGGGGUAUGGCGUCUGGGUCUAGUUCUUGUUGUUGUGGAAAUUCCAUGGAAAUGGGAGCAGCAGCGGUUGAAGAAUUAGCUGCUUUAACGUUGGAGAGGUAUGAGUAUCAAGGGUAAUUGUGUGUUUAUCUCAUUAGAUUUCUUUUCUUCUCCCCCUAAGGGUUUAAUUUUUUUUUUUUUUUUGAAAGUAGGGUUUAAUGAUCGGAUAUAUAGGGGCCCUAUUUAAGUAUUUAUGAAAAAUCGAUUGCAAUAAAAAAUAAAUAAAUAAAAAAACUCACGGCUUAAGAUAUCGAAGUGCUUCAAUCUAUUGUGAUUCAUAAUAAUGAAGACAGGGAAGUCUUUCUAACGAGGACCCUUAAGUUGAAGACUUGGUGAGGACUUUUCGGCUUAUCCCACAUUUCGAUCUUAUAUCUACAUCUUUACCGUUCAGUUUAUAGAUAUUUAUGAGUAGAUAAUUUCUUUAAAUUUUCAACUAUAUUGAAAAUUGUUAAGACAUUCAUAAGUGUGAUUUAUCAAUUAUGAACUUGAACGGUUCAUAUUUGACAGAUUUAGUUCGUCCAUUAGUUUGAUCUAAUUUGUUAUCUUAACGAACACCAAUUUGGGUGAAAAUUUGUAUAAAUGAUCUACUCAUAUAAACCUAAAAACUGAACGGAUAAGAUGUCAAAAUGUGAUCGAAAAUUGGGUCUUUUAAACCAUAAACCGAAAAGCCUUUACCAAGUCCUCAACUUAAAGGUCCUCACUAGAAGGGCUCCUAUGAAAACAGAGCUCACGUAACAAAAUAUAAGUAUUUAAGUUGUGCUUCUCAUUGAGUUAGUAAGAGUUUUAGUGGAACCUUUUAUACUCAUGUAAUCAUGUUUGAAUUUUGCCGAUGUUGUUAGAGUUAAGUUUUUCGACACGGAUUAGUCUAUGAUAUUAACCUUUAAAGAGAGCAUAAGAUGUCGAUAAAAAAUAAAAGUUGAAUUUUGUUGUGUAAAUAAUGCAUUGCUCCACGACAUCACCGAACCAAAAAGCAAAUCAAGCAACUUUGAGAAAUUGAGAGUCAAGGAAACAAGGUGCGUCAAUUUUAUCCCUUUUAAAUUACUAUAGAUCAACGGGCAUGUAUUGCGAGAAAUCAAUGUUUUCACUUGGAAUAUGCUACUGGUGCUGAUUAAAGUGUAAUAGUGUAACAAAUCCUUAAAAGUAGAAGCAUCCACGAUCCUAAAUUCCUAAAUACAAAUAGACGAAUAAACAACAACAAAACAAAAUGUGUGAAGUCUGGAAUGCAAUUUGAAAAUCACCAGCUCAAGGAUAGCUCUCAUGCCCUGCAAAGUAAAAAAGAAAAAUUUAUCAGCGAUUGGACCUUUUUCCCCCAAUGUCAAUAGCUUUCAAUUAUAACAUCUAGUUCUACAUAAAAUUAACACUAAAUUCCAUUUUUAUCAUAAAGUUAGAGUAAUUCUAAUUGUUGUUGCUUUUCAUUCCAUUUUUUUUUUUCUGCCAUGCCAUAAGUAGUCAAGUAACAUCACCUCAGAGCCGGUAGACCCUUUUCUUCUUCGGUGAUGACAAGCUUGCCUUCUGUAAACUCACAAGCUGAAAUUGGAAUUCCAAGCUGCUUCUGCAGUUUCCUCACAACAAAUACUUCUGAUUCUUCACACAUUGUUACUACAGUGCCCUUCCUGCCAAGACGACCAGUCCGUCCAGCUCGAUGUGCAUAAUGAAUUGUGUCGGUGGGUAAGUCCAGAUUAACAACAAGAUCACAUUCUGCCACAUCCAAUCCCCUUGCUGAAAGUUCAUUUGUCACCAGAAUUCUCACCUCCCCCUUUUUGAAUUUUUUCAUAGUCGUUGCCCUACCAAGUUUACCAAGAUCCCCAUGGAGCUCUGAUGCCGUCAUUCCACGGGCCUCUAGCUUGAAGACGGUAUCUUUUAGCUGCCUAGUGUGAUUCAUGAAGGCUAUGACAGAUUUGGCAUUCAGAGCAUGAACACACCUUCUCAAUGCAUCAACCUUGUGUUGUAACUUUGUUACACAGUAGUAGUGUUUAAGAGAUGGAGGUAGGCUCUCUAUUGCAGAAUGACCCUGCAAAUUUGAGGUUGAGUUCGUACUGAUUGAAUUUCCUGGCAAUGUACCGGGUCCAGAGGGCGAGAUAGAAUCAAGGGGAAUGACAUUUUUGGCUUGGACAAGAAGUGGAUCGCGCCCCCAGCUACUGGCUGCCCUUAUCACUGAAAAUGGUACUGUUGCGGAAACCAAUAUAGUCUGACGCUCAGCUCGUUUGCCAAGUGAGCCUUUUGGUCCAUGUGAGUCUGCACUGGACUUCCUCCCUACGUGUUCCAAUAUCCGGUGCAUGUCCUCCCGAAAAUUAAAAGAAAGCAGUUGAUCAACCUCAUCUAAGACCAAGAAACGGCAGCCGUGGGUGUGAAGCUUCCCAGCGGCACUAAUCUCUGCAAUCCUGCCCGGUGUCCCAACAACAAUGGCAGGCUUAUUCUUCUUAAGUGCUUCUUCUUGUCUUGAUCGAUUUGCACCCCCUACAAGCUGCUGAACCGUUUUCUUGUUAGCAGGUCCUAAUAUCUUUUCGAACUCCCUCACAAUCUGCAUACCCAGCUCCCUGGAAGGAGCCACAAUUACCGCUUCUAUAUCUGUUCUCUUCCCAUUUUCACCACCACCAUCAGAUGGUCUCUCCUUUAGGGGGCCUACUUCAGAGAGGAUAGGAAGAAGAUAAGCUAGUGUUUUUCCCGAACCUGUGUAAGACUGAAUCACGACAUCAUGAUCUUUAAGAAUCGUUGGAAUUGCAGUGGACUGAACAUCAGUUGGAGUCCUGAAGCCUUGACUCUCUAACCUCUCAAUCAACAAAGGAGGGAGGCCGAGCUCAGAAAAAGAUUUCGCAUUAAAGAGACUCGAAUCUACUUCAAGAGAGCUUUGUGCCCCAGCUGCCUUGAUUACAGUGCUUCUAACCACCUUGGCCUUACUUUUGGGAACAUCUUUAAAAGAACUCAGCCGCGUAACUUCAUUGGUUUCCUUUUUAUCUACCAAUUCAAUAUCACUUUUGAAGCCAAGGCUUCCAAGAUUCAGACUACAUACACUUCUGCGGAACCAAGCAUUCCUAGAUACAUAUGAAAACUUAUGGAAGGACAGAGACUCUCCGAAAAUUAGCAACCUUGACGAGAUUAAUGCUGGCAUCUUUAGUAGGUUACGAGUCCCAAUCAAUAGGUACCAAUUACAUAACCAUAAAAUCGAACUUAAAAACUUUACACUGACCCUGCACAUUAACAUUCAACAAGAAUUACAUUAUAGGGGUUGAAACCAAAUGGGUAUCUCUACCUUGUACAAAUGCAAGAGCCCAAUACUUCAGAAACCAAAAUCCCAUAUUAUUCUGCUUCAUUCAGGUAAGUUGGUUGAGGCAUUUUAUCAAACACCAUGAGACAUAUGGGCAGCAAGCUAGCAUUUGUAUCUUUCUACUUUCGCCACAAUUUUCAACGGCAACAAUCACAUAAUUUUGUAAUCUAUAUAAGAAUCACUAGGUUUUCCAAUUGCUCUCAUAAAACCAACAGUGUAUGUCAGUAAAGGUUUAAGCUUGACGGGAGAAAUCAAAGGGAAAACGCAGAGCAGCAAAAAGGGACACUAAAAGAGAUAGAAAGAGAGUACCUGAGACUGUGAAUUGGGGAUAGAGCGGCUUCGAGUUUGUGAAGGAGAAGAAGAGAUUUGAGGUUUAACCGUGGAAUUUCUAGCUGAGAAACACCUUAAUUUGCCGCCUCUAUGGAUUAUAUCCGUCCUUCAUGUUUUUGCCAUUUAGUCCUCAUCUUUUACAAUUUCUCAUGAGAUACCCUCUUUGGUUUUCGAUAUGGGUUUUCGAUAUUUGAGUACUAGCUUUAGCAGCGAAUAAACCCAUGAGACAAACGUAAUUGUUGAUUUGUCAAUUAAUUAAGGUGUCAUAAGGUAUGGAUACUUAAUCAGUUUUGACUUGCUAUAGCAGGUUAAAGCAAACUAACAACGUUAACUCUCUGUUAAGUCUCUCUAUAUCUACAGUUUUCAUUAGAAAUAUCUACCAUUCAGAUGAGCAAAAUACACAAAAGUAUACUUUUUGGAAAUCAAAAUGAUUCUUGAGACUGUCUACAACUAUCAUAAAAAACAUCUACUACUGUCAUGAAAAAUAUCACAGAAAAUGUUGCAAAUCGAAUACACAUUUAACAUAAGACACAUCUACUGUUUUCAUUAGAAAAGUAGACUUUCUAGAAAUCAAAAUUAUUUUUGAGAUUGAAUCAACCCAAGGUAAAAUUUGCAACUCUACAUUUAACAUAAGACACAUCUAUUAUUUUCAUUACAAAUCUCUACCAUUAACAUAAGACACAUCUACUGUUUUCAUUAGAAAAGUAGACUUUCUAGAAAUCAAAAUUAUUUUUGAGAUUGAAUCAACCCAAGGUAAAAUUUGCAACUCUACAUUUAACAUAAGACACAUCUAUAUUUUCAUUACAAAUCUCUACCAUUAACAUAAGCGAAAUAAAAGAAAAGUAGACUUUCUAAAAUCAAAAUUGUGAUUGAGAUUGAACCAACCAAAGGUAAAAUUUCUAAGUCUACAUUUAACAUAAGACACAUCUACUAUUUUCAUUAGAAAUCUCUACCAUUAACAUAAGCGAAAUCAAAGAAAAGUAGACUUUCUGGAAAUCAAAAUUGUUCUUGAGAUUGAGUCAACCCCAGGUAAAAGAUGGAAAGUCUACAUUUAACAUAACACACAUAUACUAUUUUCAUUAGAAAUGUCUACCAUUAACAUUAGCGAAAUCAAAGAAAAAUAGACUUUCUAGAAAUCAAAAUUGUUCUUCAGAUUGAAUCAACCCAAGGUAAAUGUUGCAAAUGCUACAUUUAACAUAAGACACAUCUACGAUUUUCAUUAGAAAUGUCUACCAUUAACAUUAGCGAAAUCAAAGAAAAGUAAACUUUCUAGAAAUCAAAAUUGUUCUUGAGAUUGAAUCAACCCAAGGUAAAUGUUGCAAAGGCUACAUUUAACAUAAGACACAUGUACUAUUUUCGUUAGAAAUGUCUAUCAUUAACAUAAGCGAAAUCAAAGAAAAGUAAACUUUCUGGAAAUCAAAAUUGUUCUUAAGAUUGAAUCAAUAAUGGAAGGUGAAAGUUGCAAAGUCUACAUUUAACAUAAGACACAACUACUAUUUUCAUGAGAAAUAUCUACCAUUUAGAUGAGAAAAAUCACAUAAAUGUAGACUUUCUGGAAAUAAAAAUGAUUCUUAAGAUUGAACCAACCGAAUGUAAAAUUUGUAAGUCUUCAUUUAACAUAAGACACAAUUACUAUUUUCAUGAGAAAUGUCUACGAUUUGAAUGAGCAAAAUCACAAAAAAGUAGACUUUCUGGAAAUCAAAAUUGUUCUUAAGAUUGAAUCAAUAAUUGAAGGUGAAAGUUGCAAAGUUUACAUUUAACAUAAAACACAACUAUUAUUUUCAUGAGAAAUGUCUACCAUUUAGAUGAGCAAAAUCACAAAAAAGUAGACUUUCUGGUAAUCAAAAUUGUUCUUGAGAUUGAAUCAAUAAAAGCAAAAGUUGUAAAGUCUACAUUUAACAUAAGACACAACUACUAUUUUCAUGAGAAAUGUCUACCAUUUAGAUGAGCAAAAUCACAAAAAUGUAGACAUUCUGGAAAUCAAAAUUGUUCUUGAGAUUGAAUCAAUGAAAAUUCACAAAAUGAAAAUUGACCAUCUGAUGUGAUCAUUAUAGUGAAACAUGGCUAUGGUAUACAAUUCAACUGGAUUCAACAAUGUUCGGGGCUCGAUCAAAGCGGUCAACCCUAAUUCAUCUUCAUUUAUCACACGAAAACUAUCUCACAUGCCUGUUUGUGACCUAGUUUGGUCGAUUCUUCAACACAAUAAAGUCUCACAUAGAUGAGACAUAACCACCCAUGUAAAACUUUGGGGGCGUUUACCACCUGAUGAUAGGGCUCUCCUUAUUGAAGCAUAAGCGUAAGUAGGGUUGACCGCUUCGAUCGGGGCUCAGACAUUGGCGAAUUAAAGUGAUUUUUCUACCGUAGCCGUAUUUUACUAUACCGAUCACAUCCUAUUUCACGAGAUUUUUGAAAAUUUUGCUUCCUCUAUAUAAUUGGUUCACAAAGUUGUACACUAGCAUAUAACCUACCAAACAAGUUAUACCACAUUAGUAGGCACGUUAUGAUUCUAAUGACUAAAAUUCACAAAAUAAAAAUGACCAUCUAAUGUGAUCAUCAUAGUGAAACAUGGCUAUGGUAUAAAAUUCAACUAGAUUCAAUAAUGUUUGGGGCUCGAUCAAAACGGUCAACCCUAAUUCAUCUUCACUUAUCAUAUGAAAACUAUUUUACCUACCUCUUCGUGACCUAGUUUGGUGGAUUCUUCAACACAAUAAAGUAUCACAUAGAUGAGACAUAACCACCCAUGUAAAACUUUGGGGACGUUUACCACCCGAGGAUAGGGCUCUCCUUAGUGAAGCAUAAGCGUAAAUAAGGUUGACCGCUUCGAUCGGGGUCCAAACAUUGGCAAAUUAAAGUGAGUUUCCCACCGUAGCCGUAUUUUACUAUACCAAUCACAUCAUAUUUCACGAGAUUUUUGAAAAUUUUGCUUCCUCUAUAUAGUUGGUUCACAAAGUUGUACACUAGCAUAUAACCUACCAAACAAGUUAUACCACUUUAGUAGGCACGUUAUGAUUCCGAUGACUAAAAUUCACAAAAUGAAAUAAAAUUGAUCGUCUGAUGUGAUCAUUAUAGUGAAACAUAGCUAUGGUAUAAAAUUCAACUGGAUUCAACAAUGUUCGGGGCUCGAUCAAAGCGGUCAACCCUAAUUCAUUUUCACUUAUCACACGAAAUCUAUCUUACCUACCUCUUUGUGACUUAAUUUGGUUGAUUCUUUAACACAAUAAAGUGUCACAUAGAUGAGACAUAACCACCCAUGUAAAACUUUGGGGACGUUUACCACCUGAGGAUAUGCCUCUCCUUAGUGAAGCAUAAACAUAAAUAGGGUUGACGGCUUUGAUCGGGGUCUAAACAUUGACGAAUUAAAGUGAUUUUUCUACCGUAGCCGUAUUUUACUAUACCGAUCACAUCCUAUUUCACGAAAUUUUUGAAAAUUUUGCUUCCUCUAUAUAGUUGGUUCACAAAAUUGUAUACUAGCAUAUAACCUACCAAACAAGUUAUACUACAUUAGUAGGUAUGUUGUGAUUCCGAUGACUAAAAUUUAGAUGCAGUUGUGAAGUGGGUCUCGCCAGUGGUCCGUGACUUUUUUCGGAGAAUUUUUCCGACACUGGAGCUAUUUUCUAUGCAUUUUUAAAGUUUUGAAAUGGUGAAAAAAAAAGUAAAACUUUAAUGACAUGUACAGAUUAUUGACUUUGGACGAAUGAGGUCGCGACAUGUGGCAAUUAGUGUUGAAUUUUCAGAAAAGGAAUUCCCUCGAAAUGGAAACUUACCAUUCCUUUUAUAGUUGAUUUCCAUAAAUAGUAACUUUCAGAAAGUCUACUUUUGCAUGUCAGUUAGCUCAUGUUAUUAGUAGACCUAACUCAUGUUAAGAGUAGACUUUGCAUCUUAGAGUACUUGAUCCAACUUUGAAGAACAAUCUCAAGAACGAAUUUCCAGAAAGUCUACUUUUAUAUGAUUUUGCUCAUCCAAAUGAUAGACAUUUCUCAUGAAAAUAGUAGUUGUGUCUUAUGUUAAAUAUAGACUUUGCAACUUUCAUCUUCCAUUAUUGAUUCAAUCUCAAGAACAAUUUUGAUUUUUAGAAAGUCUACUUUUUUAUGAUUUUGUUUAUCUAAAUGGUAGACAUUUCUCUUGAAAAGAGUAGUUGUGUCUUAUGUUAAAUGUAGACUUUCCAACUUUCACCUUCAAUAAUUGAUUCAAUCUUAAGAACCAUUUUUAUUUCCUGAAAGUCUACAUUUAUGUGAUUUUUCUCAUCUAAAUGGUAAAUAUUUCUCAUGAAAAUGGUAGUUGUGUCUUAUGUUAAAUGUAGAUUUUGCAACUUUCACAUUCCAUUAUUGAUUCAAUCUCAAGAACAAUUUUUGAUUUCCAGAAAGUCUACUUUUCUGUGAUUUCGCUUAUGUUAAUAGUAGACAUUUCUAACGAAAAUAGUAGAUGUGUCUUAUGUUAAAUGUAGACUUGCAAAUUUUGCAUUUGGUUGGUUCAAUCUUAAGAACCAUUUUUAUUUCAAAAAAGUCUACAUUUAUGUGAUUUUGCUUAUCUAAAUGGUAGACAUUUCUUAUGAAAAUAGUAGUUGUGUCUUAUGUUAAAUGUACACUUUGCAACUUUCACCUUCAUUCAUUGAUUCAAUCUCAAAAACAAUUUUGAUUUCCAGAAAGUCUACUUUUUGGGAUUUUGCUCAUCUAAAAGGUAGACAUUUCUCAUAAAAUAGUAAUUGUGUCUUAUGUUAAAUGUAGACUUGCAAAUUUUACAUUUGGUUGGUUCAAUCUUAAGAACCAUUUUUAUUUCUUGAAAGUCUACAUUUAUGUGAUUUUUCUCAUCUAAAUGGUAGUUAUUUCUCAUGAAAAUAGUUGUUGUGUCUUAAGUUAAAUGUAGACUUUGCAACUUUCACCUUCCAUGACUGAUUCAAUCUCAAGAACAAUUUUAAUUUUCAAAAUCUCUACUUUUUUGUGAUUUUGCUUAUCUAAAUGGUAGACAUUUCUUUUGAAAAGAGUAGUUGUGUCUUAUGUUAAAUGUAGACUUUGCAACUUUCACUUUCAAUAAUUGAUUCAAUCUUAAAAACCAUUUUUAUUUCCAGAAAAUCUACAUUUAUGUGAUUUUUCUCAUCUAAAUGGUAGAUAUUUCUCAUGAAAAUAGUAGUUGUGUCUUAUGUUAAAUGUAGACUUUGCAACUUUCAUCUUCCAUUAUUGAUUCAAUCUCAAGAAACAAUUUUGAUUUNNNNNNNNNNNNNNNNNNNNNNNNNNNNNNNNNNNNNNNNNNNNNNNNNNNNNNNNNNNNNNNNNNNNNNNNNNNNNNNNNNNNNNNNNNNNNNNNNNNNNNNNNNNNNNNNNNNNNNNNNNNNNNNNNNNNNNNNNNNNNNNNNNNNNNNNNNNNNNNNNNNNNNNNNNNNNNNNNNNNNNNNNNNNNNNNNNNNNNNNNNNNNNNNNNNNNNNNNNNNNNNNNNNNNNNNNNNNNNNNNNNNNNNNNNNNNNNNNNNNNNNNNNNNNNNNNNNNNNNNNNNNNNNNNNNNNNNNGAAAUUAACCCCGUGAGUGAGAGAGUGAGAGUUAGUUUGAGAUUUAAAUUGGAUGACCAGUUAAGCAGGUAGCCGGUCAUCAUUAAUCUAGUUGGACCAAUCAUAAACAACCAUGUGGUUAAGGUAUCUAUACCUUAAGGUACACAAGUAUUUGCCAUUAAAUUAAUGGGAAAUUCAGAUAUGCAAUGUUGUAUAGAAUGCAGCAGAACUGUGAACCGCCCAAUCGUGUUGAAUUUUGAAUUGUUGAACUAUCGGACGAUUCACGGCUUGAUGUUUGCACCUAAAUUGGAAGGGACGAGCAUAAAACCUGUAGUUGAAAAAAAAAAUCUAGUGAACUGAUUUGAACUGACAUAGCCGGGCUCAAAACAUGUUCUCGUAGAUAAUGUAUGGUUGAGACCGGUCCCACUAUAUGUCGGAUCAGCCCGGGCCGGAUCCUUGACUUCUAAAAUCUUUUCUGGCAAGAAAACCCGAAAAUAGAUGUGUUCAUGCAUUAAGCCCAUUGUAUACUAGUUUUUCUCUUUUUCAAGCCUAGUAGUCCACACAAUAUCAAACCCAAAUACACUAUAAUCAAACCCAAAUACGAAAAUACCCUAAUCUUCUUCACAACCACUUGAGCAGCUUCGUCUUCUAGCACAGAAAUCCAUCACCGCCGACUUCACCUUGAUCACAUUCUUGAUCUUCGUGAGCGUGUCGUGCAUAGCAGCCAUGUGACAACCCGAAAUUUUAUUAUGUAUGUACCUAUUUACAAAUUUGCUUAUAUAUUACAUAUAUCUAUAUAUAGGUAUGAUUGUAUAAACGUGUGUGUGUACAAUCCUUCUUAGGUAAGGAUGUCUUUAUUUAUUCUUACGGUAUGGAUUUCCCUUUUAUACUCCUUUUUCAAUCGAAUUUUCACAUCUCCACCGUCUAGUCUUUAGAUACUAAUGUAUAGAUCAUCUCUGCAAAAUUUCAGCCAAUUUGGUUAUCUAUAGGACACUCAAAUUUAAUUAAACCAAUGGAUGAACAUAAUCUGUCAAACUUAAACCGUUCAUGUUUAUAACAGAAAAACGUAAUUUUGAGUGUCUUAAUGAUAACCAAAUUGGCUGAAAUUUUGUAGAGAUGAUCUAUACAUUAGUAUCUAAAGACUAGAAGGUGGAGAUGUGAAAAUUCGAUUGAAAAGUGAGUCUAAAGUGGAAAUUCGCACCGUAAGAAUAAAUAAGGACAUCUUUAGCCAAGAAAGCCUAUAUAUAUAGUGUUAUAUAUGUUGAAAAUUAAUAUAGUUAUAUAAUUUCUUUUAUUUUUAUCUUUAUUGGAUUUAAUGAGUAGGGUUUUUAUCCAAGCCAAAUACCCAAAUACAAAACCCAAGCCCAAACUUGAUAUAGCUAGGAAAAAAAAACACUGUUGUCGUGAGAUUGCAGAACGACUGCUUUCUUCUUCAGCGACUUCUCCUUUCACCGCCUUCUCUUCCUUGACCAACUUCUUCUUCUUUUCCUUGUUCUCUAAGUCUGAAACUCUGCUCAACCGCCUUGAAACCCAGAAAUCGACCUAGAAAUGCUUAAACAAGAGUAGCCGACCUCUUUAAACAGGACGUGUCAAUUGUCUGGAGAUCAGCUGCCGACUCUUUGAAGCUAUACAGUAGGAGCUAGAACCUUAGGGGUCUAGUCUAGCACCUAAACGGGUAAGAUUUCAGUUGCAUAAUUCAAUUUUGUUUCCUUUAUUCUUGUCUUGGACGCCAAGUUCUACUAUUUUUCCAGACACUAUAAAUAUGACUCUGUAGAUUUUUUGGGUUUUCAGAAGUCUUUUCCUACUUGGAGAGAGAGAUUGGUGUUGUAGGAAACUAGUAGAGAACUCAGGAGCUUGUUUCAGGUGAUUAUUGGCAAAGGUAGGGGAAAAAUUGGGGAACCUCUAUGUUUGCUCGAUCUAAUUGUUGUUUCAUUGGUUACAUGUUGUGUGAAAUUCUUGUUUCCUUGUUGUCAUUAAUAUAUGUAGGAUUUGUUUUGUUGUAUAUGUUAUCAUAUAAGGAAAUGAUGGUACUAUGUAUAAAAUACUUUGGGUAAAGAAGUUAGUGAUGAAACUUUUGUGUAGUUGAGUCAUUGUCCUCGGAGGUACCAUAUCCCACGAUGCCCGUGUGAAUGCGCGAUAAUGCGCGGGAAUGCGUGAGAAUACAUGAUCAGUAUAGGUGAAAAGGACGGGAUUGGCAAAAGAGGAAUGGACAAGAUGACUAGUAAAAGGGGAAUGUGAGAUUAAGUGGGAGGUAGUUCAUAUAAAUGAGUAAUCUAAGUCACCCUUGUGGUAAAAUACAUGGUAUGGGACAUGUAGACUUAGUUUAUUCGGCUAUAUGAACUAUAUGGAGUUGAUAAUAGAUGCAUUCAUCCAUUUUACUAAAGUUGUUUAUAUUCUAUCUUGUUUGAAGAGGUUUUUACCUCCUACUGAGCUGUUUGUUUUCAACCCUUUAAAUAUUUUGCAGGUAAGGAAUAAGUAGUUUGAAGUUGGUUUCUUGCAAGGAUCCUUAUUUACAUGUGAAAUAUGUGUGUUGUUACUUUCCUUAGAAUAAGACAGACUUUUUUUAGUCUACCUUUGUAAUGUUACUUUAUGGAGUACCUAAAAAUAAAGAGUGAUUUUUUAGUUGAGUAUCAAUGUGUUCUUUUCCAAUUUAUUUCAUAUUCUAAUUAUGAAAAAUCUAUUUCAUAGUUGGAAUAUGAGUUACACCUCCAAAAAAAAAAAAAAUCUAAAAAUUGAGGUGUAAAAAGCCAUCUCGUCGGGCUUGUCGUUCCCAUAGAUGGCGUCCUCGUCGGUAGGGCUCGGGAGAGCUGACAAGAACUUUGAGCCUCUAAAGCUCGUCGUGGAGUUCCAUUUCAGAGUCAGCGAAGCGGUCCAGCUAGUCUAGGUACUUGGGUUGUUUCAGAUUUGCAGGUACGAUGUUUAGGUUUGGUUGAUGAGCACUCGUUCGAUAAAAUUGCUUUCGAGAAGUUGAUUUCGAAUGGCAUAUUGCAUAUUGAAAGAAACAGAAUGUUACAAAGCCCGGAAGCUGGCUUGUUAAGGCACGGUCUGGGUUUUGACCGGUCCUUAUUUAUGGCAUGUUAAAGCCCCGAACUUAUUUCGCCAGUCCCGAUCUUGGUCCCUAUCAAAUUAUGGCUGGUCUGAGAUUGUUCCCAGCCCUAUAAUUAGUAUUGUUAAUUUACUAUUCAUCUAAAAUUGAAAAGUGCCUUUCAUUUGCCAAUGCAUCAAUUAUAGACAAUUUCCUUAAUCUUCUAUUCACAUUUCAAACUUGAAUAAUUCAUUAAUUCAAUUGUUAACUUAUUAUAAUUUGACUAAUGCAUAAUGGAGGAUCUUUGCAACCACAACAAUUUUCGAAGGCAAAAAGAAAAAGGCCACUGGAAAAAUUGGAUUGCUUCCCGAACAAAAAAUGAUAGGUGCCUUGAGAAUGUCUGUGUAUGGUGCUGCUGCUGAUUAAUGUAAUGAAAUCACUAGAUUGGGAACUUCUACUGUGUUGAAAUGUCUGAAGAAAUUUUGUAGACAAAUCGAGUUUUUCUAUGGUGAGUGGUUCCUUCGUGCUCCUAAUAAUCCUGCUGACUUAUGUAGGCUUCUUAACAGUGGACAUAAUCGCAGGUUUCUAAGCAUGAUUGGAAGCAUCAAUUGCUUAGGAGAGGAAGAAUUGCCCAUGCCAACUGGCUGGGUUUAGAGUAACUCGAUUAGAAAUUUUGCCCAAGCCCAUUAUAGGCCUGGCACAACCCAAGAACGUUUGUCUAAUGGGUCGGGUUGGGUUUAAAAAUAUUGGCCCAAACGCCCGGCCUGACCCGACUCCGUUAUAAGCCCAACACGACCCAAGCACGAUAAACUACGGCUCGCAACCCAGCCCGUUUAUAAUUUUUAGUUUUACACUAUAAAAUACAAAAAUAAUCCAGAGAUUAUGUAUAAUUUUCAACGUCACUUUCCUUGGAAAACUUCAAUCGUCUAUCAAUAAGCUUCAAUGUCGGACCUUUCAGCUUAUCAAUGGAGGCAGAUGCCAACGGCUUCUUCUUCCCAUAUAUAGAUGUACAUAUCUCUAGGCUUUAGCCCUCAAAUUCCCUCAAUCUUUCCAUUCCACCUGCUGUUCUUGAUCAAUUGUUAUUUAAUCCCUAAAUUUAAUCUUUUUUUACUGCUGGCUGACACAUCUGGGUAUCUGAUCGUAUCAAGCUUAAAGAUGAAGUUAUUUGUUUGAUGAAUUUCACUCAGAUCACUGUGCUAUAUGUUUUAGAUGAUUGAAUUUCAUAUGGAUUUUAUUUUCCUUUGAUCAAUUUCACUCUAAUUUCCUCAUAUCAAUUUCACUCGAAGAUGGAUACACUGAAUCAUUGUUUUGAUUAAUCAAAUUACAAUUGGAUGUAUACCAAUUCAGUUCAGUACUGAAUCUUUUGAUGAGGUAAAAUAGACAAUUGGAGGGAAGUUGGGUACUAAGUUAGUUGUGUGUAAUUAGUGAACCCAAAAGUAUUAAAGCAAUACUCGGAGAUCAAUUGAGAAUCAAACUUGGUGCUGCAAUAUAUGUAUAUGUUAGAGCUCCUCAAAUAAUAUAUUGAGACAAUCCCAUAUUGCUUAAUAUAGGUAAUCUGGUCAUUUGUAUAUAGAUAUGUAUAUCGAACUUGUUUGUAUACCUUAUACUAUAAAAGUGUAUUUUGAUUGAUCAAUAAAGUGUAUGUACUGAUGUUUCUUCUAUGUUUGAUGCAAUCUAUGUAAGUGAAAUAUAAAUAAAGCUUCAGUUGGAGGUACGGUAUUAUAUAUGUCUUAAGAGCCAAUUCUUCACUGAAACACAAGAGGUAUGUUAUUAUAUAUGUUUUCUUAUCUGUGUUGUUUUUGAUUGAGUCUUUUUGCUUGUGUUGGUGUUUUGUUUUACUUAGAUAUGGACGAUGAGGAUGAUUUGAAUUUAGGUGAGUACUAUGAUAAUAGAGAUUUAUUUCCAUAACCAGACCCUGAGAAUAUGCCAUGUGAGUCUUUGAGUUCAGGCGAAUCACAACCCUUAUCUUCAAAUGAUAAUAGCCAACCUAUUGAGGUUGGCAUUGAACCUAAUGAGCCUGACAAAGAAGAAGUGAUCAGAAAAAGAAAACGAAUGUCUAGUGUGUGGGAUCAUUUCAAACUUGAGAAAAUUGAUGUCAGUGGAGGUAAUAUACAGAUGAAAGGGCAGUAUGUAAAUUUUGUAAGUCCUCGUUAAACUGUAAGAGCAGUAACGGUACAGGACAUCUUAAGAGGCAUGCUAAAAAAUGUCUCAAAAAAUAUCGCUCUACAUCUGAUCCUACUCAAUCUCAAUUGAGUAGAAAAGAUGAUGGAAGUGUGGGCGCAUUUAAGUACUCCCAUGCUAGAAUGAGGGAGGGUUUGGCUAAGCUUUUAGCUGCUGAGGAAUUACCUUUCUCAUUUGCUGAGAGUCCAAACUUUGAAAGAUUUCAAAGAGAGUAUUGCCAACCGGAGUUUAAAAAAGUGCCUCGUAACACUAACAAGAAUGACUUGUUGAAAGUUUACAAAGAGGAAAAGAAAAGGUUGAUGCAUGUUUUCUCAAAUUUAAAGAGCUCAAUUGCCAUUACUUUUGAUUUUUAGGGUGGUAGAAAUAACUUGCCUAUUAUUUGUGUUAGUGCUCACUACAUUGAUGAUAAUUGGUUGUUGCAUAAAAGAAUUAUUGGUUUUCGUCUUCUAGAAUAUCCACAUAUUAGUAGUACAAUAUUUAAUGGCAUGAUGGAUGUGUUUAAGGAAUACAAUAUUGUUGACAAAAUAUUUUCAAUCACUUUUGACAAUGCAACCAAUAAAUAUUUUCAUGGAGGAGUAUUUUUUCAUAUGAGAUGUGCAUGUCAUAUCAUUAAUCUGAUGGUGCAAGAUGGACUGAAAAUUAUUUGAACCCAUAUUAGUUGUGUUAGGGAUGCUAUUGGAUAUGUAUGUUUUUCAGAUAGUAGAGUUCAAGAGUUCAAUAAGCUAUGCAAAAGUCAAGGCCUGAAACCCAGAAAAUUUAAAAGAGACAUGCCUAUCCGUUGGAACUCAACUUCUCACAUGUUGAACAGUUGCAAAGGUUACACCAAUGCAAUGAUUGUUUACUGUAAUGACACUGAGGAUAUGUGGAACCUUUGUUUCGAAUUUUUGGAAUUUUUGAAAGUCUUUUAUGAUGCCACAUGCAUUUGCUCAGUUAUUUACUAUCCAACAUCUCCUAUUGCACUGAAUGAUUUGUAUGCAAUUAGUGUUACUUUCCAUAAGUACAAGUAUGAAAUUGGUACUUUUGCAGAGAUUUGUGAAACGAUGGUAGCCAAAUACAAAAAGUAUUGGGAGGUGGUUCCUUAUACCUUUUGCAUGUUUUGGGGCUAUUAUGGAUCCAAGGAUCAACCUUAAUGGUUUGGAAUUGAUAUUGAGUGAGAUCAGGAAGAAUUUGGAAAUUACUAUCCCAAUGACAUUAACUAGCAUACAAAAGAAUUUCAAUGAUACUUAUAAGUUAUACGCAAAGAAAUAUGCAGAUGCUAGUGUUCAAAGUAGCCAAACUUCUCACCGUCCUUCUCCAUCAGAAUCUAAUGCAUCUAAUAGUCAAGCUAUUUUUGGUUUGCUUGCUAGCAAAACCAAACAAAGGGGUAUUGUCAGUUCUUGCAAUGAAUUUUUUAAAUAUUUAGAUGCUGAUUUUACUGAGUUCAUGACUGAGGAAGAAAAAGUAAAGUUGGACAUUUUGAGAUGGUGGAAAGCAUAUAGCAGGAAUUUUCAUGUGCUUUCCAUCAUGGCGCGUGAUGUACUAACAAUUCCAGUAUCCACAAUAGCAUUGGAGUCUGCUUUUAGUGCAGGUGGUCGUGUAGUGGAUGAAAAGAGGUCAAGGUUAACUCCUAGAUACUUGGAGGCUCUUAUGUUGGUUAAAGAUUGGAAUGAUGCAGAUCGUAGGGCUCAAACAUUUGUGGAUGAGGAAUUGGCAUGUGAUGAAGAAGAAAACAAAGGCGCACUUACCAUUCAUAUUGAUUAACAAAGCCAGUAAGUAAGACAAAUACUAGAUUUUGCAAUUUCUAUUUGAAGUCAUCCUUUCAAAUUUCACAUAUUUGUCUAACUUGUUAUUAUUUUUUUCUUUUCAUUAGAGCAACCAAACUGAGAUGGCAGAGGACAAUGAGGGUGGUACUUAUGUUACAACAUCAGUGUGUAAAAACAGUAGAUAUGGAUAUCUUUAUUGAUGGAAAGGUUUGACGAAUGCAAAUGAAUAUAGUUGAGCGGGUGCCAACAUAGUUGGGAUGUGCUCAAACUAUAGUGAGGCAGUCUCACCUUUUCAGACUUGAGAAUGUUUUUGUACUUUAUCAUGGGGCACCGGUUCUUUGUCCUCCUCGUUGUACUCUUCUAAAAAUAUGCACAGACGUGGGGAUGAGCCUCCCAGAUAGUUGGGUUCCAAACCCCUUUUUAAAGAGUGUGAUUUUGGUAUUAAGUAUUAUGGAGAUAGGCAGAGCACAUGGAGUUUGGAUUUUUUUUUUUUUUUUUUUUUUUCUUAAUUGGAAUGCUCUAUCUUAAAUUUACACUGAACAGGAUGUUAUGCAGUUAUUGGCUCGGCCCGAGCACGGCCCGGUAUGUUGUGGGCUUGGGCCAUGGGCUGGACCGGCUCGUUUGCCACCUUUAGCUGGGUUGGAGCUAUCUCGGAUCGAUCAGAAGGAAAGACCAACUAUAAUUCUGAAAGCUGUGGUGUCUUACAACACACAUAUAUAUAGCACGUUUAUUUUGGAGCUCAAAAUGACCUCAACGUUCUUGGUACUUAUAACGUGUUGGAGCGUGUCAUAGGUGGAACUGCUCUUUUGGUUGAGUUUGAGAUCAAAAACAAAAUGAACACCAAUGGUUAAUGUCUUGCGGAUGGAAUAUACGAGGUGGUCUACUUUUGUGAAAACAAUAUCGAACCCCUAAACAGAAGAAGCGAAACACUUUUGAACAAAAAAAAAAAAAAAAAACUGAAGGCUUAACUAAAAAGAUGUGGAGCGGUGUUUUGGUAUCCUUCAAUCUCGAUGAGAUAUAUUGAUUCUCGAUGCAAGGUUGUUUAAACUAUAAAAUCUUCGAGCCAUCAUUAUAAGUUGUAUCAUUCUUCAUUACAUGAUUGUGCAGGAUGAAUUUGUCGAGGAAGAAUUUAUAAAGCUUGUAGAAGAUGAUCUAAUGAAUCCGUCCAUGGCAACUGUCUACAAUUGACCUAUGCAUCCCGAUACUAGAGAACCUAUUCAAUUCAAACCGAUAGGAAAAAAUGGACAAAGUCUUCAUGCAUUCAUGGAUCGAGAAUUUCAAGUAGAGUCUGUCUACCUCCACAAGCGUCUCAACUGUUGGGAUGAAGCUCAUGAACUUCUUUCUCAUAGUAAAACUGACCAUUCAAAAACUAUACUACUCAAGAAGCUUUGAAAGUUAAUGAUUCCACCUAAAGUUAAGGUGUUUGCUUGGCAACUCAUUCAAGGGAGGAUUAAAACAUGAGAAAUAAUUUAUAUGAACCAGCACACUGAUAGAUCUUGCCCUUUUUUUCAUAAUGUUGUUGAAACUAAUAAUCACUUAUUUUUUUAUGGUGACUGUUUUCGGGAAAGCUUUUUCCCGGUGUAGGGAAGGGAUUGCGUGUCUCUAAGAAAUGAAUAUCUCCCGUUCUUCUCUCCUCACCUGUCCAAACAGAUAAAGUCAGAGGGCGACCCCAUAUGUGUCGGGACAUCCACUCUGAUGCUUAAGUCAGAAACGUUGACUAAGCAAAAAGGGGAAGUAAAGUGAGAAUUUGGACUUACCUAUUUUGGAAGUUUGUGCUUGCUUUUAUAUGCUUGUGGGAAGAGGGUCUUUCCCUAUAUAUUCGAUGUGGGAGUUCCUUACUCCUUUAUUUACUUUCCUUAUUCUUCUUUGCUUUCUUUUUAUUUUUCAUGGAGAUCGUAACAUUAUUUCCUCAAUAAGUAAGCCCGGAGUGACCCGGUAUGAAGUCCAUUUUUGUGCUUCCUAGUCAAUAGUGACUUUACUAAAACUAUUUUAUUUUUAUCUGGUUUCCAGUUAGUUAAUAGUUUCAAUCUCUUGCGACGGCUUGAUGCUGAGGUAGUUUCCAAAACUUUGAUGAUUUGUUAUUAUAUUUGGAAGGCUAGGAAUAAUUUGAUUUUGAAAUACAGCCUAAAAUGCUACUCUGGUUUUUUCUAUGGCCGAUGCUAUGUUUCAUAAAUAUGUUACUGAUUCCCCUGUUAUUCAUACCAAAUUAAAUUAGUUCAUACAAAUCCUACUGUAAUUAAAUGGAAGCCCCCACCUGAGGGUUUUGUUAAAUUAAAUUUUGAAGGAUCAGUAGUAGCCAAUUCUCAAGCUGCUCAGGUUUUGUCAUCCAAGAUAGCGAUGGAAAUCCUAUUAGGGCUUCUACCAAGAAAAUUGGUCAUUCAAAUGUUUUUCUCGUUGAAGCUUUUGCUUUGAGAGAAGGUUUAAUGGCGGCAAGCAUACAUAGAUUCAAAAACUUGAAAGUGGAGGGUGAUUCCAAGAUUCUAAUCAAUUCCAUCAUCAAUAAUGUUUGUUCUAUUCCUUGGCGCAUUAGGACGAUUAUCCAUGAUAUCAGAUACCUUGUUACUCAUUUCAUUUCAAUCCAAUUUCAACAAACUUCUUAGUUGAAUGUUGUUAUCGAUCUAGAACAUUCUACUGCCAUUGCAUGCUGGAACCAUACCCUUUAGGGAACGAAAGCCAAGGGGUUGAGAAAACAAGACUAGAAGAAAGAUUGAGUUAUUGGCUAUGUGAAAGAAAGCGAAUGACUCGAACAUUGUUUCAAUCGCUACGGCCAAGUUGUUCAAUAACCCUAUCCUUUCAGUCGAGUUGCUUCACUCCUCUCCUGAGUGGUUGAGUUACCAUGUUCCACUCCCGAAGGUCGGGCUAUUUCGUUCCUCUCCUUUUAGUCAAGUGGAUUAACAUCCCCUUAAGAUAUUUCUACCUCUUUCAGUUUCUUCUGCUCGUAAUAUUGAUUUCAUAGUUUGGGUUGUGUUGGAAGAUUUUCCUUGAACUUUUCUUUCUUGUAUCGCAAACAAAAUCUUGCAUAAUAAACAAAUUAGAGAAUGAUGUUGACAACAAUGAGCAUCUAGAAGCUUCAAGAGAAUCAACCUUAGGCUUGCAUCAACAAAUAUAUGAAUAAAGUUCAUUAUCUACUUGUAUAUUUUUCAAGAUAACUCUGCACCCAAUUAGAUAUAUAAAUGAGAGGGGUUCUAACGAGGGUCACUAAGUUGAAGACUAGUUAAGGACUUAUUGGUUUCACUCCAUUUUCGAUCGUAUAUUCACAUCUCGAUCGUCUAACUUGUAGAUAUAUAUGAGUAGAUCAUCUUUACAAAUUUUCAUCCAAAUUGAAAAUCGUUAUGACAUUUGAUUCAUAAAUGUGUUUUACCAAUUAUAAACUUGAAUAACUCCCAUUUGACAGAUUUUAAUCGUUUAUUGAUUUUAUUUAGUUCUAUUCCUUAACAAUCACCAAUUUGGUUGAUAAUUUGUAAAAAUGAUUUAUUUAUAUAGACCUAAAAACUGAACGAUUGAGAUAAAAAAAAUGAUCUAUUUAUUCGGAUCUCAUCUUGUUGUUGGAGCAGAGCUGCUGGAUAACUUGGAUUGGUGGCUAUUUGCUUACCUCGUUGCUACUAAUAGUGAGAUGAGUAGGCCAUGCCAAGGGUAAAGGUCAAAUGACAAAUGUAGAUAUCAGGUUACCCUACCUAAGUAAGAGAAAGAAGCAAUGAUGCUCUUUUUUAUUUUUAUUUUUUUUUCUAAUAAUAACGUACACCAACAGAUGUUUCAAGACAACUAGUUUAUUUUUCUUCGGAAAUUAGGUGAUAUUUCUUAUGCUUGAGGCUCUUCCUGAGCUUAUUUUCAACAGGGUAUGUACAGAUGAUGAUGUAUAUUUGAACAAACGAAAGUACGAAACCAAUGUAAACGAAUACAGGGAGUUUUUCUAGCGAUGACCCUUAAGUUGAGGACUAGUUAAGGACUUUUCGGUUUUUGGUUUAAAAGACCUUUUUUCCGAUCACAUCUUGUCAUCUCAUCUGUUCAGUUUUUAGGUCUAUAUGUAUAGAUCAACUCUACAAAUUUUCAGCCAAAUCGGUGAUCGUUAAGGUAACAAACUAGAUCAAAUUAAUGGACUAACCAAAUCUGUCAAACAUGAACUGUUCAAGUUUAUAAUCGGUAAAUCACAUUUAUGAAUGUCUUAACGAUUUUUAAUAUAGCUGAAAAUUUGUAGAAAUGAUCUACUCAUAAAUACCUAUAAACUGAACGGUCAAGAUGUGAAUAUAAGAUCGAAAAAUAGGAUAAGCCGAAAAAUCUUCAACUUAAGGGUCCUCGUUAGAGAGACUUCCCAUGAACACAUGCUUGUUUGAUGUAUCUUGAACCUAAAACGAAAAGAGAGAUUCAAAUUUAAAUUUGAACAAAGGAAACGAAUGUAAGCAUCACCCUAUUUUCAGUACAUACAUGGCCCUUAGCAACAAAAAUGAAAAUUAAUUUCCUUUCCAAAAUAAUUUUGCUUGAUGAGAUGCCAGUGAUAUUAUGCCUAAAAGUAGCUAAGCUCCUCCUGAAAAGACAAAGAAAAUACAGUAAGGGAUGGGCCACUUUACAUCAUCAUCAACAUCAUCAUCUAGAUUCUAGAACCCCUUGACUUUGAUAUUCAUUUCCAGAGGACUAACCAGAGAUCCCAUUUAAAACUUAGCUGCCAAGAAAAUGACAAAAGGGGUCCAUUCUAGCUAGCUGCAAGAAAAAGAAAGCAAAAAACAGAGUCGGUGUGAUAGUGAUGAUGAUGAUGACCUCCUUCUAGCACCCACCCACCUGGCUUUCUCUGCUUCAAUCACACUUCAACACCAACAACUUUAGACACCAAACACUUCCUUUCUCUCUUUCCCUUCUUCCAUUUGCAGUUCCAGCUUUUCCCUCUGAAACAAAUCAACAUGCUUGAUCCUCAAACAAACGACCACCCUAUUCUUUUUAACCCGGAAAACACGAGUUACGAUACUUGGCAACCUAUCAACUACUCUUCCCGCGCUCAGAAAACAGCUCAAAACUACAAGAGCUGGAAGAGCAUGGGAGCUCUCCGAUUAAAUGCCGCCGAGGAGGAGUCCCCCUCCGGCGUUUGCUCCCCUCCUCUGUGGAAGACCACCACCACCACCAACCCCCCGCAAAGCCCGACUCGGCUUGUGAACAACUACCGGAGUCUUUCGCCGGCUUCUCGGACACAGGCCAUUGCCAGAGGACAGAGGGAGCUGAUGGAGAUGGUGCGCAACAUGCCCGAAUCGUGUUACGAGCUUUCGCUCAAGGAUCUUGUGGAGAGGCCGAGAAUGUUAGAGGUGGAUGAAGAUAAUGCCAGCACUGAUGGUUUGGUGAAGAGGGAAGAUGGGAAGGUGAAGAAGAAGAAUGAGAGGAAGAAGCCAAUGGUGAUGAGGAGUGGGAGUAUGGAUAGUGGGGGGUUUCUGUUGAAGAUGGUGUUUCCGAUUUCGUUGGGGUCGUAUAAGAAGAAUAAUAAGAUGGUGAAUAAGAAUAAGAAGAACAAGAGUGACUGUGUGGAAGAGGAAAGUACUAGUGACAAGCAGGUACCUCCCAGGCCUUGUGUGGAUAAAGAUUGGUGGAAGAAGAGAGUUUCUGCGUCGGGAGGAUCGGGGAGAAGUGAAAGCUGUGCUUCGAGUAUUAUUAGUGGAAGCAUCAAAAGUAGUAGUGGUAGUAGCAGUAGCAGUUGUAGCAGCAGAAGCAGUAGCAGGUAUGAGAUUUUCUAUUGACGUUUCAACUUUUGAUGUAGUAAUUGUAUUCUGUCAAUUUAGAUGUUCAUCAUGUUCUGUUCUGCUUGGGAUUGCAAAUAGCAACAGUGUUUUCCAGUUGGUGUCAAAUUACUUCUUGUUUAUUGUUCAUAUAUCAUUGAUUUUCUGUUCAAUUCGUAUACACAUCUAAUUAAUCAAGUAACCGUUCCUGUAAUCUUCAUGUUCCGUUUUGCUUGGGGGGUUUCAAACCAAGGAUAAGAAACAGUACUGGUAUUCCCAAUUGGUUCGAAAGAAAAACACUUUCAGUUCAUUGUUCAUAGAUCAUCGAUUUUCUGUUCAAUUCUUAAACAGAAACAAAAUUGCAUCCUUAAGAUUUUGGAAAUUGCAAUUGAAGUUCUUAUGAAUUGCAUUUUCGAGGUCAUUUGGUCAAAGUCUCUGUUGAAGAAACAGAGAAAUGUAAAAGGAAAAAUUAAAGGAACGUGUACAAGUGGUCAAAAAGAUGCAUGUAGUUCAUGUCCUAGAGCUGCUGAUUCUUGGAAAAUGUCAUGAGAAUCAUGACUUAGACUGAAAGUUAAAUAGAUAGUCUUCUGCAAAAGCAUCUCAAGUUUAAUGGGGAACAGUCGCAGAAUUUGGCACCAUAGGGAAAUUGUGAGGAAGUGGCAAGACACAUUUAGUAUUAAGAACGUAUGGCCUGAUUUUUUCUUGUAUGGCUAUAAAGGAAAAUCCUAUCUUAUAUGACAAUGACCCUGCUCGUUAUCAAGUAGAGUUGCAUUUGAGUUGUUGCCGGAUUAAUAAUGUUACUACCUUUGUUUAAUACAAUACAGAAUGAUUCAUGUAAGAAAACUGAUGUGCUUUAUUUCUGUAUUUAGUUAGUAAACUGAUAUGCUCUAUGUCCUUAUUUAUUGAUCAGUUUUAAACAAUUAGUUUGUUGUUUCAACGUUGCAGGCGCAAGACUAGUGGCUGCUGGUCGUUCAUCGUGCUCAAGAAGAAGAGGCAGCAGGAUUGAACAAGUUUCCUUCUAGUAAGAGCUGGAGAAGAAUAUUAAUUAAAUGGCUAUAACAUUAUCUUCCAAGAAAAAAAAAAUGCUUAGGUAUAAUAUAUAAUUUAGAAUAUUGCAGCAGAUAUUUGCAGUGUCACUUGUGUAUAUUCUUGCAGUUUUUAGAAACACUCAGGAAACCUUUUUUCCUUUCUUUAUAGAAACAUAUAGUUUGAGCAGCUGUUCAAAAGGUUGACUUAUUCGGGAAUCACCAGAUCCAUGCCUAUUUUCAACUCCCCGAUUUUGUGUCUGCGUGCGCUAGGUAUCCACUUCAAGUCUUUUGCCCGUUUGAUUCAACAUUUGUUUUCCGAGAGCCCAAUGUUGUUCUCGCUUAGAUAGGUGCUUCAAUUGUCUGUAUGAAUUCGAAUAGUUUAUAACUGAGAAUAUAUAUUGACUUAAGUAAAAAUUUGUACAUUGAAACUAACAGCAACAUUUUGGUGAGACUUGACGAUUUUCAUGAAUUGGUAGUCCUUCUGUUGUUUUAACAAUUUUUUGGGUCUAGUUCAAUGAAAUUGCAAGUUGCAUCUAACCCUAUGUCAAAGUUGUAGGCUCUAUUUUCAUUAUAACACAAAGGAAAAUGUGGAAAAAGAUAUUUUCUGAGCUUGGAAGUUCUAGAAGAUUGUUGUUCUUAAGUAGCUUGAAAGAACAGAAUGUUUAUGUUUUUCAGGUAGUUAGGUUGUUCUUUUCCUUUCUGACGUGCCAGACAUAAUGUGUGGUAUUAUAUAAAUAAAUUAGUAACAGCAGAAUAUUAAUAAUUUCAUUAAUAACACACAACUUACAUACGUGGGUGUUCCAUUAUUAGAUUCUAGAAGUUGAAGUAGUCAUCAGAAAAUUAUGAUGAAUUUAUAUUCCCAGAACACAUGAACUAGAAGGCUAACAGCCAGAAAGGGUUUACUAAAAGUUGGCGUCUGCUAACUAUGUUAUUCAAUUAUCAGAAUCCUAGUGUUGCCAUUGUACUGGUUUUACAAUUUGUUUUAGAACACUGACCCCAGAAAUGCUGCCAUAGGGCCUCUUCUUAGCUUGAUGCAGUUAUUUAUUCAUUGCAGAAAUUGAAUUUAGUAGUAGAUCAUCGACGGCAUAUACAGAAAGCGGAGUAUUUACUCAUCAAAUACUUGUUCUUCAUUCUAACUACUUUCAUCCACGAUCGAUUGCGUAGCUGCUAAAACUAACCUGCCGCUCUCAAAGUACCUGUGCCGCAUUCUAACUUGUUUCACCUUUCUUGACACCCAGAGUAGUCUCUUGUGUCAUUUGGUUUACCAGUAUUAUCUGAAUAGGUGAUAAUUAUAAGUGCAUAGCAUCACUGUGAGUAUAUAUAUGUGACUGAGACAUUUGCUCUCUUAUGAUCCCGUAUGCCAAAUUACAAGAUGAUGCCAUCUGAUCAGAUGCAAAGAUGCAGUCCUCCUGAAUUAUGAUCUAGCUGUCGAAUCAAACUGUGCCACAAAUUUUAGAAGUAGCAUAUGAGACGGUAAGUAUAACGAGAAUGAGAGAAUGAAUGAAUUGUCUAAACAUGUUAUUCAUUGUUGGGAAAUUGACCCCCCACCAUGCAAGUGUUAGAAAUUAGAUGGAAAGAAGAAAUAAACAAGCCAAGAAAAACACAAGAUUUAACGAGGUUCGGCCAAUAUCCUUGCCUACGUCUUCGGAGAGUAUCACCUUCACUAAUGAGAGAAUUACACAAAUACAAGAUUACACCACUCAAGUUUAUAUCCAACCUAAGCCCUUGUAUCCAAAAGGACAACCUUUGUACACCCUCUCUCAACCUAGAAGAUUACUCUACGUACCCCAAGAGUUAUUUGCACUCCUAAACACAACUCACCCUAUCUUCUAUACACGAAGACCCUCAGAGUUGUUCUCUUCUCUCCUUACUUGCUUCAACACAAGCUUCACCUUUUUAUAGCCUUUAAUAGAAGUCUCUAAAGUUACUCUAUCAAUGCUCAUUCAUGACCAUGGUCAAACCUUCCAUCUUCCCUAUUAUCUCCAUGUAACUCCCUAGGAAGACUAAGAGUUAUAUCAUGAAUUUAAUCCCAUAUAUUUAUUCUCACUUAACUAUGCAUCAAUUCCAUGCAUAACUUAUCACCAUGAAUGCACAAACCAAUAACUCUAUGCAUUCAUGCCAUGCAUAAUAUCUCCACCAUGGAGGGAUAAACACCAAACCUAACAAUCUCCCCCUCCUGACAUUGGUGGAGAGCUCCACAUCACCACUUCAACCCUUGAAGUCAUCUUGAAUCGAGACACAACUUGUUAUACCCACAAGCAUUUCAUUGGCCUUGUAUUUGCGUCAGUUACACAUAAUCAAUCAGAGUUAAUUGCAUGUGGUCCAUACUCCCCUUGAUUCAAUCGGCCAAUAUCAUGUGUAACUGCACCGAGACAACGAUCACUUGUUGACUCUGAAGAGGGACCUUGUCUUCACCUCUUCCCUAGCAGGAUUUACCUUCUCACCAUCAUCUGAAACUUGGAAACUUGUGCCUGCCCUCUUUGCUAUGCCCGCAAAUAAGACCUGCCUCAGGUACCUGGAUUCUUGUGCACACUGUUUCCCAACAACCUUCGAGGUCUGAGUUUUUCCUAUCAGACGGAACAUACUUCCACACUUUUCUCCUUUCAUCAGGACCAUGAAACCACGUGAUACUUUCAUAACUCCCCCCGCUGAAGAAACCCUGAAGCCUUUGGAGUCUAAUUGGCUCAGUGAUUUUAAAUUUCUCCGGAACGUUGGGACAAACACCACAUCACCCAAAGAGCAAACUGCUCCAUCAAACAUUUUGACCUUCACCGUUCCAACACCCAUGACACGACGCCUUGUGCCAUCACCCCAAGUCACAAAUCCCUUGACUUCUUGGAACGUAUCAAAAUAUUCUCUUCUGAAGCAAAGAUGAUUAGAGGAACCAGUAUCCAAUAUCCAAUCACGUUGAGAACAAGUGUAUUUACCUUUGGAGACCAUUAAAAAUUCUCCAAAAUCAUCAGAAGUUUGUGCUAUACUAGUCAUGGAGCAAUCUGAGCCUUAUCAUCCUUCUCUUUUAACAACAAACAAUCUAGCCUUAUGUGCCCCCACUCCUUGCACUUGUAGCAUUGCUUGCCCUUUCCUCUGCCCCUGGAUAUUUAGACCUGUUAUGUUCACUAGACCCUUUGGCAGUUGACCUUCCCCUUUGAUUCUGACCAUGAGCAACAAAGACGGAACUCUGGUAAUCAUUGGCUUUCCUCCGCUUCUCGAGAGACAAGAGAGUCGAUUCCACCUCCUCUAUCUUCAAUGUGUCCUUACCAUACAAGAUUGUAGUGGUGAUAUUCUCAUACAAAUCGGGAAGUGAGGUAAGAAGUAGAAGGGCUUGAUCUUUUUCCUCAAUCUUUACAUCAACUUUUACUAGUUGAUCAAUCAAUCCGCUGAACACGUUCAUGUGCUCCAUGAGACUCACACCUUCUCCCAUCUUGAGCUUGUAGAGAUCUCGCUUUAGAUUCAACUUCGUCUGCAAGCCUUUCCCAAGAUAAAGCUUCUCCAAUUUUUCCCAAACCUCUGGUGCCGAAUCUACAUCAUUAACAUUAUUGAUAAUAUUGUCAGCAAUGUAAAGCCUAAUAGUGCUAACACAUUUGGCCUCCAACUACUCCCAAUCUUCAUAUGAUAUCUUCUUCGACUUUGCAUCCUUUCCCUUCAACGGUUUUGCAAGACCUUGUUGAACUGGGAUGUCCUUCACCCUCCUUUGUCAGAGAGUGAAAUUUAUUUUUCCAUCGAACUGCUCCACCUUGAAAUGUGAGAUGCGUACACUAGAACUUGCCAUGACAAACAGCCCACAACCGAAGAGCCGAGGCUCUAAUACCACUGUUGGAAAAUAGAUCCCCCACCACGCAAGUGCUAGAAAUUAGAUGGAAAGAAAAAAUAAAGAAGCCAAGAAGAACACAAGAUUUAACGAGGUUCGGCCAAUAUCCUUGCCUACGUCCUCGGAGAGUAUCACCUUCACUAAUGAGAGAAUUACACAAGUACAAGAUUACACCACUCAAGUUUAUACCCAACCCAAGCCCUUGUAUCCAAAAGGACACCCCUUGUACACCCUCUCUCAACCUAGAAGAUUACUCUAUCCCAUGAGUUAUUCGCACUCUUGAACACAACUCACCCUAUCUUCUAUACACGAAGACCCUCAGAGUUGUUCUCUUCUCUCCUUACUUGCUUCAACACAAGCUUCACCUUUUUAUAGCCUUUGAUAGAAGUCUCUAGAGUUACUCUAUCAAUGCUCAUUCAUGACUAUGAUUAAACCUUCCAUCUUCCCCAUUAUCUCCAUGUAACUCCCUAGGAAGACUAAGAGGUAUAUCAUGAAUUUAAUCCCAUACAUUUAUUCUCACUUAACUAUGCAUCAAUUCCAUGCAUAACUUAUCACCAUGAAUGCACAAACCAAUAACUCUAUGCAUUCAUGCCAGGCAUAAUAUCUUCACCAUGAAGGGAUAAAUACCAAACCCAACAUUCAUCUCACUGUGGAGAUUUAUAUAGGAUUACAAGGAAUACAAACGGUAAGUACUAACUAUGAUAUAACAGAAAUAAAUCUACAACAUAACUAGGAUAUAUUUACAUUCUUAUUCUAACUCACGCUAACAAUAACAAAUUGUCUUGCAGUAAAUAGCGUGUUUAAAAGCAAAAAUGUAAGCUAGCAGUAUAAAACAACAUGCACUACCAGGACAAACACUUUAGCCGACCAAAAAUUUUCAUCGGCCUGUCAGCUUAAUUCGUCGGCUCAGAUCUUAGCCGACGACCUUUCGUCGGCUAAGAAUUCAUCGGGAAAAGGUCGUCUGUGGUGACUUUAGCCGACGACACAUGUAGAAGUCGUCGGCUAUAGUCCAGAGUUUAAUCGACGAAAAAACUGUCGUUGGCUAUAGUCCAGACUUUAGACGACGAAAAAAAUGUCGUCGGUUAUAGUCCAAACUUUAGCCGACGAAGAAUUUAUGGUAUUCGUCGGCUAUAGUCUAAAGUUUAGCCGAUGAAAAACAUGUCGUCGGUUAUUUCUCCCACUUUAGCCGACGAAUAAUUUAAAAUAUUCGUUGGCUAAAGUUUGUAAUAAAAAAAUAAAAACAUCUAUAGCCGACGAAAUAUAGUCUAUUUCGUCGGCUUUAUAGGGAUUUAGCCGACGAAUUAAAGCGUAUUUCGUCGGCUAAAAUUUAUUUUAAAAAAAAUAAAAAACUUUAGCCGACGAAUUAAGGCGUUUUUCGUCGGCUAUAAGUCCAUUCCAGUAAAAAAAAAACCCCCGAAAUUUCUGAAUUACCAUUCCAAGCAAGCUGCAAAAUACACCAAAACAAUUCCAUAUAACCAACAACAAUCAUAUAAAACUAUAUAAUUCAUUCAUCAACUACAGAAAAUCUAAAUCGUCUAAAUUAAUAUCCGCUUCUGAGGGCUGCUGCGGAGGUUGCGGCGGCUGGGGUAGCGGUAUGGGCGGAGGCAUGGGCGGAGCCGGAAGUCCCUGAAGUUGGGCAGCUGUAAAGUCCUGCAUGUACUGGAACAUCUGCUGCUGCUGGGCCUGCUGGAUGGCAUGUAUCUCGGCAACAUAGGCUACCUGCGCGGCAUUAUAGGCUGUCUACGAGGCAUUAUAGGCAGCCUGAGCAGCUUGCUGUUCUCGUAGUCUCUGAACUUCCGACUCUAGCUAAGUCGUCCUGGUGGUCGUGGACGUGGUCCUGCUGCUGGUCGAGGCUGCCUUUCGUUGAAAUCCUGGAGUGGUCUUCAGGACCCCCUCGUCUUUCUUUCCUAGACCCCGGCAGUAGAAGUUGUUUGCUCUCGGUGGGAAGGUUGUGCCCAUGAUCCUCGCCCCAAUCGUCGGAUCCGAAGUGUCGAUCCGGGACAUGGCUUCGGACAUCUCUUCCUCCUGCGUGUCCGGCCAUGUCUCCAUCGCUAUAACACUCAUCAUCUCGUCACUAGCCUCCCUCACCUUCGCCUAUAUGGAUAGGAAAAAAAUUAUUAAUUAACAUUUUGACAUAUAUAUAAGUAAAUUUAAAAAUUUAAAAACGUAAGAUGACUUACAAUAUCCUCCUGGGCGUCAGGAUAUGCCUUCUCGUACGUAUAGACGUACCGGUUGACUUCUGGAUGUUCCCUGGCCGCCUCGUCCAUGAAGACAGCGAACGGUCUAGAACCGCCAUGAUGGUUCUUUGUGUUGCGUUGCGGUUCUGAGAGUUCGCUCGGGAAACGGCCUUCAAAGAAAAAAUAAAUUAUUAGUAAAAUAUUUAAAAACGGACGUACUUAAUGACAAAUUAACUAAUUAAUUUUUUUAAAUACCUGUUUACGAGGGUUGUUGAAUUCUAAUGUCAGAAGCCAACGCCACUCGUACUCCCUGUACUGGAACUCAGCAGGGGUACCAGAACGUGCGUUCCCGUGCGUAGUCCAGUGGGUCCGCAACUCGUUCUUCCACUCCUUGUACCUACAGAUACAACAAAAUAUUAGAAAUAUUAUUAAUGUCACAUACAAUUUUGUUUUUCAUUAACUUCCCAACGUACCUUCCCUCAUGCACAACGUCGGCCCAACUGUCAUUCAGGUGCUCGGGAACCUCAAACCACACAUGCAUUUAACCGUUUAUUGGUUUAGUUUUUCGAGAAAUCAACAAUGUAAUACAUAAUAUUAUUUUGUAAACUCACCGACAUCGCGUUUUGGACCAUGUCCUUAAUCUCCUGCGGGACCUCGCCCCAAUCUGACCACAACAUAGGGACUCUAUCCCUAAUGAGCGCUCCCACGCGGCCGGAGUACGUCCUCGACUUCCCGCCCGAUACUAUGUGGCCAUCCCCGUCAGUAUUGAUGACGAUCCUCCCCACGGUACCCACGAUCUUCUCGAGAGCCUUCCNNNNN
rnacentral:lncRNA from 1 species